UACUUUUAUCUAUAAAGAAUAGAGCCCUAAACAAUUUAGCAAUGCUAUUUUUCUACCCAAAUUUACAUUUGGUCCCUAACAUAUUUUUUGUUUGCAAAUAGAUGCUUAGCCUUUAGACUUAAUUGCACAGUUGGUCCUUAACCUUUAUUGAUUUUUUCCACUANCUCGAAUACAUAUAUUUUAUAUUUAUAUAAUUUAUUUAAUUUAUAUUUUUAUAUAUAAAUAAAUAAUUAUAUAUAAUAUAUAUUUUUAUUAUUUUUAGCAAAAUAAAAAUAAAAAUGUGAGCUUAAUUAUAAAAAGACUCAUUUAAAUGUAAAGUUUCAACUAUUAGAUCAAAGUCUAAUAAAUAAGAUUUUAUAAAUUUAUUUUUUAUAUAUAUUUAAUAUAAUAUUUUUUAAUUUAUUGUUCGUUGGCCAGCUCGUGAGCCAGUUCGUGUUUGGCUCGUUAAUAAACAAGUCGAACACGAGCUGAAUUUUUCGGCUCGAUACUUUAAUGAGUCAGCUUGUGUUCGGCUCGUCUGACUCGUAUUCGGCUCGUUUACACCCCUACUAAUAUCUUCUUCUAUGUGCGCGCACAUCGACAAGCCCAAUCAGCCCAAUCAGAGUUAAAAAAAAAUUAAAAAAAAAGUUAAUAUAUAUAUAUUUUUAUCCCUAAUUUAAGAAUAAAUAAAAAAAAUGAUGACGGUAGAAUAAUAUAUUUGAAAAAAUAAAAUAAUAAUUUUACAGAAAUAACAAGUUGUUUCUACUAAUUUAUUAACAGAAUCUAACUGUAAAGAUAUAUAUAUUCGACAGAGUUUAAAACGUUAAAUGAUAAAUAAGAAAAAGUAUUUUAUUUUUAAAAAAAAUAAAAGAAAAGAAAGGCGCAGAUCUUUUCCUCUAAUCUCCGUACAUUUCCAUCUUCGGAAUCUGCUUUUACUUAUAGCAGGGGCAGUAAUAUAUAUAUAUAUAAUAUAAAUAAUAAAACCGCGUGAGACUUUUUUGUCCAGUUCCCGUGAUGGCGAAGCAACAGCAGAUGCGGUAGUUAUGUGAUAUCAUGAUAAUAAUAAAAAUAAUAAUAAUAAUAAUAAUAAUAAUAACUCGCGACAUAUUGAUUCAUUGGUUGUAGCAUUAGAUACCGCUAUAUAUAUAUAUAUAUAUAUAUAUAUAUAUAUAUAUAUAAAUUAUAAGAUAACUCCUCCAGAGAUUUUCUCCUGCAUACUCCAUCCAAUUUUUCGCGUUUUUUUCCUUUUCUUUUUUUUUUUAACAAAAAAACUUUUUUUAGCUUUUGUUUUGACAGAUUUGCAUAAAAAAUUUAUUUAGUUUUUGAAAUUUUAUAAAAAUAAAUUAUUAUUUUGAAUUUUACAUAUUUGGUUCGAAUUUUUAGAAAACUGAUUAAAAUAUACUUAUUACUUUAUCUCUCUUCUUUCUUUUUUUCUUUCGUUUUUUUUUUAUUCUUUUCGAAGAGGGCGGCGGAGGCGGAGGCGGAGGCGGAGGCGGCCCGCCUCACCUCUAUCCCGCGUGCCCUCACCCUCACCAUCGCCUGCUCCCCCGCCCUUCUCGCCUUCGACCCUAUUGAGGCCGCGCCGCUGUGCUCUUAGAAGUAUGGAGACCUCUGUUCUCCUAAAUUGUUUUCGAUGAUGCAAUUUUUGAAUCGACGAUCCGCUUUAUUAGACUUGAUCUAUCGUAUUUGAAGUGUCUAGAAAAUAAACUUCGUGAUAUUUCGAUAUCAUUUACCUAGUGAUCGAAAGUGUUCAAAAUUAAUGGCUGAAAAUAAAAAUCUCACAAAAAAUAGUAAUAUAGAAUUAAAAUUUUUGAUACGAGAUAUUGAUCUUUUUGUAGAUAGUACAGAAACUUUUCUAUCAAAUUUUAUCUGAUUUACAUACUUCUACAUUGUAUUGGAAAUGACAAAUAUCAACCAUUAAAAAUUAUUAAUUAUGAACCUUUUCGAUCAUAAGGUAAUGAUAUCGAAAAAUCACAAAAUUUAUUUUUUAAAUACUUCAAAUACACUAAAUCAAGUCUAAUAAAACCGAUCGUCAAUUCGAAAAUUUCGUCAUCGAAACCUGCUCUUUGUUUCUAGUAAAGUUUGCGCUUUCUUAUUUACCUCUCUUGAAAAACUAAUAAUAAAAAUAUCUUUUUAAGAAUCCAAAUUCUUUCAAAUAUAUUCCUAGAGUUAAAUUCUAUUAGUGAAUGGUUAGAAACAAUCAUUAUCAUCGUGAAAUUACUACUUUUUCCUUACAAAUAUAUCUUUCUGCUAUAUAUCACUAAAUUUUUUUUUAUUUGCCCAAGGACAAAAGAAGUAUUUUAACUCUAUUUUUUCAAAUACACUUUUUUACCUUCACCAAUUUUUUUAAUUUGUCCUAAAGUUAGGGACAAAAAAGUAUUUUUACUACUUUUUGAUUAUGGUAGAAAUUUAAUUUAGAUUUAACCCGAGAUUACUCAAAGGACAGUAACAUCGAGGGUAUUUUUAAAUAACGGAGAAUUAUACGGAGGGUACGUAUUUUUGAAACAAAGAAAAAAAAGGAAUAAAUAAGAUUUUUAAGAGGUUUUGAGAGCUAUAUAGGCAAUUAUACCUUGUGUUUUUAAUACCCUAUUACAUCCAAUUAGGAUUAGUUUUCCUAGUCUUUUUGUAAUUAUUUUUUUCAUAAAAACAUAUAAAAUUUAUUUCAAAUAUCACCCAUUUUAAUUUGACUAUCUAAUCUUAAAUUCUAAUUUUAUUUACUAAUCUUUUAAUUAUUUGAUUUGAGCUAGCGAAUAACUUUUUAACUUCAAAAUGUAAAUGUGGUCCUCCUUGUUACGAAUUUAGUUAGCAUAUUUGUACAAUUUAUAAAACUAUAAAUUUAUUAAAAUAAAUAAUUUACUUGAAUUUGCAUCCGAAGAGUCAUAAAAUUAUGUAAAUUAAAUAAAUACUAAAAUCAAAAUUUUUAAAGAUUAGAUGUCACGCCCCGGAUAUCUCGUUCCCCGGGCACGCCGACAAAUCCGCUGUAUACAAGAAAUUUCCCCUGUAUACGAAGCGUCAAAAGUACCUGUAAAUAUACAAUACUACAAACAGUAGCAUAGAGCUGCUCAAUAUACAAAGCUAAACAACUGAGUUUCAUAUACAUAGUCCAAAUCCAAAAUACAAAGCUACUCGCACCGGCGAGUUAAACAACUAUGUACAUAAACUCUAAAAUAGUAACUACCUGCAGUAGGGGGGUGCCUCUAGCUCUGUCAGUCGGGUAGGGCUCUACCUCGCGACGCCCUUGCCUCGAUCCUGAUCCGCGGAAGGCGCAGUAGCCGAAACCUGUGGCUCUGCAAAACAUAGGUAACAACUGGGCUUGAGAACUACUGUAAACAACAAUGUCUCCAGUGGGUACCGCCCAAAACGACAUCGGUCACCCACUAAGUCUACAGAAGGGACAAAAUAGGAGGAAAAGCAGGAAGUAACUCUAACCUGCAUUAUCCACUACAACUAACAUGCUCACACUAACCGACUGUAGAAAUGUCAAAUCUGAACUCAAAUCAAAUCGAACUCGUAAGCAUCCCGCCCCGGGACGUGAUACACCCGUCCCUGCCCGCUGAGACCAUCCUCUAAUCACACUAACUGUCUCGUGGGAGCAAGUCCAACUGGCAUGAGCGACGAACAACGCAAAAAGCACAAGCCUGACUCCGGAAUGGGCACUCGGUCGGCGCUACUAAACCGAUGUAUGCAGCGUAAAUCUCUUGUCGAUCAAUCAGGCUCGCAACUAGCCAGCAAGAAUCGACUCAAACUGGUUAACAACCAACGAAACAACGGCCUUCGGACAAUCCGACGCGCAAAAGAACGGCGAAAACGGGCCUCAUGCCUCAGUUCCCUGACGCGCCCACUAGAUGACGAAACAGUCAUAAACCUCAAAAAAUCUCGGCAUACCAGCAACAUCGUAAAUGUAUUCUAAACUCCUGAAUACUCGGUCUACAGUAUGCUUCGGCGACACGUACAAUCUAUAACGCUCCUACAGCUAAAUCAGGCAUUAAUACAUAUGUCGAUUCCAAUCGCUGUUCUCCUCAAGUUUUUAAACGCCAGUCAACAUGUAUAAUUUAAAAGGUAUAAUCCUUGUUAAAUAUGCACAUUUAUUCCAGGAUAUCAUUAUAAAAACAACAUACAACAUGAUUGUACGAACAGAAAAAUCAUACAUUCGACAUUUCUCACACUAAAUAAUAAACCGUGUAAACCUACACCUUAGUCCGCUAAUUUUGAGCAGGGCAAAACACCCCACAGCUGCGCACCACCUGCUGUGCAUCUAACCCUCCAAAUUCCGGAUCGAGCUAACACUUCACGCUCGACCAAAGGCACAAAUCAGUUCAGUCCAAAAUUGCCAGCAGUCAGGUACACACGGAUUUCCGCCAUACUAACCUCAACGAACAUCUGGCAAGUAAGGCUUAGUCGUGGAUUCCUCUCGAAUUCCUAAUGCCAGCGAAUCAAGACACUCGUCGAAUCCGACGUCCUACGUCGAGUACAAGCCGAAACGAGGCCAACCGGUCGACGCUGAAAAUCUGCAGGACAGCAACUGCUCGAAAUUGAAAACACGCUGAAAUUAGAAGCCAAUUCUAUGGAACAUGGGCCCACCUCGACGGCGACUAGCCUGCAGCGACGUCAUAGAACGCGAAGAUUCCACGUCAGCGCCGCUCCUCACGAUGCAACGCAAGCAACCGAGGUCAACAGGCCUCUGCGGAUGCGACCGUCGAACAGGCGAAAUCGCUUCCGCGCGCGUCCCCUGCAUGUGCUUCCUUAGGACGGGUCGAACGAGAAGAGAAAAGGAGAGAAGAGAGACGAUAAACUCCUCUCUCUCUCUCCCUGCAUGCAUAACAAGAGGGGGAGGUAGCCACAUGCAUUACAGCAAACUCACACAUGUGCACUCCACAUCAUGUGUUUUGUACGCACGACACAUGCACUACCUAACACACACUUAUAUAUAUACUACUAAGUGUAAGGAUACUAAGUAUUCUACAUCUCCCGCCAUACAAAAAGUUCGUCCGCCGAAACUGAACUACCUCUACUCAACGCAUGCAAACAGUAGGAGAUAGCUUCCCUCAUCACCGUCUCAGACUCCCAAGUCCGCCUCCCGCUCAUGACAUGAUUACUCCCCGCACUUUCACAUACGGGAUAACCGUGAGCUAAUUCUUUCGUCUCCCGAGCAAAAAUCCGGCAGUUCCUCUCGUAUCUCAGAUCCUACGCCAAAUCUCAAGUGAGUUAAGUCAAUCACUGUGAGAGGGAUCGAAGACGUAUCCUCUCAUGCUGAGACGGGAAAACAUCAUGAUGCCAGCGAAGUCGCAUUGGGGAACAGCUAAAUCUCUGUAAGGCCACCGUCCGAAUACGCUCCAAUACUCCGAAAGGCCAACAAACCGUGGACUAAGCCUUUCACUACUCCAAAUCUCGUAUCCCUCGCACGCAGCCGAACUUUGAGGAAACAUGAUCUCCAACCUGAAACUCCAACUCUCUCCUGGUAUCGCGUAGCUUCCUCUGUCGCUUGCUGUGCUGUCAAAAAGUGUCGUCGAACGAGGCUCUCAACAUUUUCCUCAGUCCUCAAGAGAAUCUCCGGCCCAAGUGCCUCACUCACUCACAUUCACUCCAAACCAGGGGGGAUCGACAUCUGGCGUCAUAACAACGCCUCAAACGAGACCCCCAUCGAUCGCUCGCUUGAUAAGCUGUUGUUGCUACGCAAACUCACCAGUCUCAAAUGUCGUAUCACCUCUCCUCCAAAGUCCAGAACAUAUGCCUCAGGCAUGUCUCUAGUCUUAUGGUCCGCUCUGACGACCAUUCUGUACUUGGGCGGAACGCCGUGCCUAAAAUGCCAGCUGUGUACCCAAGGCUGUUCUGCAAACCCUUCCAAAACGGGAUACAACCGUCGGUUUCUGUCUGAUACAAACGACACUGGCGGUGCAGCCUAACAAUCUGAUCAGUAUGACUGGUCAAGUCUCUUCCUUGGUACCAGUAUUUCUGAACCGGUAGGAAGUGAGUCAGACUUGGUUCAGUCGUCCACUAUGCACCAAAUCGACAUGCCACCUCGCUCAUAGGCAACCAACGACGAAGUCCAUCGUUGAUGUGCUCCCAUUCCACUCUGGGAAACUGGCCAGAUCUGAGCUUGCCAGCAGGCACCUGAUGCUCGUCCUUCACCGUUGGAAGUCAACACACGUGAGGCACAUAUCUGCCAAUGUCCGCUUCAUUCCAGGCCACCAGAAUCGUGCCUUACAGAUUCUAUAUACAUUCUUGUGUUCCCCCAGGAUGAACGUAUAUAAGGGGAACAAUGAGCUCUCUUCAGGAAUAUCCGCUCGAAUCUCCGGAUCCACAGCACACACAGUCGGUCCCUGUACGUCAGUACUCCGAACUGUCCAAGAUGCAAAUCCCUCAGCUGCCUCCCUGUCCUAGCUCUCUUCUAUCCUCAACAAUAGAUACGGAUCCCUCUGUUCUCUUCGGAUUCCUAUCAACAGAGUGGCUGCUGUAAAACAUAGAGACGCCAGCCUCGCCGUAGACCCCAGGGGCUACAUCUCGAGUCCCCCCGCUGUAGCCUCCUUGAGUAGGGGUCUCUGCUCAGUUAAUUCCUCAAUCUCAGGACUCUGCUGACUUCCUGCUCAACGCAUCUGCCACCACAUUCGCCCCGUGCGGGAUGAUACUGAAUACUUAAUGUCAUAGUCCUUCAGUAACUACCAACACCGCGCUGCCGCUCAGAUUAGUCCCUCUGUGUAACAGAACUUGAGAUUUGAUGAUUCGGUGAAUACCUCGCACGUGCUCGCCGUACAAGUAUGCCGCCAGGCUUCAAAGCAAAAACCACCUGCUGGCAGCCAUCAAACCAUGCGUAGGUAAUUCUUCUCAUAAUCCUUUAACUGCCUUGUGAAGCAUAGGCAAAUCAACCUAAUGCCAUGCAUGCAUCAGCACGCAACCACAGUCACACUGGCUGAUGCAUCACACUAGAUCACGAUACCACCCCCAUCACGAAGGGCAAUGAUUAGGAGCGACGUCAACCAGUCUUCUCACACUCGUCAAGCUCUCUGACAGUCCUCGCUCCAGACAAAAUACGAUCCCCUUCCGCAGUCAUAGCGUCGUUGAGGGGGUGUGGAAAGCUUUCGCAAAAAGCCUUCACAAAACCGACGGUAAUAUCCGCGCAGUUCCCAGGAAGCCGAAUCUCAGCUCAUCGUCGUCGGUCAAGCCAAUCCCGAAUCGCCUUAUCUUCUUCGGGUCCACUGCUCGCCCUCCGCUGAACUAUCAACUGGCCCAAGAAAGCAACUCCGUAACAGAAUUCGCAACCUGUUUCAACUGCAUUACAGCUUCUUCUUCGCAAGAAGCUGGUAGCACAAUCUCCAAGUUCCUCAUCUCAGCAUCAACUCCGUGAGUAUAUCAAAUGUCGUCGAUGAAGCCUACCACAAAUCUAAUCCAGGAAAGUGCUGAACACUCUGUUCAUCAAAUCCAUGAUGCAGGCAGGACAUUCGUACUAAUACAAAAAGCAUCACUGCUGAACUCCAUAAUGCUGUACCGAGUCAGAAAAGUCCCGUCUUGGGAAAUCCUCGCGGCCUCACCCUCAGCUGGACUGACUGGAGAUCAAUUUCAAAAAGACACAAGAUCUUGCAGCUGAUCGAAUAAUCAUCAAUGCGCGCGAGUGAUACUUGUUCUUGAUGGUCACUUUAUUCAGUCACGUAAUCCACCACAUAACCUGAGCGACGCAGCGCUCUUCAGUACGAACAUUGUUGUAGCUGCCGUGUACCUUCUAUUUUACAUAUAAACACUGCGCUCCCCAAGGCCGAUACACUGGGUCGCACAAACCCUUUAUCCAUCAAUCCUGAGUUGCGCUUUAGCUACUCUCAGCUCGGCCAGGCGCCAUCCUGUAAGGUACCUUUUGAGAUUGGUCAGUUCAGGAACUACAUCAAUCACAAUCAUUAUCUCCCUCUCCGCGCGGCACGUCGUCAACUCAGGCGAAACACAUUCCGGAAACUCUCGCGGACUACAGGAAUGUCCUCAUGCAGAUUCUCGCCGCCGUAGGUACCUCCACAACUGUCGCUAGGAAAGCGAUACACCCACUGCUCAGCAUCUGUCGAGCCCUCGCCGAAGAUAUCCAGGUGGCAAACAGCGUGCUCCUGCAGCCUCUGAAAGUAAACUCCUCCUGGCCUGGCUCGCGGAACGUCACCGUCCUCGCUCCACAGUCGAUCGUAGCAUAGUACCGCGCCAGCCAGUCCAUACCGAGCACUACGUCGAAAUCCUGCAGCUGCCCUAACACCAGCAGGUCUGCGGGCAUGAUCCAAGAGUCUAACUGCACCGGACAGGACCAACAACACUCUGUAACCUGCAAGACAUGGUCGGGGAUCUGCACCUCUCGUGCCUGAGACAACGCUCCUAACUCUAGACCAUGCAACAAUGCAAAUGCUCGGCUAACGAAGGAAUGCGAUGCACCGGUAUCAAAAAGAGUGCGAACUCUAAUGCCAGAAAUCAGAGUGAUACCUGCCACCACUCGGUCGGCUGCUGAAGAGUCCUCCACCUGAGCUGCAUAGACCCUGCCACUCGAAGCCUGCUGUCGCCGCUCACCCGACCGCGGCACAGACGAUCUGUCCUCCUGGCGGUAGCUCGGUGCUGCUCCGUAAGACUGCUGUGGUGCUGGUGGUGCCGAAGCUGAUGACGGUACUGGAGAUGCUGCUCGGGGACACGCUGCCCUCAUGUGUCCCGGCUGACCACAUCCGUAGCACCUGCCCUCUCUAUGCUCGCACUGCCGAGGCCAGUGUGGUCCCCCGCAGAUCACACACUGUGGCGUCCUCUGAGUCUGCCCCUGCUGACGGGAUCCCCUGGAACGCUGACGCCCCGAAGACCCACGACCCUGAGAACGUGCUCGUGGAGGUCUCGGCGGACGUCUGCUACUCGACUGGCCUCCGUUGUCUGGAGCUGGGCGCUUCCUGUCCUGACUCUGUCCCGGCCCCUGAGCCCUCUCUCGCAGUGACACCUCUCCUCUCUCCUCCCAUAGUGCCUGCUCAAUGGACGCGUCCAAAGUCCUCGACCUCUGCGCCCUAACGAACCUGAAUAGGUCGGGUCUCAAACCCUGCUCGAACAAGUAGACCCUAUGUGCCUCGUCUCUGGCCACGAACGGAACACAGUUCAGGAGUCUAGUAAACUCCCGAACAUACUCCUGAACUGUCCGCUCGCCCUGCUGGAGCCUCUUCAAAUCCUCCUCAAUCUUCUGUUUCAUGCUGUUGGGAAAAUACAUCCCAUACAGCAUUCCACAGAACUCAUCCCAGCUCAGCUGCGCUGCCUCCAGUCUCUAGUCUCGCCUCACUCUCCGCCACCAGUCACGUGCAUCACCUGACAAACAGUGUACUCCCAAAGGUACCUGCUCCCCCUCUGGAACAUACAGAUCCUCGAAUAAUCUCUCCAUAGCACUGACCCAUCCCUCUACAAUCCAGGCCUCAGUGCCUCUGCCAUCGAAGAUCGGUGGAUCAAAACGGCGAAAACGAGCUAAUCUCUCCGUCCACCGCUCCUGCUCGGCCUCAGUCAACGGUACNACAUUAGUUGCACACAAAGAGUGAGGUGGUGGCUUGUUGUGAACACUUCCACAACAUAAUAACUAGUUAUAUCAACCACUUAGUUUACCCAAAGCACAAUUAGGGUUCAUAAACAAGUUUUUUAAUCUUGCAAAUUAAAGCUCUAGAGGUGUAUAUAUAUAUAUAUAUAUAUAUAUAUAUAUAUAUAUAUAUAUAUAUAGUCCGGCUACUAUACUAUUGAUAGUACCAAGCCCUUGGUACUAUUGAGUUUUCUACCGUUAGAUCUAUCCUUUGAUCAUUUCCACCCGUUAGAUUAUACUAUUAAACCAACCACCCACUCAACGCUAGAGGACCACUAACAAUUUAACCGGGGACCACUAUUGUCACGCCCCGGAUGUCUCGUUCCCCGGGCACGCCGACAAAUCCGCCGUAUACAAGGAAUUUUCCCUGUAUACGAAGCGUCAAAAGUACCUGUAAAUAUACAAUACUACAAACAGUAGCAUAGAGCUGCUCAAUAUACAAAGCUAAACAACUGAGUUUCAUAUAUAUAGUCCAAAUCCAAAAUACAAAGCUACUCGCACCGGCGAGUUAAACAACUAUGUACAUAAACUCUAAAAUAGUAACUACCUGCAGUAGGGGGGUGCCUCUAGCUCUGUCAGUCGGGUAGGGCUCUACCUCGCGACGCCCUUGCCUCGAUCCUGAUCCGCGGAAGGCGCAGUAGCCGAAACCUGUGGCUCUGCAAAACAUAGGUAACAACUGGGCGUGAGAACUACUGUAAAAACAAGUAGUCCUCAGUGGGUACCGUCCAAAACGACAUCGGUCACCCACUAAGUCUACAGAAGGGAGCAAGAAUAGAAGGAAAAGCAGGAAGUACACUCUACCGCUAUUAUCCACUACACUAUCAUGCUCUACACUAACCGACUGUAGGAAAUGUCAAAUCUGACCCAAUCCAAAUCGGGACUGUAAGCAUACCCGUCCCCGGGACUGUGAAUACACCCGUCCCUGCCCCGCUGAGACUAUCGGCUCUAUCCACACUAACUGGUCCGUGGAGAGCAAGUCCAACUGGCAUGAGCGACAACAACGCAAAAGCACAAGCCUGACUCCGGAGUGGCACUCGUGGGCGCUACCCAACCGAGUAUGCAGCGUAUCUCUGUCGAGCUCAAUCAGGCUCCAACUAGCCAAAGUCAAGUAAUCGACUCAAACUGGUCUAACAACCAACAAACAACGUGCCCUCGGCACAAUCCGACGCCAAAACGGCGAACCGGGCCCACCGUCAGUCCCGACGGCGCCCACUAGUACGAAACAGUCUAAACGACCUCAGAAAAAUUCACUCGGCAUACCAGCACGAGCGUAAAUGUAUUCUAAACUACCUGAAGUACUCGUCUACAGUAUGCUGCGACAGUACAAUUCUAUAACGGCUCCUAGAGCUAAAUCAGGCAGUUAAUACAUAUGUCGAUUCCAAUCGCGUUUUCUCCUAAGUUUAAACCCAGUCCAACAUGUAUAUUUAAAAGGUAAUAAUCAUGUUAUAUAUGCAGCAUUUAUCCAGGAUAUCAUUAUGAAAAACGAACUACAACAUGAUUUACCGAACAGAAAAUCAUACAUGUCGACUAUUACUACACUUAGGAAUAAACCGAUGUAAACCCACCUUAGUCGCUAAUUUUGGCAGCAAAACACCCUCACAGCUGCAGCACCACCUGCUGGUCGAUCUACACCCUCCAAAUCCGGGAGUCGAGCUAACACCACGCUCUACAAAGCACAAAUCACCGUUUCAGUCCCAAAAUUCGCAGCAGUCAGGUACAGCACGGAUUCGACCAAUCUAACCUCAACGAAAUCUGGCAAGUAAGGGCUUCGUGGAUUCCUCUCGAAGUCCUUAAUCCAGCGAAUCAAGCCUCGUCGAAAUCCGACGCUCCUACGUCGAGUACAAGCCGAAACGCCAACGGUCGACGCUGAAAAUCUGCAGGGACAGCAACUAGCUCGAAAUUGAAAAAGCUUGGAAAUUAGGAAGCAAUUCUAUGGAACACCCACCUCGACGGCGACUAGCACUGGCGCGACGUCAAGAACGGCGAAGAUCCACGCUCGCCCGGCCUCCUCACGAUGCAACGGCAGCAACCGUAGGUUCGAACGGCUCUGCGGUGCGACGUCGACGGCGAAAUCGGCUCCGCGGCGGCGUCCCUCGCGUGCUUCCUUGGUACGGCCGAACGAAAGAGAAAAGGAGAGAAGAGAGGAGAUAAACUCCUCUCUCUCUCUUCCCUGCAUGCAUAAAAGAGGGGGGAGGUGAUGCCACAUGGCAUUACACAAACUCACACAUGUGCACUCACACACGCACACACACGUACCCUCACACACACACUUAUAUAUAUAUACUAAGUGUAGGGAUACUAGUAUACUACAUUAGAUAAUUGAAUCAAAAUGGAAUUAAACUCAGAUAAGUUUUAUACAAUCUUAUUUUUCUUUUAAAGAGAUUUUCUCGAUCUUACGAUGAAAAGAAUAUAAGAUGUAUACCAUUACAUAGAACGUACGAAUUGCAUUUUCUUAUCUAAAUGAUUGCGUGCAAGUUUGACUUACAUGUGGGUUGAGACAAGCAUGUCCAUCUCUACACAAAUAAUCUGAUAGGUAUAUAUUAAUAUAAUAAUUUAUUAGAUUUUUUUUGGUCAUUUUGAAUUAUAAAUUUUAGUUUUUGUUUAUAUUUUGAAAUGCUGGUACUAUUUACACUGUAGGUGUCACCAUAAUGUAAGGAGUAUAUAUGGUAUAGUAUAAAAUAUAAAAUCUUAUUUCUAAAAAAAUUAUAUGGCCUACAUCAUAUUUAUUAUUGUGGGUAGUUGCUAUUGUAUUUGAGAUCUAGUACUAUAUGAAUAUAUAAAUAGCUCAUCCGGAACAGUAUUAAUGGUAAUUUUUGACUAUCAAUUUUUUAGUUAUUAGAUUAAUACUAUUUCAUUUAAUUAACCCCAAGAAACUCUAGGCCUCUAAUGGAUAAAAAGUUGAUAACGCACGCUAUUUCUCUAAAUAUCAAUAAUAUUUUAGCCACAUUAUAUAUAUAUAUAUAUAUAUAUAUAUAUAUAUAUAUAUAUAAUAUAUAUAUAUAUAUAUAUAUAUAUAUAUAUAUAUAAAGCACGUAUAUUCAAAUUUGGGUCUGUCGACAAAUCCAUUUUUCGGCGGAAAAAUAUUUAAUGUAUAUCUAUAUUUAAUGUAUAUCUAUAUCUAUACUAUAUAUAAAUUUAUAAAAUAAAAAAAAAAAAAAACUAUAUAAUUAUUGUUGACAAAAUAUGGUAGGUAUUUUCUAAUAGUAUAUAAUAAAUAAAUUUACUUUUUAAAAAUUGUAAAUUUUUUAAUAAAUAUGAUGUACAAUUUCAUAUUAAUUUAAAAUAAUUAUUAAAUAAUUAAUUGUUACGUGUAUUUGUACGUACAUUCAACUAGUAUUAUAUAUAUAUAUAUAUACUAUAAUAUAAAAGCACGUAUAUUCAAAUUUGGGUCUGUCGACAAACCCAUUUUCGGCGGGAAAAUUAGCGCCCAUUUUUCUCUUUCCGUACGAAAAAUUUUAAAUAUAAGAAUAAAAAUAGAAAUAGAAACAGCAAUGAAUACGUAAGUUCUCUAUAACAGAUUAUUGAUGUGAAAAUCCUAAAAUAUAAAUUUUCUAUUUAAUUUCAAAAGUAAUUUUUCUAUAACAGAUUACGGGUGUGAAAAUCGUAUAAAAGAUAUUUUUCUAUUUAUUCUAAAAAUACUUUUUUAGAUAUUAUCUAUUUAAUUUCAAAAUAUAUUUUCUUUUUAAAAUAACGGAUUUUAUUUUUCUAUUUAAUUUCAAAAAUUUAUUUCCUAACAUAUUUUAUUUUUCUAUUUAAUUUCAAAAGUAAUUUUUACAUUAGAGAUUAUUGUUAAUUAUUUAUCAUUUAAAAGUAUAUCUUCUUAAUAGCGUGAUUUAUUAUUUUAAAUUUUUUAGAUACAUAUUUGGCAAUCAUAUAAAAUAUGCCUAAAAUUAAAAAAUAAUUUAAAAAAAUUAUAACUUUUCUAAUAAUUAUUAUGUGCAUUUGCACGUACAUUUUACUAGUAUAUAUAUAUAUAUAUAUAUAUAUAUAUAUAUAUAUAUAUUUAUAUAUAUAUAUAUAUAAUAUAAUAUAUAUAUAUAUAUAUUAUGAGUACUAUUGUAAUGGCCCGACUCACUAAUAAUAAUAAUUUGUUGGGCUUAAUUAACCAUUAAUUCAAAAUACUUAAGUUCAGUUAUAUAUUAUUACUAGAUUUUCACCCGUGGCGAUGCACGGCUAAUAUAAUAAAUAUAGAAUAAUAAAAAUUAUUAUGUGAUGAUAACAAAAAAUUUUCUAAUUAAUUUUAUAUUUUUUAACAAAUAAAAAAUAUACUAUCAAUCUUAAUUAUAGUACAUAUUAAAGUACACAAGCUAGAGAAAAAAAAAAUUUGGACCAAAGUAAAUAUUCAACUAAAAUGCAAAAUUCAAUCCUGCUCUAUUAUCUAUAAAUUGAUAUGCAAAACAAUUUACAUUUACAUAUUGAUGUGCGAAAUAAAAUGAUAACUAAAAUUGAUUAAUAUGAAAAUUACAAAUGAUAUUAAUAUUUAAGCAUAUAAUGAGAUCAACUAAACUUUCAUAUUUGACACAAUUUAGAAUAAGCACACAUAUAUUAUGUUCCUACUGUUGCUUUUAAGAUUCAAAAAUAUAUAGAUGUUGGUUUUUAAGAAAAUAUAAAGAAAAAAAUUUUGUUGCAUGAAGAUGAAAAGUUACAUGAGUGACAGAAGGGAAAAAAAUUACGAAAUGAAAAUUACAGAAGUGACAGUAGGGAAAUAAUAUGUUCUAUUUUAAAGCAUCAAUAUUUAAGAGCGAAGAAAAUUACAGGAGUGAUGUGAGUUUUAAAUUUUUUCCUCUUUCCAAAAAUGCCUCUAUCCUUUUUUACUAAUAUUUUUAUGUCAAAAAAUUUUCAACCAAUCAUUUUAAAUAAUUAACUAAGUAAUAAUUUAUUCUCAAAUAAAGAUAAAUAUUUUCCUUCUCAAUAAAAAAAUAUAUAUUCUGUUUUAAAGCAUCAACAUUUAAGAACCAAGAAAAUUGCAGGAGUGACAGUAGAGAAAACAAAAUUACGAAUGACAGUAGAGAAAAAAAAAUUACGAAGUAAAAAUUAUAUCUAUACUACUUAUAAAUUUUUUCGCAAAGAAUAAUUUCAAAGCAACCGCCAAUCAUUUCGUUUUUACUUUGGUCAUCUAUACCGAUUUUUUCGCAACCAAUCAUUUCAAAUAAUUCGCAACAGAUUAUUACAUAUUUCUCAACCAAUAAUUUUAAAUAAUUAAUUAUUUGCCAAUACGAAAUUUGAGUUUGACCAUUUUUUUCGCAACUAACCAUUUCAAAUAAUUCGCAACAGAUUAUUGCUUAUUUCGCAACCAAUAAUUUUAAAUAACUAAAUAUCCAUAUUUGAGUUUGACACGUGGUAAGCAUAUAGAAAGCCACGUGUCAGCUUCUCACAUAGGGUUCAUUAAGGGUUCUACUUUUAUAUAUAGUAAUAGAUUAGAGUCCAUGAUCUCUUAUAUUUUCCAUCUCAAUCAUAUUUUCGUAUGAUGUCGGACGAUUGUGGUGUUACAACGAUCACCUUAGUACUCAUAAGCCAUGUUCGAUAUUUGAGCUUCCGAAUCGACAAUUUAUAGUGUUAUAUUUAAUUUAGAGCAUUUAAAUAUUUUGAAAAUUGAAUUUCAUAAAUUUUUGAUAUCAUCCAUCUUACAAUCAAAAUGCUUCAAAAUUGACAAUUUUAAUUGCCGGUAUAGGACGUUUUCUAAUUUAACAGUAUAGAACAAUUGGAAUCAGUUAAAUUUUUUGUACAAAAUUCUAUUCAUUAUCUAGAUCAAGAUUAAUAACUUUCAUCUUGAAUUGAACAAUUCGAUUCUUUAUUUUUAGAAAGUCGUUCGAUUUUGACUGUUUAUUUUAUACUAACUUGACUGACUCUAUCAUAAAUUUUAAAAGUUAUAAAAUUUGAUUUCUAAAUUCUUCAUAUGCUCUACAUUAUAUUAAAUACUAUCGAUCACUAUAAGUAAAUAAUAUCAAACAUAGCGAAUUUUAUUUUUAAGAUAUUUUAAAUAAUCUUAAUCAAGUCUAACUGAGCAUACAGCUCCACAUGUCUUGAUUGUGACUCAGCUAAAUCAGGCUCCCACCAUUUCAAACGUGACUUGGCCUAACUUGGUUUUCCACAACAGAACAGAAUGUUGACCCCUUUAUGCCACCAAUCCCAACCGCCCAUACAAAUUUGCAGUAUGCAGAAAUUGAACCCGUGGCCUUUAUCUUUAGUACCAAUUGGGAUCGCUAGCUGACGUUAACCAUUUAUUCCAAAAGCUCAAGUUGUUAAAAAAAUACAACUAAUUCAUUUAUAAGUGUAUGGAGAUAGUGCCCACGUGUCUCAAUUGUGACUCGGCCCAACUAGCCUCCCACCACUUCGAACAUAGCUUGGUCCUACUCGACGUCUCGUCAUUUCAAAUGUAACUCGGCCUAAUUUAGCCUACCGCCGUAUGGCAGAAUGCUUGCCCAUUUAAACCAACAAGAAGGGCUACCAUAUCCUUAUGAAUAUGCAGCCCUUCGUACUAUCAACUUAUUUUUUAUGAUAGAGCUUUUGAAUCGACAUUACAUAUUGUUAAAAUGAUCAAGAGCAUUUAAUUAAAAUACUAAAAGUAGAUUUUCUUAAUUUUUCAAAAUUAUAAUAGAGCCUAUCAACAGAUAUAAAAUGAACAAUCAAAAUAGAACGACUUCCCAAAAAUAAAAGAUCAGAUUCUUUAUUAGAGAUCAGAGUUAUUAAUUUUAAUCUAGAUAAUGAACAAAAAUCAUAACAAUGGAUAAAUUGAAUGUUUUGUCCUCAAACUAUGAGCUAGGUGACACUUUAGCCCUAAAAUUUUUUUGUUGUUGUAAUUUUUGGCUCUAAAUUUUAAAAUUAUUAUAAUCAAGUUUCACAACCCAACUUAGUUGAUUAAAUAUUGAUGCAUCGUUGAUGUAAAAGUGAUACAACAUCUUAAUUUUUAUCGCAUCAUCAACCAUAACUAGUGUAGGGCCCGCGCUUUGCGGCGGGUAAAUAAUAUUUUAUCAAAUUUAAAUAUUUUAAUUUAUAUAAAUUUUAAUAAAUAAUUUGUAAUAUUUUAGCAAAUUUAAAAAUUUUAAUUUAUACCCAAUCCAAACGGGCCUAAGUGUAUCAAAUAUGAUACAGGGGAUUAUUUUCUGCCUAUAUAAAAAUAUGUACUAUAUUAUAUAUAUGUAAUAAUAAAUUAUCUAUAGAUGAACAUAUCAAAUCUUGGUGGCAUUGUGUAUUAAAAAUUAAUAGAAAAACAUAAAGGAAAAAAAACCAAUUGGUUAACUUACACUAAGUUUUUAAUUGAUUAUCUUAUUCUCUAAUCAAAUGAAUAUAUUAAUUUGAUCAGAUAAAUCUACUUUUUCCAUAAAGGAUAAUGAUGUGAAUUGGCUAAAAAUAUAAAAAACUGGGACGCUAUGAAUGCAUGACAAAAAAAAAAGAAAAGGAGAAUAAGGUAAUCUAAUUGGGAAAGCAAGAAAAGAAACAAUAUUAUUGACCAAAAACCUAACAAAUUUUUCACUCUACUCUAGCCAAUAUUUAUAGUGUGCUUAUAAUUGUAAAUUUUUAUAACUGUUAUCUAUGAAAAAGAAAAGACAAUAUAGAAAAGAGUAAAUGAUGAAUUUAAUUUUCUUAUUUAAUUUCUAUUUGAUGAACUGCCAAACUAAAAAAAAUAUUAUUGAUAACUUUAUUUAAAGAUUCCACCCUUAGAAAAAAAAACGGUCAAAUUAAAUGUGCAUUAAUUUAGAAAUUUUUAUUUGUUUAAAGUAGAGAAUGAAGUUAAUUACUAUCGAUUACUAAUAAUGGAAGCCAAAAAAAUUAUUAUAUAUAUGACAAUAUUGGAUUAAUUAUAUAUAUUAAUUAUAUAUUAAAGUAUAGUUAUUAUUGUGAUUUAUGAAGCUAAUUACUUUCGGUUACUAAUCAUGGAAGCCAAAAAGAUUAUUGACAAUAUUAGGUUAAUUAUAUGUAUUAAUUAUAUAUUAAACUAUAGUUAUUAUUGUGAUUAUAUAUUUAUAUCAAUUAUUAAUUAUUAAAUUUCUCAUUUUGUUCUUUCAAAGAGGGAUGAAAGAUAACUUGCCAUGUGGCAAGAAUUAUUCUGGCUUCAUAUAGUUUUAUAGAUAUUUUCACAUCACUUUUAUAUCAAUAAUUUUCAAUAAUUUAGCUAACUAAAUUAGAUUGUGAGGCUUGACUAUAACAAUUUAUAAGUUCAAGCCAGAAAUUACAACAAAUUAAAAUUUGGGAAUCAAAAUGUCACCUGACUUAUAGUUUAAGAAUCAAACAAGCAAUUUACUCUAAUCGAAACCAUAACGGUCGGAUUUUGAAUUUUUAUCGAAUAGGAAUAUGUUUAGAAUAUAGAACCAGAUGCAUCCUCACAGAGUGGUUGAAUUGAAAACCUCAUUUGUACGAGAGUAAUAUUAUACUUAUAAAUAAAUGCUAAAAUACAGAUAACUUUCUUUUAAAUAUCCGUUUUUUUACUUGCUCUUUUUGAUUUUCAAAAAUUUAUAUUUUGCCUCGUUAAAACUUUAGAAAUGUAUCGACCGUCCCUAGCAUAAGUGGCAAAGGGCUUGGUGGUUAGUACCCGAGGUUCCAAGUUCGAAUCUUAGCUGAUUCACAUUUUCAGCUAAGUUUAUAUCUUAAAAAAAAAUAAACGAAACGGGUAGCAUGCUACCUUUCUCUCAAAAAAAAAAAAAUAGAAAUAUUUUCAAAAGGGUAAAGUGUUAAUAGAGAGGGCAAACUCACCAAAUUACCCAUACUUCUUCUAUAAAAAAAAAAUAACCUUUUAAUAUAUUUAUAUUGUUUCGAAGAGUAUUUUUAUUAUAAAUUAUUAUAAGAAAUGGACAGAAUAGUAAUGAAGUCUUGACGGAGGGGAGCUAAAUGCAACAACUUGAAAUGUCAAGAAGGUAAAAUAUAGGUUUUUGAAAGUUAGGGAGGAAAAGUAAAAAAAUAUGUAUAUAUAUAAGGGGGUUUUCUGUAAUUUAGCCUAAAUAAAUUUUAUAAUAUUUUACAAACCAACAUAGAUAUUAAUAUCUAACUAGUGAAAAAGUGUAAAUCACAAGAAGAUAAGCAUGAUUUAUAAUUUUAAGCUUGAAAUCCAACCAUUGGUUUGUAUAGUGUCUAAAAUGUUGUGAGAUUUAUUUGUAAACAAAUGAUUUUCCUUGCUGAAUAAAAAUAAAUUUUACAAUAUUUUAGAAACCAGCACAUAUAUAGGUGGCGGUAUUUAAUUAGUGAAGAAGUGUAAAUCACAAGAAGAUAAGCAUGAUUUAUAAUUUCAAGGUUGAAAUCCAACCACUGAAUUUUGUAGUGUGUAAAAAAUUGUGAGGUUUAUUUGUAAACAAAUCAUCUUCUUUACUACGUAAUGUUAUAAUUACUCACAAAUUUUAGGCUAAAUUACAAAAAACCCUUACGUAAUAACCCGUUUUUUCACUUUCCCCGCCUGACAUUUAAAAACCUACACUUUGCCCCCCUGUAAAAUGAAAAAUAUUCACAGGGAGGUUACGGUGUGUAAAAUGACCAUUUUGCCCCUCGCCAUUGUCGUCUUCUUUCGGCCGCGAUUUCUUUCCAUUUUCUUCUCCACCUGCUCCUCUUCUCCUCCUGCACCCUCGCCGCCCUCGAUUUCGGCGACAGUAGGAGAAAACCGAGGUGGGCGACAGUACGAGAAGGGCAAAAAAGGCGAAGGCGAGGCGGCGGAGGACGGCGAAGGGGAUGUGGGUGAGGGCGCGGCAGUGGAGAACGGCGAGGCGGCUAGGCGGCGAGGCGGAGAGGCGGCAGCGAGGUGGCGAGCCGGAGGGAGGCGAAGCAACAGGAAGAUGGCGGAGGGGUAUUUUCGACAUAAAAAUAUAUUUUUUAAUGGAACCCUAACUGUAGGGGGUGAAGUGCAUAUUUUUUAUUUUACAAGAGGGUAAAGUGUAGGUUUUUAAAUGUCAGGGAGGGAAAGUGAAAAAGCGGGUUAUUACAAGGGAGUUUUCUGUAAUUUAGCCCAAAUUUUAUAAUAUUUUACAAACUAGUGAGUUUGAUUGGAAUUGCGGGAAAAUUGCGUUACGUGCGGUGAAAAAGUACAUUGGAAAAAUACCUCCUUACGUAAUAUCGCAUUCCGCAUAUCGCGAUGAGUCGGUUAUGAUAUAUUUUUUACAGUCCCACUGGAGAACACAAAAGUAUAUCCCUAUAUAUUUUUUUUUUCAACUCUAUUUUAUCUAAUAGCGUUAGAUAGAUCUCAAAAUCAAAUUAAAACUGAGUGCCCGACUAAGGCGCAUCUUUGCAAAAACCACGUGGAUCUAUGAAAGAAGAUUUUUGCGUUGAUACCCCUAGAAGGGGCCUGCAAGCACUGCACUUAAAAAUCAUAAUUUUCAAGGUAUGCAUACAAAAUUACAAAUACAAACUUUUUGCAUUGGUUUUUGUGUGAUUCCGCAAGUUUUGCAGUCUUGCAGGAGAGUACAUAAGCCAAAAAACAGGGUUGUUUUUGCAUUUACUCCCCUCAGAUUUUUUUUUUUCACAAAUAACCCUAUAAAAUUUAUAUUUGCAAGAUUGACCCUAUCCCCACCACACAAGAGCCACGCAAACGCCAUGUAAGCGUGCUGGGUGGUAUAAGUUAAGUUGAACACGAUAAACCAUUCAUUGUGUUUGGACACACGGUGAAUGAUUCACCAUACUUGAUUGUAUUAAUCAUGUAUAUAAGUGUGUAUGAGUGUGUAUAAAUAUAUUGAAUACGGCGAAUCAUUCACCAUAUCCAAACAUGAUGAAAGGUUUAUUGUAUUCAACUUAAUCUUAUCACCGAGCACGUUCACGAGGCGCUUGCGUGGCAGGGAUAGGACCAAUCUUGCAAAUAUAAAUUUUGUGGGAUUAUUUGUGAUUUUUUUUUUCUGAGGGGGCUAAAUGCAAAAAAAAACCCCAAAAAAACACUUCAUUGCAAGAGCCAACAUUUUGCAUCGUGGUGGAAGGUCAGGUUGAGUCAAAUCACGUUCUAAAUGGCGGGAGGUCAGGUUGGAUCUGACUUAUGUUCAAAAUGCCGGAAAGUCAGAUCAGAUUGAGUCACAAUCGAAAUCAAUAGACAUUGUAUUUGUUUGUUUUAAGUGAAUUAAUUGCAUUAUUCUAAUAGCCUGAAUUUUUAAAAUUAAUGGUUGGUAUCAACAAUCUUACAGAUACUGAAAGAGAGAACAAUAUAUAAUGACAAUUCUAUUCAGCAAACAGUUUAGUAUUUCCACAGCUUUCCAUUCAUUUAUUAAUAUGGUGCAUUUCCACAACUUACAACAAAAGAGCCAUCCAAAUUAAAUCUUUAUUUAGUUGAUUUUUAAGUACAGUUGAGUAUAAAACUAUGACUCAGUUAUUCUUGCACUAACAUGCAGCAAUUAAUACAAGUAAAUUGCAAAUAGAAAAAGCAUUGCAAUUCAAACUAGUUAUUCCAGAGUGCAAAAGAAAAAGUCGGCGAAAACUGGAAAAUUAUAAGGUUGUAUAUCUUUUUAUCUUUAUUUCUCAACAACUUAAUACAAUAAAUGAAUCAUCUGUUACAAUCACUCUGAGUACAUUUUAAUUCCUCAACCAAUAUGUGUAUAAACCUCAUCAAAAAUCACAAAAGAAAAACACACCCAAAUUUGAAAAAAUUCUCUCAAACACAGUAAUACAAACACAAUAAACACAGAUACAGCAGAACAAUCAUACAGCAAAAGAAUGAGUUAAACUGAUCGCUUUCCGAUCAAUACCCGGAGCUUCGAGGCACCCGAAACGAACCACCGGAGUAAAGCAUCGCAUAUACCGGUCUUAUUCUCACAGUAAGAACAAUACUCAGCAAAGUCCCCAGGCAGCAAACACCAGCAAGAACCAGAAAUGUGAGCCUAAAACACUCAGGCCCUAAACAAGUGAGGCUCGAGCUCUCGAAAAGUAGUGUGUCAUGAUGUUGUUUCGCGGCCUCCUUGUCGUAGAUAUACCCGGCAAGAAGGCCAGAAAACAAGAAGGCGCCGAGCGGGUUCCCCAGCAGCAUGAAGUUGUAGAUCAUGCCGAAAUUCUUCAGCCCGAAAAGCUCAGACGCUGUCGGUAUCAUCGCGGAGAAUUGGACUCCGUAACAUAAGCCCAAUGAGGCGGUCGUCGCGUAGAGAGCGGCGGUGAAAGGCGAGGCCAAGAGGAGGUAUGAUAUGAUCAUUAUGAUUUGCGUCACCGCCAUCCAUAUCGUUCGAGGAAGCAUUCUUGCGCUGUGGAAAAUGUUUGAACUAUUUCUGUCAGUGUGACUACUGUAAUACUUGCAUUCUGCAGUAGAUUUUCGCUGAAAUUACCUCACAAAAUGCUCAGAAACAGCCCCACCGCCGAGACGGCCCAGGAAGUUGCAGAAGCUGAAAAUACAAAGCAAGACGGUCGUGUUAUCGACGCCUGCUGCGGUGCCAAUCUGUGCCAGAUUAUUAAGAACUGUGACUCCCGAGCCGACACCGAAGAAGUACGUGACGAAAAGAAGCCAGAAAUCGGCUUUUACGACGGCUUCUUUGAACUUGAAGUCCUCCCCUCUCCUCGGCCUUCUUUUCCUCUUCACUGCCCCCUCCCCUUCAGCUAACAGAAUGCGCACAUCAUUCGCAUCGUCGGCCUCCGGUAAGUCCUCGAGAGCAGCUCCUGAAGGCGAGGCCGCCAAUAACGGCGCCGACUUGUCUUGAUCCGAUAAAUUCUCCGACGAACUCGAAGGCGCAGCGACGGUAACUUUCUUUCUGUUUUUCGGAAAUAGCGUCAUCUUUACAGGUAUCGCGAGAGGCGCGAGGAGGAAGAGGACCAUGAUGCUGAUCAAAAUAUAAUUGGCAGCAUCACAUAACGAGAGAAAACUACUCAAAACCGUCGUGGUGAGAAGGUAAAUGCCGAGAAAGACGCUGCAGAUCUGCGUGAACAGAAAAUGGCCGUGCUGAGAGGAGUCGUCGUCUGAGGCGGGAGUGCAGGGCCUGAUGAAGUACAUCAUGGCGAGGCAGACAGCAGGGAGGCCCAGCGCGAGGAAGAGCAAGAGUUUUGUGGGGGAACUGUCGAGGAGGCCGGAGUAUAUCGGAGUGAACACCGCUGCGCUGAGGCCUGCAUAUCCCUUGAGGAUCCCCGCGACGGUGCCUCUGCUGACAGGGAAGUUCCUCAUGUUGGUCACCAGAACUGCUGUCAUGAGCCACGCGCUGCUGUUCGUUCCGACGUAUAACGCGAUCCACAGCUGAAUUUGAAUCGAAAGAUUAAACUUAUUUUGGAUACGAACUGACUGAAGCUGAAAUUGUACGUGAAGCAGAAGAAAGAUUUCAGAAAGAAGGUGUAUUUCUGUAACGACAUGAAGCGCCCGUAAAAUUGAAUUUCUUGUAAAUUGGUAAAGAAUUGUGCAUGCAUAUAUAUAUAUAUAUAUAUAUAUAUAUAUGUUAGUUGUCAGAAUCAGAGCAGGAUGUUUCAGGUGGAAAAAUAAAUAUGAAAGAUCUAAAAAGAAAUGAGUCCAAUAUUUGCUAAUGAAAAUCAACACCAAAUCAAGGAUAAAUGACCAAUGUAAAUUAGAUAGAAUCAGCAAUUGCAAACCUCUCAAUUAUCGAUUAAUUAUCGGAAAAGAUAAUUCAAUCUGCAAAGGAAAAAUCCAAAAGAUGGCACGAAUAAUUAAGAAACCUCCCGAAAGGGUACUAAUUUUGUGAAAUGAGCAUGAAUCAAAUUAUCAAAAUAUAAAUAGAUAAUCUUCAGAUCAAAAAAGCAGAAAUGAUACAAUUAGCUCAUGCAGUCCCGUGGGGCCUAGUUUGGUAAUGUGAUGGAUAGAAACACCAUUUUUAUAUAUUAAAAGGUCUCUGAAAAAAAAAAAAAAAUACAAGCGCUUUUAAUCUUUUCCCCUCCAAUACUAUAAAAUUGCGGCGGCAACCACAACUGAAAAAGUAUGUGGUUAUAUAUUUCUCCGAUAGUAGUUACCACCGUAAUUUUAUAAUAUAAAAUGAGGAAAAAUUAAAAAUUUUUCUAAAUUUUCUGAUUCUUUUAAAGUAUAAAAGUAAUGUUUUUAGCUACCAUACUAUCAAACUAGGUAUGGAUAAUAUAUAAGAUAUAUAAAAAUAAAAGGAAAAGAAAGAGAAAAAAAAAAUCUCAAUUUAGAAAUGAAAUAUUUAAAAGAAGACCAAGCGCAUGCAUUGAAAAAGUAUGUGGUUAUAUAUUUCUUCGAUAGCAGUUACCACCGUAAUUUUAUAAUAUAAAAUGAGAAAAAAUUAAAAGUUUUUCUAAAUUUUCUGAUUCUUUUAAAGUAUAAAAGUAAUGUUUUUAGCUACCGUACUAUCAAACUAGGUAUGGAUAAUAUAUAAAAUAUAUAAAAAUAAAAGGAAAAGAAAGAGAAAAGGAAAAAAUCUCAAUUUAGAAAUGAAAUAUUUAAAAGAAGACCAAGNAGUUUCCUCACCAACCAACAAGGCAGAAACAAAUAACCAAUAAAAAUUGGGUAGAAUUAGCAAAGUACCAAACAUAAAAAGAACAAGAAAAAAGGUAUCAAACAUAUCAACUUUGAACAGUAAAGGUGGUUCAGUUUCCUCAUCAUUCAAUUAAGUAUCCAAUAAGACAGAAACAUACAACAAGUAUAAAAAGGGUAAAGGGCCUAUGAAGUAUCAAAAAUUAAAAAAGAAAAAAAAAAUCCCAAAAAGGAGCCAAGUGCAAAAACCACAUAACCAGUGAAAUCCCUAAAAAAACAUUGAUUUUGAGAAAUGGGUACAAAUCUUAUUAUGAAAUAAAAAAGGGGGUUAAUAAGAUCAGUAGUUCCUGAACAUCCAAUAAGGCGAAAAUAAUAAAAUUAGCAAAUGCAAUCCUAAUCCUCCAUUUGAUUUACACACAUACACACACAAAGAGUGAGAAAACCCAAACGCAAAAGCUAAAGAACCAAUGAAACCCCUCUAAAGACAACAGUUUAGAUGUCAGAAUAAGAUAUUCAAUAAUAAUUUAUCCAGCACGGAUUUUUUUUUUUUUUUUUUUUUCAUGUGUUGGAAAAUUAGCAGUUUAAUUCUUACUCCUCGAUAAGUCGUGGCAUCUACAAUUUGAUGACACUCUUCAUUGGAAGUGAGAUAUUUGAUUUAUUAUUUUUUUUCUCCUUGUCAUUAAGGCCAUGGUAUCUAUGAUUUUGUAUAAUAGUGUAGUUUAUAGAUGAAAUAAUUUAUUUUAUUUCAAAAAAUUAACUCGAAGACCGAAUAUGAUAUCUGCUUUAAACAUCUGAUUACACUUUUAGAAAAAAAAAAAGGUUAAGUGCAUACAGCUCCCUAUAAAUAUAUUGCAUAACAAAUAUAUUCCUACAAAGUUCAACUUUUUAUAUUUAUUCUUGCAAAAGUUUUAACGUUUUCAAAUAUAUUUCUACUGUUAAGAUCCGUUAGAAAAAUAUUAUAAACUAUAAGUAAAAUACUUAAUUCUGAUUAGUAAAUGAGGUAAAUUGACCUUUUUACCCCACUUAUGUUAUUUGUGAUGGCAGAAAGAAAAAGAAUAACUGUUGGAGAUUUUUGAAAGAAUAUUUCUAUGUAAUUCUAAUAGUUAAGACUUUUAGACGGAUAUAUUUGUGAUGCCAAAAAUAUCAUUUUAUUUAUUUUCUAUUAAAAAAUAAACAGUGCUCUAACGUUAAUAAACUAGAGAGACAAAUAUAAAUAUCACUAAAUAUUUAUAAGAAAUAAAUAUAAAAAAUUAAACUUUAUAGAGAUAUAUUAGCUAUUUGAUAUGUUUAUAGGAGGACGUAUGAAAUUAACCCCGAAAAAAAUACAAUUCAUACAAAAAAAAAAAGAAGAGAAAAUUUAAAACUCAAUUUAAGAGAAACAGUGUUAAAGAAAAAAGAAAAGAAAUUUAAAAAAAUUGAAACCUAGAAACUGAAUAACCAACAAAAUUCACGGAAACUAAGUGGGUGUUUUGGCCUUACUUUUAAAGAAUAAUUUUUGGCCCAAAAGUCGAUUCCUAUAGCUUUUAAAACUGAACAACCAGCCAAAUUUUACAGCUAUAAAUCAAAAUUAAUUUUGCAAGCAAAAUUCGUUACGUAGAUAUUAUUUUUUCAGAAUCUAGGCCGAAUGGACUCUAAUAACUCUACAAAUUAAGCGGUCACAAUCCAAACGGGCCAAAAAAAUGAAAAAAAAAAAAGGAAAGUGAAAAAACAAAAAGAAGAAGAAAAGAAAACAAUAGAGGAUAGGAUGAAUGAUGAUCAAUAUUUCUGACCAGCCACCAACUGUUUCUAAAGCAAGUGGCAAAAGAUUUGGUGGUUGGUAUCCGAAAUCCAAGUUCGAAUUCUAGUUGAUUUACAUUUCUAGCUAAGUUUAUUUCUAAAUGAAAUAAACGAAGCGGAUAGUGUGCUACCUAUCUCUCAAAAAAAAAAAAAAAAAAUUUCUGACCAGCCAGUAGGGCAAUCCGAGGAGGGUGCGGGAGACGGCGAGCCAGAGGAGGCCGAAGCCGAGGAAGCAGGCGGCGGCGCCGACGGCGAGGGCGAGGCCGGGGGCCAGGCGGUUGCAGAGCAGCCCCGGGACGAGGCCGAGGUUCUCGCCCAUGUCGUUGGCCACGCCCAGCAUCGCCACCUGCUGCUGCCUCAACCCCAGCACCGCUUUCAGCGCGUGCGAGUACAGCGGGAACGCGUACGCGCUGCCCGCCGCCACCUGCACCCACACCGCUGCCCCCAGCCCCACCCACGGCGGCCUGCUGCCCCCCUUCACCGCCCCCGCCAUCCAAUCCUCUUAUUAAUUUUCUCUUCUCUUCUUCCCUUCUUCUCUCCUUCUCUCUUCUCCUUCUGUGUCUGUAUAUGUAGAUAAUGUAUAUGUUAAGGAAUGUUCUAAGUCCUCUGAUUAUGUAUGUUUAGUGCAUGUAUGUAUUAAUAGAGGAGGAGAGAGAAAAGGAGACAUGGGGCUGGCUGUUUGUCCGUCAACUGACUGCAGAAGUGGUUAGACAGAGUCACAGACCUCCCUCCUUUUUCUUGUUUCUUCGGUUACCGGCUUUCCUACGUGCUUUGUUUGUCUGUUCUGACGUGCUUUUUAUUCCGGAGGGUCUAUACAUUUUAGCCUUUUUUUUUUUUUUAAUAAAAAAGCCAAAAAUUCUAGAAUGCACCCGUUGUAUUACUAAUGUGAUAUCUUCAACCAUGCAAAAGAAGUUUUCUGGGAUCCACCAAUCCCAUCAUAGUUUAAAAAAAAUUAUUAUUAUUAUAUUUUUCACUCAAAAAUGUAGUGUAAGUGUUACAUACUAGACUUUCUCUAGAUCUACACCCCCCGCCCUACUGUUCACCAAAAAAAAAAUUUGAUGCGAUAAAUAAAAAAAUUAAUGACACUGGGAUGAUGGAAUGAGUGUAAGACAUACAUCCCACUUUGAAGUGUAUCAAUAGUAUUAUUUUUUUUUUAACGUUAGUGUAAUUAAAUUUAUAUUUUUAGAAUAUUAAAAUUGAAUAAAAUUAAUUUAGAAAAUUCUAGGAUGCAUUGAGUAUAAGAUUUAUAUACCUAAGAUUUACAAGUAAUAUUUCUUAUUUUUAAAAUACUGGAUGAUUUUACCGGUAAUUAGUGCGGAAAUAAAUUAUUCCUACAAUCCAAAUUAAUUCCUCCGGUCCAAUUGAAUUCUAGUAUAUUGUUAUAGAAAAUCCACGCCCUUUUUUUUUUUUGGCUUGGAAAAUGGUUUGGAUUUGCUACAAUAAGUAUAUAUAUAUUGGCAAAUUUAUUUAAUAUUUUUUUGACAACAUGUAUUACAUAAUUACUAAUUUUAUAUAUUAUGCAUGCUAAUGUAUUAAUAAUUUAUGAGGGUGCAACUUUUAAAGAUAGUUUAUUGCACCGUUGGUCCCUAAUUUGUUUUAUUUUUUAUUUUUUUAUUUUUUUUGGCAAUCCAAUUCUCAACACUUAUAAUUACUUGCACCACUGGUUCCUAGCCUGUUUUCAUUUUUUUUUUUUCCCCUUAAUUUUACUUUGGUCCCUAACCUAUUCUUCCUCAUGGAUGCCCAUGGCUUUAAACCCAAUAUCACCACUUUCAAUAUUGUCUUUUAUACUUACAACCAUCUCGACCACAGAAAUGAUGUCAACUAUCUCUUUUGGAACAUUUGAUAGUCGUGCCGUCAAACAGUCAUGUGCAUUAUCAAAGUUUUCUGAAAAUUUGUAAAAUUCUGUGGGGAAAUUGAUUAAGAAAUUUUCGGUCCCAUAAUCGUGGUUUAUAUAAGUAGGAGUGUUUUAUUGAAGCCGGCGUGGCCUGUCAAAAUCAACAAGAGUAUUAGGGCAUGUUUGAUUUAUAAUUGAAAUUGGAAUGCGAAAUAGAAUUGUAUUAUAUUGGAAUAGAAAAUGGAACGACGAAUCAUUCAAAAAUGUUUGGUCCAUUAUCGGAAAAAAAAAUCGGCAUAACUAAUUGGGACGCUUAGCAUUUUGAAAAAAAAAAAUUGAUUAAGAGAUAGGGAAAUGAUGAAGAGAGAGGAGGAGGCGGCGUUUGCUAGAGAGGACAUUGAAUGGUUUACUCCGGAAUAAACCAAUUCAUGAUUUAAAGCUGAUUGGAUCAUUCUCAUUUUAGAGUGAAAUUGGAAUCAAAAUUUGAUUUUUAUAAAAUAAACAAUAAUUAUUAAAAUGAGUGAAUCUCAUUUCGGUUAUAGAAUCUUAACCAAACAAGCUCUUAGAGUGGUUAGGACCAAACUGAAACAACAUAUAAAGUGUAAGAACGUGAUAGCGAAAAAUAAAAAGUUGGGGACGGAAGUUAAAAACCUGGUAAUGAUUAGGUACCAAUAGUGUAAAUAACUCUUUUAUACCGACCGUCCCUAGCGCAAGUGGCAAAGACUUGAUAGUUGGUACUCGAGAUCCCAAGUUUAAAGUCUAGUUAUUUUAUAUUUUUAGCUAAAAGAAAUAAAUGAUAGUAUGCUACCUUUCCCACUCUCUCUCUCUCAAAAAAAAAAAAAAAAAAAAAAAAAAAAACUUCAUUAUAAAUAUCUAUUUUUUUACUUUUCCUUCAUAAUUUUUAAAAACCUAUAUUUUACUUUCUUAAUAUUUUAAGUUGUUGCAUUUAAUUCCCCUUGGUCAAGGUUCAAUCACUAUUCCGCCUAUUUUUAUAAUUUAUACCGAAAAUGCCCUUAAAAAUAACAUAAAUGUAUUAAAAAAUAUUGUAUAAAAAAAUAAUUUGAUCAUUUUGUCCUCUUCAUUAAUGCCAGAAAUUUUAAGGAACAGAAUAUAGGUUGUUCAAAAUUAGAAAUGUUAAGUGAAAAAAACGAGUAUGUAUGGAUUUUUUUUUCUAUAAUUUAGCAUUUUUUUCUAUUAUUGAAUUUUGGAAAAACUUCAAAUACCACCAAUGUGAUUUCGCACUUUUUCACUUUAGUACUCGGUGGUUUAAAGUGUAUAAAUUUAGUACCAUGUGGUUUCUUACUUUCUUAUUUUAGUACCCUAUGGUUUAAAGUGCAUCAAUUUAGUAUUUUAUGGUUUCAUUUUUCUCUUUUCGUCGACUCCUCUGUUAAUAUUUCGUUAAAUUAUAUACAAAAAAAACUUCAGAUAUCCUACCUAGGUUUAUCGAAUAUUUACGUUAGUACCUUAUAGUUUUAACUUCAUCACUGAUUUUUUUUUCUCCGUUAAUAUUUCGUUAAAUUAUAUACAAAAAACUUCAAAUACCCUACCUAGGUUUAUCGAAUAUUCACUUCAGUACCCUUUAGUUUUAACUUUAUCACUGAUUUAAUGAAAAAAAUUAAUGAAAUAAAUAAUAAAAAUAAAUAAAUAAAACUAUAUGGUACUGACUUGAUACAUUUUAAAUAAUAAAAUAUUAAAAUAAAAAGGUGUGAAUGCACGGGGGGAUAUUUGAAGUUUAUCCUUGAAUUUUUCUACGGAUCACAAAGAAAAGAGUCCCAUUAGUACGGACAUACACCGGGCGCACGGAACACGCUGUUCCGUGUUGGACUGGGACUCGAGUUGUGGGGUGGUGGUGGUGGUGGUGGUGGGGCCACGACAAAAAAGGGGCGGGCGAGCGCCGUGCACAUCGAGGCAGCGGGCGAAACCGGGCGCGGAGUUGGGCGUUAUUUACGGGAAAUGCCACGCCCCCGCGGGGGUCACGUGACGCGCACGUGCGGGGUUUGCGUGUGCGUGAUGUGACGUGGAGUGCGCGGGGGUGGGGGGUGGGGGGGUGGGUGUGGGCCCCACGUUUCUCUCGCGGGCCCGGCUCGAAAAAUUGGCGCGCUCUUCUCGCGGCGUUCGAAGCAAAUAUCUCGUAAUUAUCGCAGUUUUGCCGUAUAUAUUUUUUUUCCCAUUAAUUAUAGACACGCCUAGCGAAUCUAUUUCUACAUAAUUUUUUUUUGUUUAUUUUUAGACUAAAUUACAAAAAAUCUUUCUGUCCAUAGCCGCUUUUUCACUUUUUCAGGGUAUUUUUUUACUUUUUUUUUCUGUCAUUUAAAAACCUACACUUUACCCCUUAAAAAUGAGAAAUGUUCACAGGGGGUACACCAUGAUGAAAUGACCAAAAUGCCCCUCACCAUCUUCGUCUUCUCCCCCAACCUCGCUCAAUCAUCGCCCCUCCUCUUUCGUUCUUCGAGCCUCGCUCAACCGCAGCUCCGACUCCAUUUUCCUCCACAUACUCCCCCGCUCUUCCUGCGCUCGCGUUGCCCCUCCAUUUCGGCGACAAUAGGGAGGAGAUCGGAGUGGGCAUGAACGGAGAGACGUGCGAGGGCGAGGGCAAGACGGCGAAGGAGCACGAGAGCAUGUGUGUGGAUACGAAUCGAGGGGGCGAGGGCGAGGCGGCGGUGUAGGGCGGCGAGAAAGGAGGCGGCAGGGAGGAAAGGGUAUUUUGGGUAUAAAAAAUAUAUAAUAAUAGGAUAUAAACGGAACCCUAACGGAAUACUGACCGCGGGGGACCAAAGUGAACAUUUCUCAUUUUUCAAUGGGGUAAAGUGUAGGUUUUUAAAUGACCGAAGGAAAGUGAAAAAGCGGGUAUUGACAAUGAGGUUUCCUGUAAUUUAGCCUUAUUUUUAAUUAUGCCACUACAGUUAGAAUUCAUUAAAAAUAUACAAUUAAUCAUAAAUAAAAUAUUUAAUUCUAAUUAGUGAAUGAGGUAAAUUGAUAUUUUUACCCUCUUAUUGAUGGUAGAAAGGAAGAACAUCACUGUUGGAGAUUUUUGGAUGGAUAUUUUUGAAUAAUUCUAACAGUUUUGACUUUUGGAGAAAUAUAUUUGUGAUGGCAAAAAUAUAAUUUUAUUUUUUUUGUUAAAAAAUAAAUGAUACUCUAAGGGCGUGUUUGGUUCGCUUUUUUUUCACCCUGGAAUCGGAAUGGGAAUGGGUAAAUUCGUUUGUGGGUGUUUGGUACGCGGGAGUCCCAUUCCGAUUUCGAUUCCCGAGUGGAAUGGGAAUCCCCCAAUCACCUCUUUUUCAAUCCGGUCUAGGAGGCCGGAUUGAAAGUUGAAUCCGGACGGAAUGGAUAUUUAUUCGGAUUAAAUUUAUUUUUUUAAUUUUUUUAAUUAAAAUAUGAGUUAAAAUUUAAAAAUUAAAUAUAUAAUUUUAAAUUUUAAUUUAAACCUAAAUUAAAAAUUAAAAUUUAAUCAAGUAUUUCGAAUCUAACUUAUGAAUUUGAAUUUAAAUUAAAUUUUAAUUUAUAUAAAGUUUAAUUCAAAUUUUAUUUAAAACUUAAAUUAAAUUUAUGGAUUCCAAUUAAAAUUUAGAUUGUAAUUUUAAGUUUGAAUUUGAAUAAAUUAAAAUUUAGUUUCAUAUUUUGAAUUAUCCACUCAACUUCAAAGUUUAUUUUAAAAAAAAAAAAAUUUAAAAUUUUGACAUUAUUUCAAAAUUUUGAUGUAAAUUUUUAAUUUUUAAUUUUUAAUUUGAAUUUAAAUUAAUAUAUUAUAAAGAUAAUGUUAGUAUAUUAAUUUGAUUACGUUUUUUAUAUCCACCUGAACCAAACACUGAUAAUGGGAAUGAUUUAUUCCGAUUCCGAUUCAGGUGAUGAACCAAACAGAAUUAGGUAAUGAGUCAUUACGAUUCCGAUUCCAGCUUAUUUUGAUUCCGAUUCCGAUUCCGACUCCGACUUCAAACCAAACACGCCUUAAUGGUAACAAAUCAGAAAGGAAGAAGAUAACUGUUGGAGAUUUUUGGGUGGAUGUUUUUAAAUAAUUCUAACAGUUUUGGCUUUUGGAAGAAUAUAUUUGUGAUGGCAAAAAUGCCUUUUUUUUUGUUAACAAAUAAAUAAUACUCUAACGGUAACAAAUCAGAAAGGCAAAUAUAAAUAUCAUUGGAUUUUUGUAGAAAUAAAAAUGAAAAGUGGAGUUUGUAGGAAUAUAUUGCUAUUGAAUAUGUUUACAGAGAAUUGUAUGAAAUUAACCAUUUUUCAUAAUAAAUUGCACCGACUGUCCCUUAGAGCAAGUGGCAAAGGGCUUGGUGGUUGGUACCCGAGACCCAAGUUCGAAUUCUAGUUGAUUCACAUUUCUAGCUAAGUUUAUUUUUAAAUGAAAUAAAUGAAGCGGGUAGCGUGCUACCUAUUUCUCUCAAAAAAAAAAAAAAGAAGAAUAAAUUGCACAAUGGUGACACUUCAGUUCUCAAAUUUUAAUUUAGUAUUGAUUUUGUACAGCUCUCUGAAAAUAUAUCGAAUAAUAAAUAUAUUUCUACAAAGUUUAAGUGAUUAGAUUUAUUAUCUGAAAAUUCUAUAGUUUACAAAUAUAUUUCUUCAAAAAAGAAAUAUUUAAUAAAAAAAGUUAUCCGUUAGAGUAAAAAUAUUAAAAGUUUGUUUCGAUACGUUAUUUGUUCUAUAUAAAAAAAAUAAAAUUAUUUAUGCAAAAAAGUAGAUCAAUCAACAGAGAAAAUAGUACUAAAAUAUUAAUAUUAUUUAACUAGCUUUAUUAAAUCAAAUCCGUACAUAUGUAAAUUAAUAUUUUAUUUAUUUUUAAAUUUACAAUGAAUGUACUAAGAUAUUUAAUUUUUGGUAAUCACGCAUUGAACGUGACGAGAUUCAAAUAAAUCUAAUACGACUAGAAUCAUUAAUAUCACAUUUUAUUUCUUUAACUUAAAAUAAUUAAUUUUAUUGGACUUUUAUUAUUUAAUAUAUGAUCCAAUUUGGUGAGUAGUUAUUACUCCCAACUGAGUUUCUCAAGAACUGGAAAAAGAAACAACAAAAUAAAUUUUCAUUCUUUUGUCGAUAAAUUAAUUAAUAAAUCUAAUUUCUCGCACUAAAUCGCAAUUAAUAGUGAGUAAUUGAUUGAUAUAUCACAAUAUUUAGUGUGGAUAAUUAAUUAGUGAGUAUUUGAUUCAUUAUAUGGCGAUUACUCAUGAAACUUAUCGUUAUUUAUAAUUAAAAAAUGGCUAAAUUAUAUAAAACCCUCCUGUCAAAAUCUGAUUUUUCAUUUUUCUCUUAUGUCAUUUAAAAACCUACACUUUACCCCCUGUAAAAUGAAAAAUAUUCAUAGAAGGUACAGUGUGUAAAAUGAUCAUUUUGCCCUUCACCAUUUUUGUUUUCUCCAUCAUCUUCCUCAACCGCUGCCUCGAUCGGCCGCGAUUUCUCUCCGUUUUCUUCUUCUCCUGCACCCUCGCCGCCCUUCAAUUUCGGCGACAUAAGGAGGAAAUCGAGGUGGGUGUUGAUGGAAAGGUAGGCAAGGGCAACGAGGGCGAAGACGAGGCGACGGAGGAGGGCGAAGGGGAUGUGGGCGAGGGCGAGGCAGUGGAGGAGGGCCAGGCGGCGAGGCGGCGAGCCGGAGGGAGGCGAAGCAACAGGAAAAGGACGGAGGGGUAAUUUUGGCAUAAAAAUAUAUUUUAUAACGAAACCUUAACGGUAGGAGGUGAAGUGCAUAUUUUUUAUUUUACAAUAGGGCAAAGUGUAGGUUUUUAAAUGACAGGAGGAAAGUAAAAAAUUAAGUUUUGACAUGAGGAUUUUCUGUAAUUUAACCUUAAAAAAUAUACGUACUUAUCUGAAACAUGAAUCAUUAUGCAUUAACUAUUCAAUCUUUUUAAAUCUUAAUUUUACUGUCUAAUUUUUUUAUUUAUUUGAUUUUGAUUUUAAAAUUUAAAUACCUGAAACAUGAAUCAUUAUGCAUUAACUAUUCAAUCUUUUUAAAUCUUAAUUUUACUGUCUAAUUUUUUUAUUUAUUUGAUUUUGAUUUUAAAAUUUAAAUACCUGAAACAUGAAUCAUUAUGCAUUAACUAUUCAAUCUUUUUAAAUCUUAAUUUUACUGUCUAAUUUUUUUAUUUAUUUGAUUUUGAUUUUAAAAUUUAAAUACCUGAAACAUGAAUCAUUAUGCAUUAACNUAGAUUUUUUUUUUUUUUUUUUGCCCUUUUGCUUUGCGAAUUACACCAAUCACCUCGUGAUUGAUAUUUGUUAUCUAAUUAAAUAUGAUCACAUAUAUAGACAAUUUAUAAAAUGCUGUAGAAUUUGUUUGUAAGUAUAUGAUCACAUAUUUCUGUGAGGGGCCGCGGAAAAAAAUGUUCGAUCUUUGUCUUACAACAAUAUGCUGGGAACUGUGGAAGAAAAGAAACAGUCGUAUUUUCAACGGACACCUCACUCGAAGUGACGAAACUGGAAGGAGAGUGUCUAACACAAUUAAUCUAUGACAAUUUAUGCUUGGACCGUGAUUGUGUGUAGGGACGAAUCUCCCUGUGGUCCUCUCGGCACUUCGGCGCACACACAUAUGUUACUACUUAUGUUAUGCUUGUAGAAUUUCUUUAUGUCACCAGCAACUUUCUUUUGUUUUGUGAAGUCUGGGUGUAGGUGCUUUCUGAUCGUGUUUGUGUUUCGGUCACAGUUUCGACCCUUUUGUUGAUCCGGGCUGUAGCUAACCUUUUAUCUUCAACUUUUUGUAACCUUUUUCAUUCCUGUCUAAAUAGGGUAUAUCCCUGUUUCCUCAAAAAAAAAAAAAAAGUAUAUAUAAUAUUAUUUUUGGAAAGAGAAGAGAUUUUUUUUUAGGGAAAACUUCAAAAACCUCUCCUGUGGUUUCACACUUUUUCAUUUUAGUACCAUGUGGUUUAAAGUGUAUCAAGUUAGUACCCUGUGGUUUCUCACUUUAUCACUUUAAUACCCUGUGGUUUAAAGUGUAUCAAGUUAGUACCCUGUGGUUUUACACUUUAUCACUUUAGUAUCCUGCGGUUUCACAGUUUAUCACUUUAGUACCCUGUGAUUUUAAAAAACCACAGGGUACUAACUUGAUACAAAAUUAAAACUACAUGGUACUAAAGUGAUAAAGUGCAAAACCACAGGGUACUAACUUAAUGCACUUUAAACUACAGGGUACUAAAGUGAUAAAGUGAGAAACCACAUGGUACUAACUUGAUAUAUUUUAAACCAUAGGAUAUUAAAGUAAAAAAAAUUGAAACCACAAGGGGUUUUUUUAAAGUUUUCCCUUUUUUUUUAUUAGCUUAUAAUGUAUAGGACAUUCAUGCAAAGCAGAUUUUGGGGGACUACCAGCUACAAAUUAAGCAGGAUUUAGUGAUGAAAAAAUGGAUCCUGUCUUUUCCUGGAGCAUUUCACUCUUUCAGUAUGCCAAAAUAUUUUGUUCUUUUUCUUCAGAUAAAGAUACUGUUGUAUCUUACACUAAAGAAAAUAAAUAGCAACACAUUUUAUUUUAUUUUCUUUUGGUAAAAAAAUAUAUAACUUAAUUACCUUAACCAUUUUGAUUCGAUUAUCUUAUUUUGAAAAUUUUGGAUUUUACUCUCUUAUCUUUUAGUUUGUUUGAUUUAAGUUACUUGGUGGCAAUUUUCGCACAAAAUUUAUCUUACUUGCUUUAACAAGUUUAUAGCUAGUUACAUAUAUUGCACAAUAUAUAUUAGGCUAAAUUAUAUAAAACUUUCAUGUCAAAAUCUGAUUUUUUACUUUUCCCUUCUGUCAUUUAAAAACCUACACUUUGCCCCUCCUUAUAAAAUGAAAAAUAUUCACUUCACUUCCUGCCGUUAGUGAUUCGUUAGAAUUUCGUUUAUAAAAUAUUAUUAUAUAUAUUUUUAUGCCAAAAAUGACCUCGGUCUUCUCUUCAAUUGCCAAAAAUGGUGAGGGGUAAAAUUGUCAUUUUGUCAUCACAGUUUGCACCGUAUCCUUCUGUGACCAUUUUUUAUUUUACAAUGGGACAAAGUGUAGAUUUUUAAAUGACAGGAAGGAAAAGUAAAAAAUUGGAUUUUGACAGGAGGGUUUUAUGUAAUUUAGCCUUUAGGGUGUUCCUGAGUUUGCACCCUUUGUAGCUUUCAAGCCCCUUUAUACUAAUUAAUUCUGUAAAGAUAAAAAGAGUAUUCAAAUUUUUAAGUUAAGAAGUUACUAAUUAGCUCAAAUCAAAUAAAUGAAAAUGUUAGAUAGUAAAAUUAAAAUUUUUAAAGAUAAAGUAGCCAAAUCAAAAUAGGUUAUAGUUAAGAUAAAUUUUUUUUUAUAUAUAUAUAUAUUUUUUUGACACAUAAAUUAAUGUCCAUUUAGUAACUUUCUAUUUGUUUACUCGCAACAUGUAUUAAACUUUGUUUGACAUCUGUUUCUUCUUCUUUUUUUUUUUGUUGAAAAGUUAUUCUUUCUUAUUCUGAUAUUUAUAUGUGUACCAUUAGCCAAUUAAAUAUUUAUAGGCGUUGCGUAGAACCAAAGUUUCAUUUUUCCACGGGUGUUGGCUUUUGAAUAUGUAGAAGGGAACAACAACGCUUGGUCCUAACUAAAAGAGUUUUUGUUUUUGUUUUUUUUAAUCAAAAGAAAAAGGGUAUUUUAUUUUUAAAAAAAAAUAAUUUUAAGGGUUUUGUUUUUGGUAUAUGGCUAAUUAAUUAGAAACAGUUAUAUAUUUCGACUUAUGAGAGAUCGAUCUUAUAUUGCUAUUAUUGAUUGGCCAGAUGAAAUUAAUGAAUAUUUUGAUAUAUAAUUAUGGUCUAUAUUUGCUGUGUCUUUGGUACAAUAUAUUUGGAGACAAUUAAAAAAAUAGCGCUACAAAGUUGAAAAUUGCAUAAUUUAUCUCUUUAAACUUUAAAAUAUUAUAUAUAUUCUUCUCAACUUUAGUAGAUUGGAGCUCAAUUUGAUCGUGCUGAUUGUGACGCGAGAUAUUUAUUAUAAUAUAAUAAGUUAAUUUUUUUUACUACUUUACGAAAUAUAUUUAUAAAAUUUUUAAGUUUACAGUAAUAUAUAUAUAUAUAUAUAUAUAUAUAUAUAUAUAUAUAUAUAGUGGGCUGGUAUGCUUAUGGAAGCACGAAGCCCUCCGGCUUCAAGUUAUUUUCGAGGUUCGGACUUUUCGAAUCGACGACGGCUUCGUUAGAGUUGAUCUAGAUAUUUGAAAUAUCUAGAAAAUAAAUUUUGUGAUUUUCGAUAUCAUUUGCCUAGUGAUCGAAGGCGUUCAAAAUCAAUAAUUUUUAACGGCCGUUGGUGAGAGCGGUUGCAAGUUUAACGGUGUAAAAUCAAAUCACAUGAAUUUUGAUAGAAAUUCUUUAUACCAUAUAAAACAAUGUCAAUAACUUUGAUCUUAAAUUUUAAUGUUCAUAUCAUCAUAUUUUGUAACAUUUUUAUUUUCAAGCCGUUGAUUUUGGCCACUUCGAGUCACUAGACAAAUGACAAUCGAAAAAUCACAAAAUUUAUUUUCUAGAUAUUUCAAAUACUAAGAUCAAGCUCUAAGCGCAGCCGAUCGUCGAAUUCGAAAGUCGAGAACAUCGAAAACAACUUGGAAGCACGGAGCCUCCGGCUGCUUUCCAGAUGCAUACCAGCCACUCUCCUCGUCGCUCUCUCCUCUCUCUCUCUCUCUCUCGUAUAUAUACUAUAAUAUAUAUUAUGCGGUAGGAUGCUUAUGAAGCACGGAGGGCUCCGGCUUCCACUUUGGUUUUCGAUGUUCGGACUUUUUAAUCAACGAUCGGCUCGUUAGAUUGAUCUAAAGUUAUUUCAAAGUACUUGAAAAUAAAUUUCGCGAUUCCGAUAUUAUCUUGCCUAGUGAUCGAAGAGGCUCAAAAUCCAUAAUUUUAAUGGUCGUGGGUGAGCCGUUUUGUAAGUAUUAACACGUGAGAAAUAUGCAAAUCACUAAAUUUUGAUAAAAAUUUUUUAUCUUUUUUCUUUUUUUUUUUUUUUGUUUUUUUUUUUUUUUUUUUUUUUUUUUUUUUUUUAUUUUUUUUUUUUUUUUUUUUUUUUUUUUUUUUUUUUUUUUUUUUUUUUUUUUUUUUUCUUUUUUUUUUUUUUUUUUUUUUUUUUUUUUUUUUUUUUUUUUCUUUUUUUUUUUUUUUUUUUUUUUUUUUUUUUUUUUUUUUUUUUUUUCCAGUAUAAAACAAGAUCAAUAACUUUAUUUCUAAAAUUUUAAUAUCAUAUCAUCAUAUUUUGUAAGAUUUUUUAUUUUUAGCCGUUUGAUUUUGAGCCUCUUCGAUCACUAGGCAGUAAAUGAAUGAUAUCGAAACAAUCGCGAAAAUGUUUAUUUUUCUAGAUACUUCAAAUUGACUCUAGAUCAAGUCUAACGGAGCGAUCGUCGGAUUCGGAAAAUCCCAACAUCGGAAAACAACCUUGAAGCACGGGAGUGCUCCGUGCUUCCAAAAGCCCCCCAGACGGCAGCUACUGGAUAUAUAUAGUAUAUAUAUAUAUAUCGUAUAUAUAUAUAGUAGUAGUACUAUACUAUAUAGCAUAUAUAGUAAUAUAUAUUAUAUAUAUAUGAUAUAGGAUUGGAAUGCUACGUUUACAAAUGCACUUAACAUUAAUUAUUAUAAUAUAUUUAAACCAAUAUAAAUGUGUACAUUAUAUAAAUCCAAAAUUUUAUUAAUAAAACUAUAUUUUAUUAAAUUAAUAAUUAUAUUUUAUUAGAAAUAUUUACAAUAUCCUAUGUGUUCUUUUUUAUAUACAUCGAACAUUUUUAUAUACUUUUUGAUUUUUGAUGAAUUAAAUUUAAAUAUGUGUUUUAAACUAAAAGCAUCAAAAUUUAAUUUAUAUUUAUUUUCAAAUUUUAAAAUUUAAGAUUGAUCCACUGUAAUAAAAAAAUUAAUUGUUAAUUUAAAUUUGAUAUCAAAAAUUAAAUUUAAUUCAUAAUUUAAACUCAAAUUUUAAUGUAAAAUAGAUAAAUAGGAAUGCUUUUAUUUUACAAAUUGAUCAACAUAUCAUAUGUACAUUAGUACAAUCGGUGAUAUUACCAUAUUCAGUGUUUUAAGAGGUACCAUCCUCGUCUUACUUUCUUUUUCGAUUGUUCUUGAUCCAUGAAAUGUAGAGUGAUCCUAUUUUACCGGGAGUAUAACAGUUUGUUUUUAUUUGAGAUAUUUUUUAACAAAUUGAUUAUAAUCGUUCGUAGGAUUGAAUUUACAGAUGGAUAGAAAUGCUAUUUUUUAAUAAAUUGAUCAUAACUAUUCUUAUUUGAAAUUUUUUUUUUAACAAAUUGAUCAUAAGCAUUUGUAGAGAAUAGAUUUUUAUAUAGUAGAGAUUGAAGGUAACUGCACGAAAUUCUCCUCUGAAGAUGUGGAUCUGACCCUGGCAUUGUCGAAGAAUAUCAGGGAAGAAGACCAGCCGACCACUAAAGAAACAACACAACUAAACCUUAGGAAACCCUAAGAGCCAAAACACGAGAGGAAAGCUUGUAGAGAAAAAGAGGGAACGUGAAUUAUUAAUAAGCAUAUUAAAUGGAUAUAAACUUGCUCCCAAUAUGCCCUUUGUUAUCAUUCAGAAUUAUGUAUAGCCAUGCAGAGACAUGGAGUUCUAGCAAACCCCAAGAUACUACUCACUCAUGUGCACUAAAAGGUUUUUCAUUCCAAAAUAUUUCACCCAAGUAUCACAACACUUGAAAAUUACGAAUAAACACAUCAUGGGAAUAGAUUUCUAAUAGCUGAAUUUUCACCGUAUCAUAGUAUCUUGAACAAUAUAUCGAACAAUACAUUAACAUAUCGAUGAAUUAUAAACUGUGCUGAAAUUAGAAAUUGCAGUUUAAUGCUUGUUAUUGGAUACAUACCGUAUAUCUUCUGUUUCUCCAAUGGCUACUAGAAAGGUGCUUGGAAUUACUCCAACAUGAAAUGUGAGGAACAAACAGAUAGAAUAACCUCGAUGAGAUAAGAUGAAAAACACUUUAUACGGCUCUGCUAGAAUCUAUUGAAAGAGAAUUUGUGUAUCUUCUGAAAGUUCCUGUCUGUUAGAUUACAUAUAACAAAUCCAUUGAGAGAAAAGAGAAUAAGCUCUCUCGAUGGUCGAAUUUAGAUUUACUUCACAGAAAUUAUAAAAAUGGGCAGAGAUAAGCAUGACUUCAUAAAUACUGACAAUUCAUAGCUAUGGAAACAACAAAUGAAGGUAAUAGUUGUUUACUUACUUUAAGCAAUUUGUUCUGUUCAUCAAAACAAUGCUGUUCAACAUUAUGAUAAAAUUUGUAAAAGAAGGUAAAACCAAACCAAGAAAAUAUUUGAAAAAGAUGUGGAAGUACUUUGGAAGUUAAAAACUACAAAGCAUAGGCAACAAGUGCUUAUAUAGUUAGCAUAGUUGCACCCAAUAAGCGAAUUACCAAAAUCAAAGCAAUUCCAGUAACUAUCCUUUCUGGAUCUAUGAAAAAGAAACACAGGUUUAUGUAAUGACCGUCCAAUACAUGUGACAAAAAAAAUGUUAAGUACUUGAAACAAAACAAGUACAUCACUAGAAAGCUUACUAAAACAAAUUAUGAAACCACAAUUUGGUAUCGAAAUAAGACACAUAGAAUAUCGAUACAAAUUUCAGAGCAAAAUAAAAAUAUAACAAAGCUAGAUCUCAUGAUAGAUUGGGAUCAUGCAAAUGACAAAGCAAAAACCCAUCGUUCUUCGAUGUAAUAUGGGCAUAAAAACAGCUAGCAUUUGCCGUUUACUGAAUUAAACUAAUAUUGCUAUUCAAGAACGACAUCAGUAUCAUUUAUCUUUUAUGUAGUAAUUUCAUGAUUGGGCAAGAUUUGUUAAAAGGACGCAUUAAUUUAUUUAGACAAUUCUUUUUUUAGUGAUAUAUUGUUUGCUGAAUAUUCUUUAAAUACCUUAUAGAAAAACUGGAGACACAUUGCGUUAUUACAAAGAAAAUACAGGAGACAUCUGUUAACUUUCUAGUCGACAGCCCAAUGAUUCACCAAAUCCCAUGCCACCUACACUUCCUUUGUAUCAAGUGGCCACAUGUGGAUGGACAAAUUUAUCUGAAUCCACCUUAGUUAUAAUUAAUCUGCAUUUGUAUCAAUACCUGACAUGCUACACAAUCGUGAAAAGCAAAAACAAUCCUUUUACAAGUAUGCAUAUACAUACACGUGAGGUAAUUUCUUAACUUAAUCAAAUGAUAAGGAAACAAAAGAAAACAAGUAAAAAUAUCUUAUUGAAAAACAACCAUAACUUCAAAUUUAAGAAUUCGAUAUUAAAAAUUUAUGAUGGAGGUAUGUCUCAACUAACUGAAAUGUACCUUAUUCUGAUUUACUUCAGAAAUUUAAGAAUCUGAGCAACAGACUUGUGAGCUGUGACUGGACAGCGGUAAAUGAGAUCCAAAUGACUAACAAGUUGCUAAAGAAUUAAAUAGUUACCAUCCUGGAAGCAAAUUGUUGUUAGUUAUCCUAGGACCCAAAAUUAAAUAUGUGAAACAAAAUCAAGAGUUUUGUGAAGGUUAUGUCGCACCUAGCUCUCCUGACAUUCCACAAAGGCAGCCAAAUACAUUUUCGAAAAGCAAUAUCUCAUUAAUUGUAAUUCAUAAGAUGUAAUUAAAAGAAUGCGUAUAUGUCUAUAUUUAUACAAUGUAUGUAUGAGAUUCAGCACAGUUUAUUCCUACUUUUGCUCGCUCAUCUUACUGACAAGUUCAGAUUUCGCAAGGUGUAUUAAAAAUAUAAUAGCAAAAGAAAUCGAAACAAUCAACAUGAAAAAUACACUAUUCCAUCCCCUAGUUGAAAUAUAGCCAGUAAGUAGGGGUCCCAGAGCUGCACCGACAGAGCCGGUACCAUCAAUAAUGGCAGUCACAGUAGCUAAUGCUCGGGAAUUCCCUUUAAUCAUGUCUUGAGUACCGAGAUCAGCGGCAACUGCCGUGGUAAUAAGAGAAUAGGGGCCAUUCACAAAAUAACCAGACAGAAGCAUUAAGCCUAAGUUAAGGUGCAUCGACAUGCUUCCAUAUGUUCGAUAAAGAAUAAGUGAAGGGAUUGACAACAAAAGGAACAGAACUGAAGUGAUGGCACGAGCAGAAAUUUUAUCGGAGAUGAAUCCCGCUGAAAUUCCACCAAAAACACCUCCGACAUCGAAUAUUGUUGAAAGAAUUCCAGCAGUUUUAUGUGACACGAGCUUGCCGGCAACACCUAUAAGGGCAAGGACUUUGGCAUAAAUGAAAAUUUAACAUUCUGAAAAGCCAUGUCAUCUUAUGGUGAAACAUAACUCACCCCAACAACUACUAAAUAAAAAUAAAAAUAACAGAAGACUAUUAAAUAAAAGUAACAAUAACAGCUUAAGAUCAGUAGAGGCAAAUGGAUAUAUCAGGAACAUUUAAAACAAAUAACUGUUUAAAAGUUACAUCAGCAAUGGAUAUAAUUACAUAAAUAAUAGCAGGAAUUGAUUGAAAAAAGCUAUAUUCAUCCAAAAAAAAAAAAGAAAUCUCAAGAGAUUGUAAUAGGUGCUGUCAUGAAAUUACUAUCAAGUCAAGGAAUAUUUUGAUUUAAUUGAUAGAUGAAAUUAUAUAGAAGCUGCAUUACUGAACUAAUACAUGAAAAAAAGAUUCACUAUUCGCGAACUAAUAUGUGAAGCAAAGAUUCACCAACUAGCCAUUGGCAGAAUAUGACAGAUAACUCUGUUUUUUUACUGAGCUCUUAUCAUGUUAUCCUCUCUUCAUGUUAUCCUUUCCAGACAGGAACUUCUGUAUGGCCCUCACUAUCCUCAACUCCUUUCCUGACCUCAAGCAUGACUAGCCAUGGUGAUUAUAAAAAUCCUAUUAGCAAGCAGUUCCUAUUAGCAAGCAGUUCAUCUCAUAUGGUUGCUCAUAAACUGGGCUAAUGGGUACUCAAACAUCAACCUAAUGAGUCUUAGGAGUCCGUAACUACCUUCGCUGGUAAUAUCAAACAGAACAGCCUAUUGGUAUUCUCUCUCAAAAAAUUAUAAUUUAAAAUAAAAUUAAAAAGUUACAGGUAGCCUGCAUUCUAACAUGUGAAAAGCAGUGCUAGUUCCUCCAGAUAUAGUGAUCACAUGAAGUUCUAAACUGAAACCUCAGAAUGCGCAAUCUUUAUAUUUUUGCUAGUUGAAGGCCAUGUACUCUAAGAUAUGAAAAUAGUAUAACUUGAAACGAACCCAAUACGUCCAGUACAUUAAGCAGAUGAUAAGCAAUCAUCCUUAAUACAGAUUCCCUGUUAAAGUUCAUGCAAAUUUUCCUAUUUAGUGAUUUCCAAAGUCCUAUUAGGUUAUCAGCCAACAAUGUAGAGUUCCAUAAUGAAUAUGUAGUGCCAUUACUUCUGUGCAGCAGUGAAAUGUCCGAUCCUCUUGUAUGCUAAUGUAGAGCAAAUCGAACAAGGGGAACAAUGGAAAACUCCAUUGAAAACAUCGAUAUCUAAAUAAUGGAUACGCACCAUUGUGCCGAAUGUAAAAUGGCAACCAGUAGAGGAAAGUGUAAGCGACAAGCUUGGAGAAGAAGAGGCAAAAGGCGUAGGGCGCAACCCCAGGCAACCUCCACGCCUCCAGGAACCCAAUCGCCUCCGCGGAGCCCGAAUCGGGCAACUUCUCCAGUCCGAGGAGCCCAAUCUCUUCCCCAUCCAAACCCUCCACCGCUCCAUUCCCAGCAUCACUCAUCUCGACCUCCGCGGAGGCCGGAGCCUCAAACCCUAGAUCUCUGGGAUCUACAACCAAGAACGCCCACACGAUCACUCCGACGAUGGCGAUAAGAAGGCCCGGUACGACGAACGACCACCCCCACCCGAACUCCAGCACCGAGGAGGCGACGACGGAGCCGAGGAUGUUCCCGACGGAAGUGUGCGAGUUCCAGAUCCCGAAGAUGAGCCCGCGCUCCCGCGACUUGCCGAACCAGUUGCCGACGACGGCGACGACGCAGGGCCAGCCGAUGGACUGGGCGGCGCCGCCGGCGAUCUGGACGGCGAGGAAGAAGGCGAGGCUGUGGAGGUCCCACCAGAAGGCGAGGCCGAAGAGCGCGGUGGCGGCGCCGCUGGCGAGCAUGCCGAGGGCGAGGAAGCGGCGGAGGUCGGCGCGGUCGGCGAGGUGGCCGGAGGCGAACAUGGCGAGGGCGUAGGAGGAGAGGAAGGCGAGGUCGAGCUCGCCGAGGCGGUGGGGGCCGCGGGGGCCGGCGAAGGGGGCCCAUCCGCCAUUAAUGGCGGCGGCAGCGGAGGAGGAGGGGGAGAGGACGCUCUUGACGAUGCUGGGGGGCUUGCGGGAGGCGUGGAAGGAGGUGUAGGCGGAGAAGGUGAGGAGGAGGACGGAGAUCUGGUGAAAGAGAAGGCUCCGGCGAGGAAGACGAUGAUCGGGGGCUAGGGUUUCCGUCUCCAUGGGAGGAGAGAGGAAACCCUAGGGCGAGUGAGAGGGGGAGGAAGGGGACGGGAAGGAGAAGAUCGAGGAGCGUCAGUUAGAAGGGACUCUCCUGUCGAAGCAACGGUCGGUUGCGGUGGGAGCCCUUGGAACGGAGGAAGUCUACUGUGCAGUCUUAAAAAACUAAAAAUAAAAAUAAUUUUUUUUAAAAAAAUUAUAAUAAUUAUGAAACAGAUGAAAUUUAUAAAAAUAAUUUAAUUAAUUGGAGACACUACAUUAGUAAUUUACUGGUCACAUUCUUCGAUUUUUUUUUUUUCUUGUAUGAUGGGAAAGAGAAACGCUAAGAAUUAAUUCAUGCAGAAAAAUGACAAUUUAUACCAUCGGUGAGUAACUGCUCCAUAUAAUAUUCGGUGGAUUAAUUCUCGUAUCAUGCGAACAUACAGAGAUUUCAAAACCGUAGAAAAUUUAGUAAGGACUAAGUCACUAUUUACACUGCUGAAGGAAAUAUUGAGAAAGGCUCAUUGCUCAUCUUAUACCAUUCAUCUAGAUGGAAUUAAAAUGUUUAAGGACUUAAAGACAUACUACUAGUGAAAUGGAAUGGAGAGCAUCGGAAGAUAUGUUACUCAGUAUUUGACUUGUCAAUAAGUGAUGGCCGAGCACCGGUACUUGCUGGCAAGUUUAAGAAUCUUCUAUUCUGAAGUAGAAGUGGUACCCAAUCAUGAUGGAUUUUGUCAUGGAAUUAUCUUGAAUUCACGACAGUUUUGAUGCAAUAUGGAUGAUAGUCAACAGACUGAUCAAGUCUGCUUACUUUCUUUCAGUGUAGACUAUAUGAUCCCGAAAGUGGCUCGUAUAAUUGUAUAUAGAUGAGAGAGUGAGAUUACAUGAAGUACCUAGCUUGAUAGUAUCAAAUAGAGACCCAAGAUUUAUUUCGCAUUUCUAAAGGGAUCUAUAGAAGGCAUUGGGUACUUAGUUGCACUUCUGUACAGCCUUUCACCAACAAAGAAAUAGACAGUCAUAGAGGACAAUACAGAUUUUGGCGGACAUGCUGAGAGUCUUUGUUCUAGACUUUGGAGUAGAGUGACAUCAGCACUUGGGACUGGCUAAGUUUGCGUACAAUAAUAACUAUCAAGCGAGUAUUUAAAUAGCUCCAUUUGAAGCGUUGUAUGGAUGUAAGUGUUGAUGACCCCUACAUUGAAAUGAAGUGGGUAAAAGAAAGUUUUUAGACCAAAUAUUCUUUUGAAAACAAAGAAAAAUGUUAGGGUUGCACGACAACAUCUAGUGACUACUCAGAGUUGACAGAGGAAUUAUGAUGAUACUAGGUAACAAGACUUAGAAUUUCAAGUCGGAGACUACAUGUUUUUGAAAGUCUCGCCGUCCAGAGGGAUUAGCAGAUUUAGAGUUCACAAGAAGCUCAGUCCACAGUAUAUUGGUCAUUUCAAAGUAUUGGAGCGAGUUAGACCGGUGGCAUACAGGGUUGCACUACCGCCUAGGUUAGCUGGUAUCUACGACGUCUUAUAUAUCUCGGAUUUGAGGAGAUACAUAUUCGAUCCUUCGCAUGUGAUUGACUUCACUCCUCUGGAGUUGGGUGAGAUUUUGAGCAGCUAUGAGGAGAGAUCGGUGCAAAUUUUUGCUCGGGAGGUGAAAGAAUUAUGCAAUUGAGUCAUCCCUAUAUAAAGUGUUGUGGAGUAAUCACGGGGAGCGCAGGGCGACUUGGAAGCUAGAGGCAGUAAUGCUGGAGUCUUACCUCUACUUUUCCGAGGAUUCUACUUAACGUAUGAGCUUAAGUUUCAAGUUCGAAACUUUUUUAGGCAGGAGGAUGUGGUGUUUCAAAACUUAGCAGUCAAAAUGACUACAGUCUCAGCAGCUGGUCGACACAUCUAUAGAAUAUCAAGUAGAGUCAAAAUUGUUUUGGCGCGAAAUAAAUGCGAAUCUUGGAGCACUGAAAAUUGGUGUGAGUCGAGUCAAAGUUCAACCAACUUUGGAAUGCCCUAAGUGUGGAAUUGGGUGCACAGAUGUGCAGUGCAGAGCUGUGGGAGUUACUGAAGUCAUUUCAGGAACUCUUUUCCGAUGCCCGGAAGUUAUGUAGCAGCCAGAACCCUCUCGAGUGUAUCAAACAGUGCUGACAUGUGUAAAGUGGUCUUUUUGGAUUUGGUGUGGAUGCCCACUUGAUGAUUUUGGACGCUCGAAUGUGGUUCUGAAUGCCCAAAAUCUAGAUUUUCUUAUAGGAAUAUUUACUUUCAGUUCAUCCAUGGGCUCAUUCUAUUUGUUCUUUAAUUUCCUCUAUAAAUAGAUCCUACACGUUCACUAUUUACUCUUUUCACUCCCCCACAGUAGGGAACUCCAUUUUUCCAUCUCCUACGCCUUCUUCUCCUUCGUUUUUUUUGCGGGUUGGGAAUUUAAGCACCAACAGCAGUAGUUGUAGCAGUAGCAGCUCAUACUCGAUACAUCGUUGGAAUUGGAGUUUGAGCUAUAGGAUUGGGCCUUAUUCAUUGAUCAUUUAAAAAGAAAGCCUAGAGUUUCCUUAUUUACAGUUGGAUUACUGGUUAGCUAAGAUGAUUUUGAAGUUUAAUUGGAGUUUCAGAAUCGAAUUGAGUUUUCAUUAUUUUUUUAUUUUAAUUCUUAUUUCAGCAUAAUCUCUGCUUCCAGUAGGAGUCUCUUUGAUUUUUCUACCUGAUUUUGAACUAAGAAGUGGACAUGGGUGGCUAGAACUUGUCUGAUAUUGAAUUUAAUUUGAAUGAAAUCCAAAUUUUGUUAACUGAAUAGCAAAUUUUAAUUAGUGAAUUUUGAAUUUAGUUGCUCUAGCAAGUUUCUUGCUGAUUUUUGGAGAUUUUUGACGUUCUUUCUUAUUAGUCUUACCGUGAUCUUCCUCUUUGGAGUUGCAAUUACAUAUUGCUUAUGCCUCUAGUAGACCUAGAGCUUCUAGCUAGGGGUUAGGAAGCCAAAAUGAAUUUCCCUCCCGAAAGCAUAAGUUCAGCUUGAAUGUGAUUUGAGAUAAAUCUCCAAAUAUGUAACAACUCGGCUCACUAGCAGUAAUAACUCGUUAGGCCUAAACCACCCGCACAAGAUACGUAAUUUCAGUUAUGAUUACUAGUAUCCUUGGUCUCUUAUAUACCCAACCACAAUCCCAUUCUUAUCCAAUAUGAGGCUAUUGGGGUGUCACAAACUCCUACCGUUUAGGUCCUGAUGUUCUCGUCAGUCCAAUCACACACACAGUCCAAGAUUACUAGGCGAUGUGAGACUUGUUCUACUAAUCUUGUCAUUUCGACCCUAACUUAACCUAUCAUUUCCCGACCCUGUCUUAGCAGCUGUCAUUCUGAUCUUGGCACAGUCAAGGCUCAUCUCACACUUCUAAUUGAUGAUUUGCUCUGAUACCAAAUGUAACGAUCAGGCCCACUAUCAAUAAUAACUCGUUGGGCCUAAAUCAUCAGCAUAAAAUGUUUAAAUUCAGUUAUUAUUACUAAUGUUUAUGGUUAUAUGGUACUAUCGGGGUGUCAGAAAAUAACUCUAUUUUUAUACGUUCCAAAUACCUCUACUCGAAACGACACUUCUCGUGAUCUCUCUCUAUCCUUCGAUUACAUAUGUUCAUGCUCCAAGUUUGAGAUUUGUUCCAAUUAAUACUUCAUAACGAUGUCUGAUUCUCUAGUAAAUUUCUUUCUUCAGCAUGAAUAGAAGAGAGGACACUGCGCCUCUACAUUGGACAGCUACAUGAAAGAACACAAUACAACCAAGGAAGCAACCGUUGCAAAAUUUCACUCCAUGAUGGAAGAUGCAUGGAAACAAAUAAACCAAGCAUUCCUGAAGCCAACCGAUAUUCCAACGCCUCUUAUCGAUCCGGCAGCUAAUUUUGGUCGAAUGAUGGAAACAAUAUACAAGCACUUGGAUGGGUUCACAAACUCUGCUUAUCUUAAAGAAUUCAUCUCGUUAUUGUUCGUGCAGCCGAUCGCUAUUUGAGUGCUUGAAGUCUAGUACAUUUGUCUACUUAUAACCGAUUUGAAUAAAAAGUAGGCGAGUAAUAAGCUUUGCAUGCAGAUUUACAUAUGGCUUAAUAAAAUGGUUGGUUUUGUGACAGUGAAAUGAAACUAAUUAAAGAAUUUUAUGAUCAUUAGAUUGUCAUGAAGUAUCUUCUUAAUUAAUGCUAUAUAUGUAUGUGGAUGGACUUCUUAUCUGUAGUGCGAUUUAAGUUCUUAGUUGUUUACUCAGAUCUAAAUGUGAAACUACAUUAAUUAUCUUUUUUAGAACUUCUUGGGUUCUAACUCCAACACCUACCAUUGGUGUUCUCAAGAAAAAUAAAAUAAAAAUAAUAUGCAUUCGUGCACACACGCAAACGGAAGCAUCUGCAUGCUUCUCUACAUUUUGAGCUGAGAUCGAUUUCAGGGUGUGAUACUCUUGUAAUUGGUGAAAGGAAUGUCGAUUUAUGCGACAAGUGCGAAAACUUCAUGCAUCCAUUAAUUGUAUAUAUAUUAUUGGUUCCUCUCCUCAUCCAACAUCAACAUUUGAUCACUCGAAACUUUGGUUUUACAGUUGAAGGCUCUUUGAAAAAACAAAAUGUGCUGCAAAAUCCUCUUACAUUUUCUUAAUUAACCUCAUCUGUAUCGGUGAUUGAAGAGUGUCUUUUUAUCUAUUAUGCGCAAAAAUUCACUGCCAACACGUAAGAAAUGUAUGAAGCUCAAGUAGAUAAUCAUUCUCUUCAACCCCCAAAGACAAAAAAAAAACACUGAAACCAGAACCCUAAAUCCUAAAACAGAUGAGGGAAAUUUAUAAAAACCCCUUGAGAACUUCAACUCUUUUGUAAACAAAAGCUUCAAUUUUGAAUUUUGACAAUUAGUUCAAUAAAUCCCUCUCAUCAAUCGAAGUCCUAGCUAGUUACACAGUAAUUUUGACCACAUUCUGAGAAAUUACUAGCACAUAAAGAAAAAUAUAGUGAAAGAUAAUUUUGCAUUUUUAAAUUUUUUUGAAACCAGACACGUACAAUAUAUGAAAUUAAAAUUUAGGUUAAAUUACAGAAAAACUUCUUGUCAAAAUUCAAUUUUUUACUUCCUCUCUUAUCAUUUAAAAACCUACACUUGUCCUCUUAUAAAAUAAAAAAAAAUAUUCACAGGGAUACGGUGUGAACUGUGAUGACAAAAUGACCAUUUUGUUCCUCACUAUUUUGCAGCUCGAUCACCAUGUUCACAGGAGAGAAGACAUUGAGGGCAUUUUUGGCAUAAAAAAAUAUAUAAUAAUAUUUUAUAAACGGAAUCCUAACGGAUUACUAACGAUAAGGGUAAAGUUAAUAUUUUUUAUUUUACAAGAGGGCAAAAUGUAGGUUUUUAAAUGAUAGAAAAAAAAAGUGAAAAAUCGAAUUUUGAAAGAAGGAUUUUAUGUAUUUUAGCCUAGAAUUUAGAAAAUCAAUCCAGCGAGCCAAUUAAUCUAAACUGAACACAUAAUAGAAGUUAGAACUUUUACCGCGAAGCAAUUAAGGUUUCUGGAUUUGUGGUACAAUAUGCAGAUUGUUCUUCUCGAGUUUUAGCAUGGAUGCGCCCGUGCCCAGUUUCUAUGUGCGAAUUCACAUUGAAUCAGCGAAUACCCAAUCGAUCUUCGUCUCAUGAAGCAGAUGAGCCGCUGACUACCGGCGGUUCUUUUGUUAUUCGAAGAAUAGACAAGUUAAUUGAAGAUCGUAAGAAAAAUUACCGAACAUUUUGUAUUAAUUGUUUGCUACCAUUAAUUAGUUGAAUCGUACGGCACCCCUUUGAUCCAUACGGAUCAAUUAAUAAACCGUGCAGUGCAGUUCUUUUUUUUAAAAAAAAAAAUAAUUUCAUAUUUCAUGAAGUUUUAUUCAAAAGAAAAAUUUAUCUAAUAAAAUUUUCUCUCUUUAAUAAAAUUUUAUAAAUAUUCAUGUUCAUCCAACGAGAUCAAUUUAGUUAAAAUCUUAUCCUAUAAAAUAUUAUAAAUAUUUAGUUAUUUUUUAAUUAAAUUAGAGAUAAAUAUUUAAUUAUCUCUCUUUAUUUAAUAGGAUCUUAUUUAACUUUAAUCUUAUUUAAUAAGAUCAUUUCAUAAAUAUUUAAAUCUCAUUAAAAUAUUUUUAUGAUUAGAUAUUAUCUAUUAUUCUAACUAGGAAUAAAUUUAAAGCUUGCAUGUAAUUCCCAAAUUAAUUGUUACGACAACCGCACAAACGGAAACGAAAUGACGAACACAAAAAAAAAACAAUCAAACCACAAGCAGAAAAUAAAGAGACACAGAUUUACGUGAAAAACCCUUUGCAGGGAAAAACCACGGGCGAGGAAGGAGAGAGCUUCACUAUGGAACGAAAAGGGAAUACAAUGUUCUUCAGGUUACAACCAACCACGAUCAUACGCCUCUAGGGCAAAAACGAAAAAGACAUUCAUUUUUCCUCCAUAAUUUUCUUUUACAAAUUGGUCGCACCGCGAAGCUGUCGGCGAGUCGUAAAUCCGAACUUGAAUCGAUAGUAAAUUUCAAGUCACAUCUAACAUUAAUUAAUCAGGAAAUCCUAAUCCUAUUAGGUUUGCCACUGAUAAUUUAUUCUAAUAAUUAAAACAACUUUUUCUGAUUUUCAUCAUUCAGACUAAACUCAUUAGUAAAUGAUAUUAUACCAUUUGGAUGCAUGCACACAAUUUUUAUUGUGUUUUACCAUAUAGGUUUAUUACUAUUCAACAGUAGAGUUCAACACAAACUCUUUGAUAUUUUAGAACUCUUCAAUCGUUAAAUGAGAAUGAUUCGAUCCAAAUCAUUAGCAAUAUUUUACCAUCAGUGAGUGAUACUAGUAUAUUACGAUAAUCCAGAAUGGUGAUAAAAAAUGAAUCUUUUUGUUUAUAGUUAUCGUGUAAUUAAUUUCUUCUAAACACACAACGUCUCAAUUGAGCCAAAAUCAUAAUUAUUCGUCAAACCUUAUUAUUGAACUAUAUGACUAGAAAAUCCAAAAUUGAUUCAAUAUAGUACUGCAGCUGGAAGCUCUUUCCAACACUAUAUAUAUAUAUAUAUAUAUAUAUUCUGUUUAGGAAAUUUCAAAGUCGAGUCCGAUAAACUAUAUAGAAUAUUUUUCCUCAUCAUUAAAUGUGUUGGAUUUUUUUUUUGCAUUCACAUGGCUCCUCUUAUAAAUCAAAUCAAUCAAUCAGUAUUGAGCUUAGACUCAUUACUAGAGUUUAGGUAUUAUUACUGUCAAUUGUUACUAUGUUAUAAGUGAAGCAAUCAUUGUGCCGCAGGUCGAUGAGUAUUUUAUAUAACUAUAGUAAAAAACUAGUUACUGGCGAGUUUGCCAUUAUGUAACUGUCAACUAAAUGAUCACGCUUAGUAUACUUGUUCUUCAACAAGCACCUACAUUCUUGCUUUACUAUCUCCAUACUUAUGUCUUGAGAUUCAUCAUCUCAAAUUAGAAGCAUAUUAUAUACUUACUUACCUAGAAUACCACCGCUAUUAUAGUAUAUGACUAUUCGUAGGAGCAUUUAAACGAUCGCCCUCGUACUCAUAAGUUGUUUUCAAUGAUAGAGCUUCCGAAUCAAUGAUCCAUACCGUUAAAUAUUAUUUAGAGUAUUUAAAACGUCUUGAAAUAAAAUUUUAUAAUUUUUCGACAUCAUUUGCCUUACAAUCAAAAGGUUAAAAAAUUGACAAUUUUUAAUGGCCGGUAUGGAAUAUUUACUAGUUUAACGGUGUAAAAGAAUUGGAAUCGGUUAAAUUUUUGAUAGAAAAUUCUAUUCAUUAUAUAGAUAAAGAUCAAUAACUCCGAUCUUAAAUUGAAGUAUCCGAUCAUUCAUUUUUAAGAUGUUGUUUGCUUUUGACCGUUUAUUUUAUACCCGUUUGAUGAACUUUAUUAUGAUUUCAAAAAAUUACGAAAUUUAUUUUCUAGAAGUUUCAGAUACUCUAGAUCAUAUUUAACGGAGUAGAUCGUCGAUUCGGAAGCUCUAUCAUUGAAAACAACUUAUGAGUAUGAAGGGCUCUAUACUCAUAAGAGUAUAGUAGCCCUAGCAUAUAUCAUAAAUUUCUAACUUUCAAAAAUAUAUCUUCUCAAAUAGUCCUAUGGAUAAUUCACGUUAAUAUUAUAAGGUUAGACAAUAGACAGAAAAAAAANAUAAAAAAAAAAAAAAAAAAAAAAAAAAAAAAAAAAAAAAAAAAACUGCCGUUUAUAUUAUAAAUUAGAAAUGAUUAAUACAUAAAUAUUCUUAAAUUAGUGUGCAAGACUUCAUAAUGUAAGAAAACUUAAUUAUUCUUACAAACUAAAAUAACAUCGAAAAAUACCACAAGUUCCCCUUCACCAGCCAACAAUUAAUCCCCUUAAUCUGCAUCAUCUACAGUAAAUAAAAUCAGGCUUAAGAGGCUUUCGCUGCUUCACCAUCUCCCUAACACCUUCAUGCUGUAUUCUAUGAAAUCCUCGAAGGGCAUUAACUGCGCAUCUAGAUGCGUAGAUGGUUGCUCCGAAGUUUAAUUGUGUGUCCACUGGUGUGGCAAUCUAGCUCGCUGUUCGUGAGCCAGCUCGUGUUCGACUCGAAAUGAGUUUGAGAUCGAAUCGCUCGUUUAAUAAACGAGCUAAACAUGAGCUGAGUCUAGCUCGCUUGUGUUUGGCUCGAUAACAGCUCGAAUACACAUAUUUUAUAUUUAUAUAAUUUAAAUAUUUUAUAUUUAUACAUAUAAAUAAAUAAUUAUAUAUAUAAUACAGAUUUUAAUUAUUUGAUUUUUAGUCCAAUUAAAUAUAAAACCCAACUCAAUUAUAAAAUGGUCAAUUUAUAUGUAAAGUUUUAACCAUCGGAGCAAAAUUUAACAGGUAAAAUCGUAGAUAUAUAUAUAUAUAUAUAUAUAGAGUUGGACUGGGCUACUAUUAGUAGCAAAGUUCCAUUGUUGCUAUCAGUUUUUUAGCCUUUGGAUCAACUCUUUUCAUUAUUUCUAACCAUUGAAUUAAAUACUAUAACCCAGUGGGGACAACUCAACCCUUGGGGGACUACUCAACUCUAACCAACUAAUAUCAUUCCGACCCUACAAUUUUUCAUCCAAAGGUUAAAAANUCAUCCUGACCCUACAAUUUUUCAUCCAAGGGUUAAAAACUUGAUAGCAAAAAGAGUGUUUUACUAUUAAUAGUAUUCCAGCCUAAUUCUCAAUAUAUAUAUAUAUAUAUAUAUAUAUAUAUAUAUAGAGUCCGGCUAUUAUGCUAUUAAUAGCACGAAGCACUUGGUGCUACCAAGUUUUCUGCAGUUAGAUUUAUCCUUUUGAUCAUUUUCCGCCGUUAGAUCAUACUAUUCAACCAACCACCCACUCAAUCCUAGAGGGCCCACAUCAUCCUAACCGCACAUCUCUUAAUCCAAUUGCCAAAAACUUGGUAGCACCAAGUGUUUCGUGCUAUUAAUAGCAUAGUAGCCUAGUUCUAUAUAUAUAUAUAUAUAUAUAUAUAUAUAUAUAUCGAGCUAGGCUGGUAUGCUAUCGGUAGCACGGAGGCUUCCGUGCUACGAAGUUAUUUUCAAUAAUAUAGCUUCCAAAUCAACGAUCGACUCGUUAGACUUGAUCUACACUAUUGAAAUUAUUUGGAAACUAAAUUGCAUAAAUGUUCGACAUCAUUUACCUAUCAAAUGAGUAGUCUAAAAAUGAACGGCUGAAAAUAAAAAUCUCAUAUAAAAAUGAUGAUAAAAGAGAGGGAGAGAUAGAGGAAGUAAUUAGAGUAGGGAUUUACUAGUUUGAUUUUGUGGGCAAGCAAAUAUGCCCAAUAACCAAAACUCUAUAUGCAUAUAAUUAAAAUACAUAAUAUAUAUUAUUAAUAUAAUUAAAAUAUAUAUUAUAUAUAAUUAAAUAUAUUUUAUAAAUAUUUUUAGUUUAUAUUUAUAUAUUCGAGCUUUUCGAGCUUAAUUCGAGUAAGCCCAAUAAUACUCAAAUUUGACUUGAAAUAAAUUUUGACUUCUUUAAUUCUUCUGUUCAACCUCGACUCAUUUAAUUUCGAGUGGAACUCGAGUGAGCUGAAUACCAAGCCGAACUCAAGCCGAGCAAGAGCCGGCUCGCUCAUUUGCUAGCCCUACUAGGCAUGCAUGUAUAAAAAGUCCAACUCCAAUUGCUAGAUUUUGUAUCUAUGUUCAAGCAUCAUUAUUUUGACUAGAAAUUUUUACUUUGACUAGGUUCAUCUCGGGCCGGCAAAUGAGCUAGUCAGCUCGUGUUUGACUUGCGUUUGGUUUGAUAUUCGGCUUGCUCAAAUUUGACUUGAAAUUAAAUGAGUAAAGCUUAAACACAAAAAAAAACCUCAAAAUUUAUUUCAAACCGAGCUUGGGUAUUAUUGGGUUUGCUCAAAUUAGGCUUCGAAAAGUUCGAAUAUAUAUAUAUAUAUAUAUAUAUAUAUAUAGAGAGAGAGAGAGAGAGAGAGAGAGAGAGAGGCUAGUAUGCUUUUGGAAGCACAGUCCUCCGUGCUUUCAAGUCGUUUUCAAUGUUGGGACUUUCGAACCAACGAUCGGCUCCAUUAGACUUGAUCUAGAGUAUUUGAAGUACUUAGAAAAUAAAUUUUUUGAUUUUUCAAUAUCAUUUGCCUAACCGGAUCAACAAUCGCUAUCAGAGCGGGUUGCAGGGGUUCUCAAAAUCCGGUAGCAGGACGAGUACCGGAUUCUCAACAGAUUUUAUGUUUUGUCGAUAAUUAUUUCCGUUUCCGCAUCUACUAUAUAUAUUGAUUGAUUUUAUACCUCUAGUAGACCUUGCGAGUACAACUCUCUUUACAUCAAUUAUAUUCAUUGAAAACUAUUUUAUAUAGUUUUCAUUCCCACUUACUGGCUCUUUUUUCAAAGAAACUUUCGUCCUUCUCGAGUGAUCGAGGCAAUGAGGUAGCAUAGUAGUUAGCUCUCCACGGCUUCAUUUUGGUGAGACUAGAGGUAGGACCCUUACAGGACAAUGACAUUUUGGAAGGUUACCGACCGUCCCUAGAGCAAGUAGCAAAGGGUUUGGUGGUUGGUACCUGAGACUCAAGUUCGAAUCCUAGUUGAUUCACAUUUCUAGCUAAGUUUAUUUUUUUAAAAAAUAAACGAAGCGGAUAGCGUGGUACCUAUCUCUCUCUAUAUUUUGGGGGGUUGUAAUAUUUGAUCUCAAACGUAUAUUAAUUCAUUUGAAUUAGUGGGUGUAUUAAAAUAGUGUUUCACUGUUUUGAUACUCCAACUCGUAUUAAAUUCUUACUAUUCCAUAUGUUGUGAUAUGCCGUUUCGUGUGUUUGAGGGAGUCUUGUAUACAUUGCAUAUCUGGGUAUGCUAUUAGAUGAAAAAUUCUAAAAUGCAACAGGUAUAUUGGUGACGUGGCGUAACAAAUCAAUCAAAUAUCUUCUUUUAGGGGUAUAUGUCCCACCAUGUUUAUAAAAAAAUAUUUUUAUUGUACUUUUAUUUGAAAAGAAAAAAUAUGAUUGACUUGUUAUUGAUGACGUGUUAUAAGUGUGACGGUGUAGAAUUUGUGGCUAUUAGAUAGGGAGCUUUCUUUCUACAUGGUUCCCUAAUUAAAGUCACUGUACUUUCUCAAUACGUGGCCCUAGAAAUGAUUUUUUUUUUUUUUGAUUAAACAGGGAUGAACCCUAUUUUACAGAGGGAGGAUCAGAAGAGAACAAGGUGCAUCCUAGCACUUGCAACCAAUGAAAGGUCCCAUGAGCAUCCCCUUAGGAUCCAAGACAGAAACCAAACAGCAAACAAAGCAGCGAACAAAAUACAAGGUAACACAGACACAAACAAAAUAAGCACCUAACAGCCAAAAGAGCAAAAAGCCGACUUCCAACUUGAGACUGUUUCAGAAAUGCAUCUACCCAGGACGUCGCUUCGGACCUGCAGAUUAUCGAAUAAUCUUCUAUUCCUUUCUUUCCAGAGCUCCCAAUAAGUCGCUGCAAUAGCAAGGUCGAUGUCAAUUAGAUUUUGUCCAGUAGCCAACCGCCUUAGUCGAAACCAUCGUUUUGCGAUGCUGUCAGACAAAGGCUGUCUCCAAGGUUGAGUGAAUACAAAUCGGCGUAAAAGGCCAGUCCACACCGAAGAAGAAAAUCUGCACAGGAGCAAUAUAUGCUGAGUAGUCUCAGCAUCAGAGUUGCAAAAUACGCAAAUCGUCGGUCCAUGCCAUCCACGCUUAAGAAGAUUAUCGGCCGUCAGGAUCUUGUUUUUCUCCGCAAGCCAAAUAAAUAAUUUAACUUUGAGCGGAAUAUGGAGUUUCCACAGGAAAGGUAGAUUGUUAUCCGUAACACCAUCAAAUAUUAGGAAAUCGGCCGCACUGUUCACAGAGAAUCUUCCCGAGCUAGUCCAUCUCCAACUAAGCGAAUCACGUUCAGCUGAUGAAAUAUUGAUGCUAUUGGACACCGCCAAAAGCUCCUGGAAUUCCAGUUGCGCAAGUGGAUCGCACAGGGGAUUGAAACCCAUGUUGGGCUGGUUGGCGAAUCUUUGAGUCCAGAAGCUCACCGUAAUAUUAGGAUUAACGGAAGCUGCGUAGAGGGUCGGAAAGCGAUUUUUGAGUGUAAUAUCUCCGCACCAUCUCACUCUCCAAAAUGGAGUCUCCCUACCAUCGCCGAGCACGAAGUCGACCGAAGAGAGAAAAGGGGCAGCUUGACUUAGCAUGUUUCUCCAGAUAGGACUGCAAGCAUAUGGAACAGAGCUCAUGGCUGCAGCCGGUCGCCUUUUGUAAUGCUUCUGCUUCAAUAAUUGAACCCAAGGUAAAUUAUUAGAGGUAUAAAACUUCCAAAGACCCUUCAUGAGUAAGACCGAAUUUGUCACUUGUAGGCUUCUGAUGCCGACCCCCCCAACCCUUUUGGGGCGACAAACUCGACCCCAGUUAACGAGGCAAUGAAAUCCACUGGUAGUGCUCUUUCCUUUCCAGAAAAAACUACGACGGGUUUUGUCUAUUGCUCUUACUACCCAAACAGGAAGGGCAAACGCAGAGCAGAAAUAAGUGGGCAAAGAGGAUAGGACCGAGUUAAGAAGGAUAAGGCGGCCUCCUCUAGAGAGAGUGGAGCACUUCCAACCAGCCAAUCGAUUGUCGAUCUUCUCGAUGAGGGGAAGAUAAUCCGCUCGACGAAGAGGCUUCGGGGUUAGCGGAAGCCCCAAGUACAACAAAGGGAAGGAUUGUAAUGGACAGUUGAAACAGGUGGCAAGAGCUGCAGCCUGAUCCGCAGGAAUGUUGAUUGGAGACAGGGAACUUUUGCCGUAGUUAAUUGUGAGGCCCGAGUUAGCGGAGAAAGCGUCGAGAAUGCACCUGAUGAUAAUCGCCGAUCUGACGGAACCAUCAAAGAAAAGAAGCACGUCAUCCGCAAAAUGGAGUGAAUGAAUUUUAACAUCUCCAAUACCAACAGCCGGAAGAUUGUCGGAGAGAACUGCUCUAUCAAGAAGUCUGAAAAGCACAUCGAUACAGAUAUUGAAGAGGAGAGGGGAUAGCGGGUCGCCCUGCCGAAGCCCUCUCCUACAUUGGAACGAAGUACCUGGAACUCCAUUCAAGAGUACAGCGGACGUGGUUGAGUUGAGUAGGGCUGAUAUCCAACCAAUCCAUUUAUUGCUGAAUCCCCUAGCGGUAAGAAGCUCAUUUAGGAAGAUCCAGUUAAUGUGAUCAAACGCCCGAUCGAAGUCAAUCUUGAAGAGUGCCGCCGGCCUUUUAGAGGCAUGGAGAUGGUGAAUAAGAAUGUGGGCGCAGUAAAAGUUGUCGAGGAUGUGGCGUCCCUUGAUGAAGGCAGUCUGAUAAGGAUUAAUCAACUGGUUCAGAACAGAUUGGAGGCGAGAAGCCAAAACUUUCGAAAUGAUUUUAGCCAUGCUGUGAACAAGGCUAAUAGGACGAAGAUCGCGCGCCGAUAGAACAUUAGAUUUCUUGGGAAUGGGGCAGAUCCAGCUUGUAUUAAUACUACUGAGGGCUAAAGAGCCAUUAUAGAAGGCUUCGAAAAUAUUCAUGACAUCAAUCUUCAAGACAGACCAGAAACGGUGGUAGAAGAGCAGUGGGAAGCCGUCCGGUCCCGGGGCCUUAUCCGGCGCACAAGCGAAGAUUGCCGACCGCACUUCGUCUUCCGAAAAGGGUGAAUGAAGCGACGAUAGAUCGACAGUAGCAUCAUCAUAGAUUAGGAAAAAAUUGAUUGUGGAGCUGGACUGGUGCGCCGAACCUAUCAGAUUAAGAUAAUAGGAAAACAAAUGAUUCGCAAUUGCAUCGUGAGAGGAGAGAGCAUUGGUACCGUCCGAAAGAUGAGAGAUAGAGUUCGCGCUUCUCCGACAGCUAGCGCGGAGAUGGAAGAACUUGGUGUUCGCGUCGCCCUCCCGUAGCCAUUGAAUUCUCGAUCUCUGCUUCCAUUUUGAUUCCUCAAUAAGACAUAAUUCCUCAUAUCUGAUUUUGAGCUUCGGACGAAGACAGCAUUCAGAGGCCGAGAGCACUCUCCUCUCCUCGGCAGAGUCAAGCCAAAGUAGCCACUGCAAACAGGAAGUGGACUGUCGUUUGAGUGAAGAAGAAAGAUCCCUGCUCCAAAGCUGUAAAUCCUUCCGCACUUUAUCUAGUUUAGAGCUGAAGCUGCUUGCCGGAUCGACACCAGUCGGAGCCGAAUUCCAAGCGUUGGCUACCACCCCAGGCAGCGUAGGAAAGUGAAGCCAACUGGACUCAAAUCUAAAAAUGCGCGGAGUGGGUACAAAAGUCCAAGCCGAUAAAACCAAAGGAGUAUGGUCAGAUCUGGGGCGCGGAAGAGCCUUGAGGGUGGAUCUGGGAAAGCAAAGAAGCCAAUCCUGCGAAAUUAGAACACGAUCAAGACGUUCAAGGGUGGGAUUCCUCCUACCGUUAGACCAGGUAAAGGAUUUAUUCAUAAUAGGAAGAUCAAUAAGGCCUGCAUCUGAGACAGCCUCCCGGAACGCCAGAAUGUCCGCAGUGUUGGACGGCAACCCAUUUUUAUCAUUCAGAGAAAGCAGAACAUUGAAAUCUCCAAGUGCCGCCCACAAGCCGCGAGAAAGAUUAGCGAUAUGUCUCAGUUCGAGGAAGAAGGAAGCUUUAUUGCUAGACCCGGUAGGUCCGUAGACGUUAGUAAUCAAGAAGAGAUUUCUAUCAGACUUCCUCUGAAGAAGCACAUUUAGCGUGUGAGAACCAUUCCAGUGCUGGACGCAAUCAAAGAGAUAAAUAUUCCAAGCCGUCAGGAGGCCCCCACGAGUCCCAACUGCGUCCAAAGUACGAAACUCUUGAAGGUGAAAACCACAGAACGAACGGAAUUUGCCCGCAGAGAUCGAAGGGAGUUUAGUUUCUUGAAGACAUACCACCGAGACUUUACUAAAACGAAUAAAACAACGUACAACGGUACAUUUACUCUGAUCAUUCAACCCCCGUACAUUCCAUGAUAGAAAGCGAAAAACUCUAUUUCUAGCCAUAAAAGGGAAAUAGACUCACAACUCUAGGAAGAAGCGAAGGCUUAAGCCCCUUCCUGGGCCUGUGUAGCACCCCUCUCGCCAUCAGACCUAGCGAUAACAGGCUCCACCCGUUCUGUGAUACCACAGGAGUUUAGAAUCUUUCGAAUUUCCUGGGCGGUGAGUGGAAGGGCCGGAUCUCUUGGAGGUGUGGGCACCCUGGCAGCCAACGGGGAAACAACUAGAUGAACCGGAGGAGCUUCCGACGAAGGGUCAAUAGAAUCAACAGGCAUCGUGGUGGGAGAACUCGGGGUGCAAUGAGAGGCUUUCAAAGAUUGGAGUUUAGAGCACAUGAGAUCCUGGGCUCUUUGGAGAGAGCUUCUAUUGAUUCCCAUGUUCUUCGACGCUAGUCGCAGGCUACGCCUGAAGGAACCGAGCUUGUUAGAAACCAGAAAAGAGGCGCCAGAAUGUAAAGUGUGAUGAUUGAAACGAGUGCCGACAGACUCGGACAAGGCCUCAUCUCCAAGAGCGUGGCCAAUCAGAGAAGCUUCAGCCAAAGUCGGGCCCACAGGAGCAGGCUGCCUACUUCCAGAGAAAGAAGGGCCCCCAGAAGGGGGCGUCCUGCUCGCAGAGAUGGAAUGGGCCCUUGGUGAAGCCGGCCUGCUCGCGGAAGAAUAUGGGCCCCCAGAUAAGGGGGGCCUGCUCACGGAAAUUGAGAGGCCCCCGGAAGAAGGCGACCAGCACGCAGGGUUGGAUGGGCCCCCAGGUAAGGGUGGCCUGAUCUCAGAGGGGGAUGGGACCCCAGGAGGGGGCGGGCUGCUCGCCAGGGUGGGACGGCCUGUCGCGGGCGCCCAAACUCCGGGAUCUAGCAAAGGCAAUAGCUCAACCGAGGAAGCUGGAUCAACCAGGGGUUCAGUCAAGAGGGCGGGCUCGACCAGGAGAGGCUUGACCGAAGAAGCUGGCCCGACCAGGGAUAGACUGGGUGAUUGCUCUGCAGUCGAAAAAAGACGCGAGGAAGGGGGUAGGAGCAGAGUCGGGUUCAGAGCUAUCGCGUCAGUCGAGACGUCGACAACACAGGGGGUGGACGGCGUAGAGAGCGGAGGCCUGGGUAACAACGCCUCCGAAACCAAAUUUGAAUUUGAAGUGCUCCCGGCGACCGCCACAGCCGGCCGGACAACACCCCCAGAGACCGGCACAGCCUGUCGGACAACCCCCCCGGAGACCGGCACAGUUUGCCGGACAACACCCCCGGAAGAGGGAAACUCCGAACUACUUCGAUGCUGAACGAGGUGAGCGCCCCCGCGGGAGUUGCGAGGCCAGACCUGCGAGCCUUGAGCGGGGGCUGAAGAGAAGUGAGUAUGCCUGAUGAACCGAUCUUGAGCAUCAGAAGUCUCUAAUCCCAAACGAUCAUCCAAAUCAUCACCAAGUAGAAUCGGAUUAGCGUCCUCCCACGACUCGAUUUCCACUGAAAUUUGGAAUCUCCUAUCAUCAACCAUAAGGCGGAGAGUUUCCGGGAUGGAGUGAAUAUCCUGGCAGCGGAUUUUGGCUCGAAAGAACGAAACGUCAAGUCUCCUUUCGCUCAGCGGAUCUAUUUCCCAAAGCUCACCAAAUCCACUGACGGCGGCCUUGACAUCCUCCUCAUUCCAGCAAAGAAUCGGCCAGUGGUGAAGCCGCACCCAAGCCUUGUGGCGAAGAUGCCCCCUAUCCAGCUCCGCAACUUCAGACCAGUUAGAAAGUUUGAAGUCCACACCUUCAAAUCUGAAAGGACUCCUGCUGAUGACCCCUUCUCUGGUAACCCAAUUGGGGAAGAAGACUGCCAACAAAGGCGCAUCAAAGUCGGCCACCAAGAACUCUCUGCUGGACCCCCCAAACCUGGCAGCGAGUCCGUUAGAGAGGACAACUUUAACAUCUUGAACAUUGCCGCCAAUCGGACCAAGGACUUCCGCCAAGGCCACACACCCAGAAAAAGAACGGAGACCCGAGGGGGAAGGUCUAGAAGGGAGGAACACCGGCGAGGAGCACGGACGUCCAGAGGAGGGGCCCUGCUCCAUAGGUCUACGCGGAGGACUAGGCGGAAACCUGCAACGAGAGGCCGGAUGGCCGAUCCUCAUACAGAGAAGGCAGCGCCUCGGUUCUCUACAGAGGGCGGCUCUGUGCCCCCGUUCGAAACAUCUGAAACAACGCCCCUUAAGAGAGGGGUUGAGAAGAAAUUUUGGUGGCUGGGGCGGAAGAGACGAAAUGGGACGACGAGCUCGAGGGGGGGGGAAAGGGGGGCCGAGCUGAGGUGGUGGGGCCAAAGUGGCGUCCUUAAAAGAAACCCCCUGUCGGACACGUGACUCCCUUGGAGGGCAAGGGACCACGUUGGAGACCUGCACAGAAGAGGCAGGGGGGAAAGGACGACCACCAAGGGAGGAAGAUGGGUUGGGGAACGGACAAGGAGAGGGGCCCAUUGUUUUUUCCUUAAGAGAAAAUAGAGCUUUGGUUACGACCAAUCCACAUCCACAAACACAGCAAUGCAAUUUAAUUAAUGGAGAUCUACGUAGAUUUCAUUGUGACACUAGAUAUAUACUUCCAAAAGAAUAUCUUAUUCAAAAAACAAAAAAAAAAAGAAGCACAAAAAUGUGCUCCAAUAGAACUAAUUAAGAAAAAGCAGUUGGAGCAUGCUAAAGUUUUCAAGCUAAAAUUAAGUUUAAUAUGGUACAUAAUCAGAUCAGAUUAAUUCUAUACUUUGUCUACACCUAGAAUGUACCAUAAUUAAUACUAGUGGAGGCACCGGCGCGUUGCGGCAGGAUGAUUCUACAAAAUAAAAAUAAAUAAACAAAUACAACUAAAUAAAAAAGAAAUAGCAUAAAAAAAAAUAAAAGAGUCAAAGAAUUUUAAAAAAUAAAAAAAAAAGCAACUGAAGAAGAAGUAACGGCUACUUCAAUAAAAAUAUAAGAAUAAAAGUAUUUAGAACUAAGAUGUUAUAUUACUUUAUAUUUCAAAUCAGAAAUUUUAACUAAUUAAAGGUUAAGAACGAGUAUCACAUGCCUCAUAAUUCAAGCCAUAACAUAUUAAAGCUCGAAUACUAAAGUGUAACUCGUAUUAUAGUUUUACGGACAAAAAUUGUAAUUUACCUUUUUAUCUUUUAUUUUUAUUCCGGACGAAGACAAAGUUAAGUAUCGAUUGGAUUUGUUCAAUUGAUAAUUUCAUUCAAAGAAAAAAAAAUUUGUUAAAUUAUCUAAUAAAUUUUAAAAUGCCUAAUUAUCAAAAUUAAAAGCCAACCAAUUAUAUUUUGGAUAUUCAAGAAAAUUUUGAAUGUUAAAUUGAUCACUCAUCAGAUUAUAAAUAUAUCAUUGAAGUGUGUAGUUUUUACAACUAAAUUAAUUAAAAUAAGUAAUUAACUUAAGUUUCAUCAAUCUCUCUUUUAUUUUUUAUUAUACAAUCUAUAUCUAAGUGAUCAAUAUUAUAAAAUCAAAAUUUAUAUUUAAUGAAUGCAAUCUAAAUUAUUUAAAAAAUUAUGUAUAAAAAUACAUAUUUCUAAACUUUUAUAAUGAGAGAGAGGAUAAUUAAAUUGGAUUAAAAAAAUGACCAAUUUUAUUGUUUUCUAUCAAAAUUAGUAGAAAGAAUAGAGAGAAAAUGUAAGAUGAAAGAAAAAAAAAGGGCCGGCACACCACCCCCCAGAUGCCACAUUGCCUCUUAAACUCAGGAUUCAUUAAUUCAUAUAAAUAUAGAUAUAGAUAUAGAUAUAGAUAUAGAUAUAGAUAGUACGUUCAUAUUUGUAAACAUUACCUGUAUGUUGUUACAUUAACUAGCACACUCAGGGCCUAGAUUGUAACAUUAAUUUAUAAUUGACAGCUUAUUAACUAAGGGGUGUAUGUGUUUGAUCCUUACAAAACUAUCCAGAAAAACAUUUUUCACUGAUUUUUUUUUUUUUUUUUCCGAUGUUUGGUUGCUCAUGAAAAUACACGGCUCACACGCGGCUCACAGCCACUUUAGCACGCGGUCAACGAGGUGAACUUCACCUCGUGGACCUAGUGAGAGAGUCCACCAUGGACUUACUCUCUCUUUCCCUCAUUCAUUAUAUAUAAUAAUGAACCAAAAAAAUAAUAAAAUGAUGGACCAUGCAAAAUUAUUUGGUUCAUUAUUGGAAUUGAUACCGGAAUGGUAGUUGGGACACUUAGAAUUUUGAAAGAAAAAUUUGGUUAAGAAAGAGAAGGGAGAGGAUUUUAUGUUGUUUACUCUGGAAUGGAUCAAUUAAGAAUUCAAUACUAGCUUGUAGGGGUGGCAAUCCAGCUCGCUAUUCGUGAGCCAGCUUGUGUUCGGCUCUAAUUGAGCUCGAGAUUGAAUCACUCGUUUAAUAAACGAGCCGAGCAUGAGCUGAAAUUUUCAGCUCGUUUAAUAAACGAGCCGAACACGAGCUAGGAUCAGCUCGCUCGUAUUUGGCUCGAUAACAGAUCAUAUAUAUAUAUCUCUGGAUCAGUCGCCUACGCUUACUCGUGUUGGCUCCGAUAAACAGAUCAUUUAUACUAUUAUAUAUAUAUUAUAUAUAUAUAUAUAUAUUAUAUAUAUAUAUAAUAUUAUAUGAUCUGCAUCCCAGCGCAUGUUCGGCCAUCGAUACGAGGCUGAAAUUUUCAGCUACGCUUUGAAUAAAUGAGCCGAACAUGAGCUGGGGAUCAGUAUCGCUUCGAUGUAUCUGGCUUAGGUAAUCGGGACGAUAGUAUAUAUAAUAUAUAAUAUAUUUAUUAAUAUCUUAUAUAUAUUUGUAUUAUUAUCUUAAUUAUUAUAUGUAUAGUAAUGUAAAUUUUUAUAUUUGAUUUUAUCCUAUCUAAAUGUAAAAGCCCAACUCAUAUAAAUGAUUUAUUAUAUAUGCUAACAAUUUUAAUCAUUAGUAUUAAAGAUAUAACGGAUAAAUUUACAAAUUUUUUCUAUAAUAUACUAUAUAUAUAUAUAUAUAUAUUAUUAUAUAUAUAUAUAUAUUAUAUAAUAUAUAUAGAGCUAGGGCUACUAUGACUAUCUAUUGAUACCGAGCUUCCGUACUAUAGUGUUAGUUUUCGAUUCUUAGGGCCAUUCAAAUCAACGAUCCGGGGGGACACCGUUAAAAGUCUUGACUGCGUAUUUUAAAUGUUCUAGAAGUAAAACUUUAUAUUUUUUCGACAAAGUUUACUUUAUGAUUCAAAAUUAUUUCAAAUUGUCAAUUUUCACAGACUUAUUAUGACGAGUUUGGAGUUUAACGGUGUAGAAGAAUCUAAAUUUCUUCAAAUUUUGAUAGAAAAUACUUUAAACUAUAUAGAUUAAGGUUAAUAUUCUUGAUCUUGAAUUUAAAAGUCCUAUGCUCAAAUUUUAAAGAUUAUUCAAUUUCCACCGUCCAUUUUGAUAUGAUUUAUUUACUAAGUAAAAGAUAUCGAAAAAAACUAAAAUUUUAUUUCUAAGAAAUUCAUAUACCCUAGAUCAUAUUUAACGAUAUGGAUCAUUGAUUUGAACGCCCUAAGAUCGAAAACAAACACUAUAGUACCGAAGCUCGGUACUAUAGAUAGUAUAGUAGCCUAAUUCUAUAUAUAUAUAUUUCUUUCCAAUCUUUUUAAAUUCUUAUUUAUAAGUCAGCUCGUAUUGGGCGCGUGUUCGACUCAUUAGUAAACGAGCUGAAUACGAGCCAAAUUUUUUGGCUUGAUACUUUAAUGAGCCGACCCUAGCUCGCUCGUGUUUGGCUCGUUGACACCCUACUAGCUUAGGCCAAAUUCCGAUUUCAGAGUGGAAUGAGAAUAGAAUCCACUUAAAUGUGUACGACAAAUAAUAAAUAUUAGAAUCAAUAAAUUUCAUUCUGAUUUUAGAGUUUAAAAUAAGUAAACCAAAUAAGCCCUUAAUCCUUAUGUAAUUGCUAAUUACUAUAUAAAAAUUUUAAAAUUUGGAGUGAUCAGGUGUCUAAUUUAAUGAUUAAAAAUUCAUAUAAUUUUUAUUUUAUUUUUUAAAUUCCACUUAAUAAGUGGGCCAUUUUAUGAACAUUCAUGAUUCAUGUGGAAGAAACAUCAAAGGUGCAUUAAUUAAUUAAUCUCUAACACCAACCGUCCCUAGCACAACUGAUAAAGGGCUUGGAGGUUGGUACUGAGGUCCUAAAUUUGAAAUCUAAUUGCUUCACAUUUCUAGCUAAGUUUAUUUCUAAAAAAAAUGAGCGAAGCGAGUAACGUUCUACAUUUCUUUCUAAAAACCAAACAAAAUAAAAACAAAAUCUCUAACUAAGUCAUUUUGUACGCUUUUAUUGUACGAAUCAUUUUAAAUAUUCCGUAGCAGUUUUAAGCUUAUCUUAAAGUACAAACAAAGAAUAAGAAGAAAGAAAAAAUCUGCAAGUACAUAUGAAGGAGUGCAUGGUAAUUUCACUCGUUCAUGCAUGAACUCUAUAUAUAUAGUUGAGGGUGUAUCAAGGUCUUAAAAAAGUUAAUUUUCAUUUUUAUUUAUAAAAGGCAUUAAUUAAGCACCAUUUUUGUGGGAUUAUAAGGAGAGCGAGGAUGGAGAAUAGUAAGUUUAAUCCUGAGAAAGUUGGGCGCAAAUCCGGAGAGUAUCACCCCUCACUUUGGGGUGAUUAUUUUAUUACCAAUAAUCCAACAUUUUAUGCGAAACAGGUAUGCAUAAAUUAUAUUUUAUAUUUUUGUUUUAUUUUUCUUUUUCUUUUGAGGAUAGCAAGCAUAUAUGGAAAAUCGUAAAAUUUGAUUUCUAAAUAUUUAAAUAAGUGUAGAUUAUGUCUAACUAUAUUGAUUGUGCUAUCUAUGCAUGUAUACAUAUAAAAUUAACAAAAUAAAAAAAAAUAUAAACUUAAUUUCAGUUUAUUUAAAUCAGCCACAUGUCUAAUUUUAAUUUUAUUAGCUUUAAUUUUCUUACCAGUAGACAUUUAUAUUAAGUUCAAAUUAAUAACUUGUAAAUUUAUCUUACCAAUCUAAAUAAAUUAAUGGUAAACAUAAAUUUUAAAGGCCAGCCAAUUGACCGUAAUGCAUAUAUAAUUAGUUAAAAAAUUUCACAGACACUGGGGCUAGAAAACUAAUUAAAAUAGAUGUGCAUUUCAUGUUGAAUUUUUCAAAAAUUUGAAGGUUCAAAUGACUAAAUAUAAUCGAGUGUUACAAGGAUUUAUAAUAUUUUUCUCUUAUUACUGUUGUGUAUUACAAUUAUUUAACCAAACUUGUAUUGUAUCUGAUCUUGAUUUCUAGAACAUCUAGGCUUGUACAGCUGAUAAAAAGUGUUGUAUGGUAUGUAGAAGCUUCAUGUAAUAUUAUGUCCUAUUCUCUAUUUUUUUUAGUGGUACAAUAAUAUAUAUUCUAUCAAGUUUUCAUUUAUGCAACUUUCAAAAUAAUAAUUUUUCGUGGAAAUAGUCUUUAAUUUCUCUAGAUUGAAAAGAUUAGAAUUAUAGAACUAACUAAAUUUAGUAAAAAGAUACGUGAGGAUAUUCACCAAUAGAAAGAAUGAAAAAAACAUGAGUUUCAUACUUUAAAUUCCAAUUUUAUAUUCUCAAACUAAUCACAUUCUAAUUGUGCGAAUUAUACAUGCAGAAAUCUAAAUCAUGGAUGAAGCAGAGAGCAGAAGAGUUGAAGGACGAAGUAAAGAAAAAGCUGCAUACUACUAGUGAUUUGCAUGAAAGUAUGAGUUUGAUAGAUGCAAUCCAACACCUCGGAAUAGAUUAUCACUUCACAAAGGAGAUCGACGAGGCACUGGAUCACCUCUACAAUACCGAGUUAAAAAGCUUUGCUCUUCACGAAGUUGCUCUCCGUUUUCGAUUGCUUAGACAACAAGGAUUUCCAAUUAUUGUUACACAUUUGGUUGAUGCUUUUGGAUCAUCCUACUCGCAUUUAGAUGCAUGAAGUAUAUAUUUUUAUAAUUUCAAUUUUUAAAAUACAACUACUAUAUGAGAAAUGAUAUACCCACAUCCUUUGAGCAAUAAUUAAUUUAAAUAGUGUAUGUGGAUAUCUAUGGAACACAUAAAUCUACAAAGUUGAUUGGUCUCUUAUCUCACAUGCCUAUAUGUGGAUAUAGCGUUAUUCUUACUAUACUUUGCACAUUCAAUCUUUCUUAGUAUACAAUUACAAUUAAGGACAAAAAAUAUUACGAUGCCUACUCAAAGUAUUACGAUAAAAGGAACAACAAUUAUGAAUGAGAUUUUGAGGAAAAAGAAAGAAAAAUCGUAGAAUUAAGUCUAUCUUACAUGUUUAGUCUCUGCUGGAAUGAAGUAUCAAUAAUCACAAUUGGAGUGUUUACACAGAUGAGUUUAACAAGUUCAAAGAUGACAAGGGAAAUUUCGCCAAAACCUUAAGUAAUGAUCCAAGGGGCUUGUUGAGUCUCUAUAAUGCGGCUUAUCUCGGAAUUCAUGUCGAGAAGAUACUCGACGAAGCGAUUUCAUUUUCAAGAAUUCACUUGGAAUCUAAAGCAAAGGACUUGAAACCUCCACUAGCAAACGAAGUAUCGCGCGCUCUUGUGACACCGUUGCAAAGGAGAUUGAAGAGACUUGAGGCAAGGUAUUACAUAUCCGACUAUGAGAUGGAGGAUAAACGCGACGAUGCUAUCCUUGAGCUUGCGAAGUUAGACUUCAAUUUGGUGCAGUCCCUUCAUUGUGAGGAGCUCAAGAAUAUCUCCAUGUAAGUUGCAUGUGCCCUUUAUAGGAAAAACCAAUGAAUUUUUCCCUAUAACUACUUAAAUUCUUAAGAUAAAAACUUUCUUAGAUUGUAUGGCUCUACUUUGCUGCAAUCAGACUUCAUAAUGCUCUAAACUGAUAUGGAUUUGAUAGUAAAUUGAUGCAUUGUACAUGUAAGUAAAUGUAUAAGGAUUCAAAUUGCAGAUGGUGGAAUGAUUUAGGACUCAAAGAUAAACUAUGUUAUCUGCGGGACAGAAUAGUCGAACUCUACUUUUGGAUUUCAGGAGUAUGUUUCGAGCCCGAUUAUUCUCAUGCACGCAUGAUAGCAACAAAGGUGAUAGUACUCACAUGCAUUUUAGAUGAUACUUAUGAUGUCUACGCCACUUUGGAGGAGUGUCGAGCGCUUACCGAUGCAAUACAGAGGUUGUAUAUAUGACUUUUUAUUUUGAUUGUUACUCCACCUUUUAUUUUGGUACUCGCUUUUCAUUUUGAUUGUUAAAUUCAGUUAAUUUCCUGAGUCUUUGCUAGGUUGAUGAAACUGUCCAUUAUUUUUUCAUAUAUUAAUUAGCUUUAAUAAGUAAGCUUAAUUGUAUAUAUAUUAUGCCUUUAGCAUGCCUAUAUAUAUAAUUAUUAAAGAUGACUUUAGUUAUUUUCCUUUAUUAUGUGAAUUGGCUUAUUUGAAACACUGUUGCAUGUCAAAAUAAAAAUGGAAUGAAAUAAGUAAAAUAAAGGAAUGGAAAAAUAUAAAGAUAGUUUACUGAAAAUACUAGUACAUCUGACAAUUGAAGGAUUAUGUAUGUUUUAUUUUACUAAUAAGUCCCGAAUGAAAGAGGCAUCUAUAUGCAGGUGGGAUAUGGAGGCUAUUGAUCAGCUACCUACAUAUUUAAAAGAUUACUUCCACAAAUUAAUCAGCACCUUCGAAGAAUUCGAGGAUGAGCUUGCACUUGAAGACAAGUACCGCGUUUCUUAUCUUAGGGAAAUGGUAAUUUUUUUCAUCUCUCUUUGACUAAUUUUAGGCCUGGCCGGGGUUACUAUACUCUUAUGAGAAUAAAACCCCUUGUACUAAUAAAUUUUUAACCGUUAAUUGAUGAAAUGUGUGGUUAAGAUGAUGGUGGUCCCCGCUUAGAAUGAUAGUGGUGCCCUAAGGUUGAGUGGGUAGUUGGUUGAUUAGUAUGAUCUAACGGGUGGAAAUGAUCAAUAGAAUAAAUUUGAGAGUCAAAAACUUAUGAAUAUAAGGAGUCAAUACUUACAAAAGUAUAGUAGCCGGACUCUCUAUAUAUAUAUCUGUAUUAGUUGACAUAAAAAAUAAAAGCAAAUAAUUGAGAGCUUCAUUGUUGAUUAUAUUGCAAGUGUAACUUCAAUAGCAUAGCUAAAGCCAUAGACUAGGUCUUUAAAUGGAUAAAUAUUUCUUGAUAAUUCUAUUCAAUGUGGUGUAAAAAUAUGCUGCACGACUAGGGGUGGAACUGGGCCCAGGCCUAAACAAGGCUUCACCCAAUGGGCCAUUUUCGGGUAGGGAUUUGAGUAUUAAAAAUAUAACUUUGGGUUCAGGCCGGGCUUAAAAAUUUAGGCCCGAAAAAAUUUUGGGCCUAUUUAGGCAUGUCCAAGUCCGACCCAAAAAUCCGAUAUAUUAAUUAUUAUAUAUAUAUAUAUAGAACUAGGUUACUAUACUAUCGGUAGCACGGAGCGCUCUGUGCUACCAAGUUGUUUUCGAUGAUGCAGCUUUCAAAUCGACGAUCGGCUCCGUUAGACUUGAUCUACACUAUUAAAAGCAUUUAGAAACUAAAUUUCAUAAUUUUUUAAUAUCAUUUAUCUAUCAAACAAAUAGUCUAAAAUUGAAUGGCUGAAAAUAAAAAUCUCAUGAAAAAUGAUGAUAAAAGAUUUUAAUUCAAGAUCAGAUAUACUGAUCUUACUCUAAAUAGUGAAAAGAAUUUUCUAUAAAAUUUUCAUCGCAUUUGGAUUGUUUUACACCGUUAAACUCACAAACACACCACAUCGGCCAUUAAAAUUGUUAAUUUUGAGAUCUUUUGAUCACUAAUCAAAUGAUGUCGAAAAAAUCUGAAAUUUAGUUUCCAAGUACUUUCAAUAGUGUAGAUCAAGUCUAACGGAGCCGAUCGUCAAUUUGGAAGCCGCAUCAUCGAAAACAACUAGAUAGCACGGAGCGCUCUAUGCUACCGAUAGCAUAGUAGCCGGACUCUAUAUAUAUAUAUAUAUAGUAUAUAUUGUUAUUAAUGAUAUAUAUUUAUAUAUAUGAGGAUAUAUUAUAUACUAACAAAAUAUUUAGUUCCAUAUUCAGAUAUAUUAACUAGUAUUAUUAUAUAUAAUUAAUUAAUUAUACAUAUCUAUGAAGAAAUAUAUGAUACAUAUUAUUGUAUAUAGCUGAUUAGUUAUUAUAUGAUAAAUACAUAAAUUGGGCCUCCACAAAGCCCGGUAGGUAUUGGGCAUUGGGCUUGGGCUUCAGCUUGGACCGGGCCUUAAUUUUCAAAAAAAUAAGGUAAAAGCCCGACCUGAAGCCCAACAUUUUCUUUUGGGCCGGGCUUGGGCAUAGUAUUACCCGACCCAAGCCGGGCCCAGUUCCACCCCUAUGCACGACUACUAUUUUGUAACACUAAUACUUACAUUUCCAAUUUGCACAUUUAAUCUCAACCAAGUCUUAAGUUGACUACAUCACCAACAUAUAAUAUUCAAUUGAAUCUCCGAAUAUCCUUUUUUUUAAUUUUUUUUUCUAAUAUCAGAAAUUAGAUUAAUAAGGGCGUUAAUUAUUGUUUUCGCGGUUUCAGUACAAAAGUGUGGCAAAAGUUUAUCACAAUGAGACCGAAUGGUAUGCGCAUGAUUACACACCGACAUUCGAAGAACAUUUGCAAACUUCGAUAAUUUCCACGGCUUAUCCAAUGUUGAUUUGUGCCUGCUUCGUCGGCAUGGGUAAUGUUGCAACAAAGGAGGCAUUUGAGUGGGUUCUUAGCAUACCAGAAGCAGUUAGAGCUUCAGCCCUUGUAUCUCGACUUAUGGAUGACAUCACUUCAUCUGAGGUAACAAAUCAAAUCUCUCUCUCUCUCAUUUCUCAAUCUCUCCCGAUCUUACGGAUGGUAAGCCCUAAUCAAUUAUUCUAAAAUUACAUACUGAUAAAAAGAACACAUUCAUCAUAAGCUUCAACCUGAUUCAUCCCAUUGGGACGUUAAGUCUGCUAUUGGGCUUCUCGUCGUUAGGUUUAUUGCAUGACUGACCGUUCCUAGAGCAAGUGGCAAAGGGCUUGAUGGUUGGUACCCGAGACCCAAGUUCGAAUCCCAGUUGAUUCACAUUUCUAGCUAAGUUUAUUUCUAAAUAAAAUAAAUGAAGCGGGUAGCGUGCUACCUAUCUCUCUCUCAAAAAAAAGGAAAAAACUUAUUUAGCUCACUCAACUCAACUCAUUAAUAUCCUAGACCUAUAUUUACUGGCAGAAUUUAAAUCAAUUUUAGCCAAUAAUACAUAGCCAACAGAUCUAUCUCUACGAAUUGUAGGCCUUCACAUGCUUCUCGAUAAUUGAAAUACUCUAGAGCUUCCCUUCCGAAUUGAGUUUCCCUUCCGAAAGCGGUAGUUCAACUUGAAUGCUAUUUGAGAUAAAUCUCCGAAUAACUCUAUUUUUAUAUGUUCUAGAUAACUCUACUCAAAACAACACGUCUCAUGAUCUCUCUCCAUCCUUCGAUUACAUAUAUACGUUCACGCUACAAGUUUUAUGAUCUGUUCUAAUUAAUACUUUAUUACGAUGUUUGAUGCUCUAAUAAUUUUUUUCUUUCUUCAGCAUGAAAAAAAGAGAGGGCACUGUGCCUCUACAUUGGAGAGCUACAUGAAAGAACACAAUACAACCAAGGAAGUAGUCGUUGCAAAAAUUCGCUCCAUGAUUGAAGAUGCAUGGAAAACGAUAAACCAAGCGAUCCUGAAGCCAACUGAUGUUCCGAUGCCUCUUAUCGAACGAGUUGCUAAUUUCACUCGAGUGAUGGAAAUAAUAUACAAGAAUUUGGAUGGGUUCACAAACUCUCCUUAUCUUAAAGAAUUCAUCUCGUUAUUGUUCGUGCAGCCGAUCGCUAUUUGAGUGCUUGAUGUCGAGUAUUUCUGUCUACUAAUCAAUCUGAAUAAAAGUAGGCAGGUAUUAAUCUUCGUGCAGGUUUACAUAUCACUUAAGAAAAUGGUUGGUUUAAUUUCGUGAUAGCGAUCUAAUGAAUAAGAAAUAAUGAAACUAAAGUCUUUUAUGAUUAGAUUGUCAUGAUGUAUCUUUCUAAAACUACGGAUGUGAAUGAACUUCUUGGCUGGAAUGUAAUUUAAGUUCUUAGUUGUUUACUCAAUCGGAUCUAGAUGCUAAACUAUAUUUGUUUUCCUAGUUAUGUACUUAAAAUAACUAUAUAUACUAGUGUACGUAGGCACACGCGCAUAUAUUGUGGCGGAUCGAUUUUGUAAAAAAUAAAUAAAUAAAUAAAUAAGGCUGAAAAUAAAAGAAACAACAAAAAAAUAAUAGUCAAAGAAUAAAAAAGAAUAAAAAGAAAAGAAUCUGAAGAAGAAACAACUGCUACAGUAAAAAUAUAAGAACAAAAGCAUAAGAAGGAUAAAAAAAUAAGGACAAAAAUUAUAAGAAUAAUAAACUAUAUUUGUAGCAAUAGUAAAAAUUGAGAACUAAAAUGUUAUAUAUAUGCCUCAUAGUUAGAGUGAGAAAUUGUAACUAAUUAAAGUUUGAGUAGUAAAGUAUUACGUGUCUCAUAGUUUGAGCUAGAUAUUAUAACGCAUUAAAAUUCGAGGACUAAAAGUGUCAUGCGUCUUAUGAUUUGAGGAUCAAAAGUAUAAUUUACCUCUUUUAUGUUUAUUUUUAUUCCAGACGAAGUAGAGUUGAGAGUCGAUCGAUUUUGUUUAAUUAAUAAUUUCAUUCGAUGAAAGAAUAUGUUAAACUAUAUAAUAAAUUUUAAAAUGCCUAUUUGUUAAAAUUAAAAGUUGACUAAUCAUAUUUUGAAUAUUGUACAAGAUUUUAAAUGUGAUGUUGAUCGUUCAUCAGACUAUAAAUAUAGUAUUGAAGUUUGAAUUAAAAUCAAAGUAAAAAAUAUAUAGAAUUUUCUAAACAAUGGAUCUUUUAGAAUNAGACUAUUAAUAUAGUAUUGAAGUUUGAAUUAAAAUCAAAGUAAAAAAUAUAUAGAAUUUUCUAAACAAUGGAUCUUUUAGAAUCAGUUAUUCAGUCUUUUAAGAUUUUGCUUUUAUUAUCCAACCUUUUAAUAUAUUAGAUUUGAGUCAGUCAAUGUUACUUGAUUUUAAAAUUUGAAUGCUUUUAGUUUUACAGAUUUAGUUAAUAUAUUUUAUACAAUUCUCGCAAUUAAAUUUAUUAAAAUACGUAAUUGACUUAUAUUCCAACAAUCUCUUUUUCAUUUUUUAUUAUAUAAUUUAUAUUUAGGUAAUUAAUAUUAUAAAAUUAAAAUUUAUAUUUAAUACAUACAAUCUAAACUAUUUAAAGACUGUAAAAAAUAUUAUAUAUUUUAAAUUUUUAGAAUAAGAAAGAGAAGAAUUAGAUUGAAUUAAAAAAUUAGGCACAAUCCGGCGGUCCAAAUUAGUGGACAGAGAUAGGAGACAAAAAUAAAAAUAGAAAACAAAAAUUGAAAAAUAAAAAACCUCAGCCCGAACCUCAUCUCUCCAAAAAAGUGCCACGUAUGUAGAAGCCACAAUUCAUUAUGUUAUUAUAUAGAUAUAUAGAUAAAAUAUUAUAUAUUUUUAAAUUUUUAGAAUAAGAAAGAGAAGAAUUAGAUUCGAUUAAAAAAAAAAUUAGGCCUAAUUCCACCGUCCAAAUUAGUGGAGAGAGAUAGCAUGGAAAAAGAAAAAUAACAAACAAAAAUUUAAAAAAAAACCCACCCAACCCCUACCCCUCCAAACUGUGCGACAUGUAUGUAGAACCCACAACUCUUUUUGUUAUACUAGUGAAGUUACCCAUGCAUUGUGUCGGACUAAUACUAUAAAAGACAGAAGAUUGAUAAAGUAAAAAUUUUAAAAUUUUUUAAUUUGCCAUAAAAUAUCAAUAAAUAUAAAUAAUAUGAAAAAAGAAUAUGAAGAGAUCUUAUUUUACUUUUUUUUUGUGAAAAUAAUUUAUUUAGAUGACAAUAGACCAUGUGAAUAUAUUAAUUGAAAAAUGAGCGGGUGAGAAGACGAAGCAUCGGGCGGAGAUGGGAAGUGGGAAGGCGAAGCAUCAGGAAAUGAAAAGAAGAGAGAAGGCAAGGGUAAAAAUAAAAACCUGCCAUAUGACAAAUUUUAUAAGAAAUAAUAUAUAGGUAUAAAUAAACGAUGAAAAUUGUGUCUCAAGGAUUAUACACAUAACGAAAUUAACCAAGUCUUUGCAUGAUGUACCACCAUCUCUCUUUUGAAAGUUAUUGGGUUUUGAACUCUGACACCUUUAGUUUCAUCAAAAGUAAUUAACUUAUAAGUACGAAAGUUUGGCACUUUCGAAAGCACACAAACCUAGUUCUCUCUCUAUACGUAUAGUUCAAUUAGGAUACUGUUAUAUAAUAGUAUAUAAAUAGUGAUUACUAUUUAUUUUUUGACCAUAGAAUUUUUAUAUUUAAUUUAAUUUCAUUUUUUUGUACUUAGGUGACAGUUUUUAUAUAAAAGCUGAUUAGGAUUUUUGUGAAAAUAGUUUUUUCUAGAGAAAUAAUAGCCAUCUUUCGUUUUAGAAGAUAUUUUUUCAUCUAUUUUGUCGAUCCUUGAAUAUGUUUCGUCUCAAACACGGCAACGAUUGCGUCAGAUAUAUUAAAGGGAAAACUUUAAAAAACCCUCCUGUGGUUUCGUAUUUUCUCACUUUGCCCUUCUGUGAUUUAAAGUGUAUCAAUUUGUCUCCCUGUAGUUUUAUUUUUAUCUUUUCGGUAGCUUUUUCUUUAAUAUUUUGUUAAAUUAUAUACAAAAAAUUUCAGAUACCCAUCUAGAUUUAUCAAAUAUUCACUUUAGUACUCUUUAAUUUUAACUUUAUCACUGAUUUAAGGAAAAAAAAUAAUAAAAUUAAUAAAAAAAAGAAAAAAAUAAAACCACAAGUAGAUAAAUUGAUACAUUUUAAACUACAGGGGGGUGAAGUGAGAAACUAUGAAAUUACAUGAGGGUUUUUGAAGUUUUCCCUAUAUUAAAAUGAUAAGGAUUGCGACUCGCUGAAUCCAACUAAUAUAUUGAGCCAAAAUAAUCCAGGGUGGAUUCGCGAACCUAUCAAUUUCUACUUUGCUUUACUUAAUUUACAGACACGUAUGUACGGAGCCUACAGUUCGAAUCCCGUAGGGCAGUGAAAAUAUAUAUAUUAUAUUAAGAUUUAGAUUUUUAAAAUUAUAAAUUUAAAUAUAAAUCGGGCAUUCGUAUAUAUUAUAUAAUAUAAAAUUAAUUCAAAUUUGGGUCUGGUUCGGAAUCCGAUUAGGUACGGACAAAAUUCAUGACCAUAAGCACUCUUCUAAUUAAGUGGGUGGCGGACGGUGGCCGCAGGAGGAGUUUGGGGACGAACGAUUUUGGACGAAGAGGAAGAGAAAUUUAAUUCGAAUUUAACUAAAAAUAAAUUAAAGAAUACUAACAGUGAAGGUAUUUUUGAAUAACGGAGAAAAUAUAUGUAAUGUGAAAUAACCGUUGUACUCUAAAAAUUUAAGAUGUUAAAGAACGGUGUUUAAAUAUUAUAUUUAAUAUUCUUCUUCACGUUUGGGCUCGAGACUUUUUAGUCGACCAUUAUAUUUAAUACUCCCCCUUAUGUCUGGGCUCGAGACUUUUUAGUCCGCCCAUGACGUGGGCUUGAAUUAAAUAGGAGAAAAUUAAUAUGUUAGGAGCCUGGCAUGACUCAAACUCAGGACCUCCUGCUCUGAUACCAUGUGAAACAACCGUUGUACUCUAAAAGCUUAAGCUGUUAGAGAACGUUGUUUAAACAUUUUUUAUAUUUAACACUCUCCCUCACGUCUGGGCUCGAGACUUUUUAAUCGGCUCAUGACAUGGGCUUGAAUUAAAUGGGAUGAAAUUAAUAUGCUAGGAGCCUGACGUGACUCGAACUCAGGACCUCCUGCUCUGAUACCAUGUGAAACAACCGUUGUACUCUAAAAGCUUAAGCUGUUAAACAACGGUGUUUAAACAUUAUAUUUAACACUCUCCCUCACGUCUGGGCUCGAGACUUUUUAGUCGGCCUAUGGCGUGGGCUUGAAUUAAAUGGGAGAAAAUUAAUAUGUUAGGAGUCUGACAUGACUCGAACUCAGGACUUCCUGCUCUGAUACGCUGUGAAACAAUCGUUGUACUCUAAAAGCUUAAGCUGUUAGAGAACGGUGCUUAAACAUUUUUAUAUUUAACAGUAUCUUUGAAACAAAAAAUAAAAUGAGAAUAAAUAAGAUAUUUCAAAAAUAUUCAGAGGCAUAUAAAUAAUUAUCUAUUUUUAUUUGGUUAUCUUUUAGUUGGUGGGUCUUGUGCUUAUAUAAUUAUCAAAAUGAAUACAAACAUCAGAAAGCAUCGCGGGCUUUCGCAGAGAUGACAGUUUUGACUUUAUGUCAAUAAGAUUUCGACUUGGCGAGCCACUUUUGAAAUAUUUAUUUUUAAGGAGGAAUCAUAUUUAGACACUAUCGAAAUUUAGCUAAUUUGCAUGGCUAUUACUGGAUGAAAUUAAAAAAAAAAAAUACGGUGCAGAAAUUGUUAUAUAAACUUUAUGCAUUUUUUUUCGUUCACAUGAAACCGGUUUAUGAAAUUUAAAAAAAAAGAAUAAUAAAAUCUUAUUUUUAUUAGUGGGCAUCCUAGUACUACAAGAUAUUUGUGUUGGAUUCCAAAUCGAAAUUUAUAAUAUACAUGGAGCGUACGUCACGUCAUAGAUGGCAAAAUCAAAGAAGGUACGAAAGGAGUUGCAGCAAAUAGAAAAGCUGAGGUUCCUGACAAUGGAUUUUGCAAAAAGUUUUUUUUUUCCUGUUAUUUUUUUGCAGCUAUUUAUUAGAAUUAAAACAAAAAAUCUAUAUUUCACCAUAAAGCUUUUGUUUUCUUUUUUCAAUUUAGAAAAGACACAAAAAAAAAAUUGUGUUUUUUUUAAUUUUUUGUAUAUCGGAAUAUAUAUUUUGCUAUUCUCGUGAAUAUAAGGUAAAUGUUGAACUACGUAAAUCUCAAUUUUUUUUUUAAAAUCUAAGUCUAGAUCAAUAAUUAGUCCAUUUUAAACAAGCAGCGAUAUUAACGAGAUAAGAAUUAUUAUUGACAAGGCAAUUGUGCUAAAAACCAAUAUUCAAUCAAUCAGGUAGACUAGAUUCGCUGCACCUAUUCUAAGGGCAAUUUUCACAUGCUUAAUUUGUUGAUUGAUAUUAGUGUCCUUCUCCAAAUAUAUGACCCUUGAAGGAACAUGUGGUUCGGAACAAUCACUUCCACACAACAAUAUAAUUGGUGGAGGUACAAUGCUAUAAGUACAUUUAAAAAAUAUAUAUAAAUUUUAAAUAACUUCAGCCAAAAAAUAAUAUUAUUUUUCUACCUGUUUUACGAUUGAGUCUUAUGAUUAAAUAAAAAUAAAAAUAUAUGAUAGUUAAGUCUAAUUUUUUAUAUUUAGCAGACUAAAAGUGUGCUGAAUCUCAACGUGGACCACCACUUUAUCGAACUUGCUCAGAUGCUAGUGUAGAUUCGUCACUUCUUGCAUCUGUAGCGUGAACAGUUGUUGUUUCAAAUGCAGCAUUUUUGUCAGGGACUUUUUAUAUACAGAUCCUUCAAUUUCUUCCACAACUUCAUAGGUGUUGACUCACCAACUGCGUUGCAAAGUGCCUUUUCUUUUAACAAUAGAUGAAGCGUACUCAACACUUUCUGCUCUAUUUUUUUUUUUUUCAUGUCGUAUCCGUGACCCCUACCGACUUCGCCUCUUUAAUGUUCAUUGUCUGAUCCAAAUCAUAUUGUGCCAGAACCUCUCGAACUUUAAUCUACCACAAACCAAAUUUUUUCUUAACACCGAACUUCUUAAUUUUGAAUUUUGUAGCCAUCUCUGUCAAUCUCUCUUGAAGAUCGAUAAUCUUAAGCUCUAGUACCAAUUGUUCGGAAUCUAGUACUCGCUUUGAUUCCAAAUUUUGAUAAUCCACAACUUGCUUUUUCACUGAGUGCUAUUGACCCGGUACUAGCUCUGAUACUAAUUAUUAGGAUUUGCACUGAAAUGUCAAAUCAAAUUUUUACCAUAAACUUGACUGCUCAAUAAAAGCUGGCACAACCAUAAAAAAGAGAAAAAGUCAAACACAAAAUAUCGAUAAAAUAAAAUUUACUAACUAAAAGAAGAAUUACAACUUACUAUUCUUCAUUUAUACAGAGUAUUUUUAACUGAAGUUUUCUUUCUGAAUCUUUUCCAUCCUACUGUUGUCUUCUAUAAAUCUAGAAGAUUUCCUUUAUUCUCUCUCUAUGCAAACGUGAACACGUGUCCAAGCCUAGCUCUCUAUUUUGCAUGGCUCUUCCACCUCAGCUGUACUAUUGAAGCAAUCAUACCUCAGCCUGUACACGCCAAAGAAGCUACUACUUUCUUGGCGCUACAAUAUACCACCAAAAUAAUAACACAGAUGCAAUAUAUAUAUAUAUAUAUAUAUAUAUAUAUAUAUAUAUAUAUAUAUAUAUAGAGUUGAGCUAGAAUACUAUCGAUAGCAAACGGAUUUUUUUGCCACCGAUUUGUUUUCGAUAAUGAAGCCUCCAAAUCGACAAUCAGCAUCGUUGAAUAUGAUCUAUAUCACUUGAAGUGUUUAGAAAUCAAAUUUCAAAUUUUUUCGACAUCAUUUGCUUAAUAAUUAAAGGGUUUCAAAAUUUAUAAUUUUAAUGGUCGAUAUGAGUCAUUUUCUUGUUUAACGGUGUAAAGAUAUUCAAAUCAAUUGAAUUUUUGUUAGAAAAUUUUUUAAACUAUUUAAAACAAUAUCAAUACUUUUGAUCUUGAAUACAAGACUCCUAUCAUCAUUUUUUUUGAGAAUAUUUAUUUUUAGCCGUUCAUUUUUAUGUCCACUCGAUGGAUAAGAGAACAAUAUCGCAAUGUAUGAAAUUUGAUUUCUAAAUACUUCAAAUGGUAUAGAUCAUGUUCAACGGUGCCGAUCAUCAAUUUGGAGGCUCCAUCAUCGAAAACAAAUGGAUGGCAAAAGAGCUGAUUUGCUAUCGAUAGUAUUCUAGCUCAACUAUAUAUAUAUAUAUAUAUAUAUAUAUAUGAGUGAUGUAUCUUUUGGAAGCACGGAGCCUUCCUUAUUUCCAAGUCGUUUUCAGUUCGGACUUUCGAAUCGACGAUCGGCUCCGUUAGAAUUGAUCUAAAGUAUUUGAAGUACCUAGAAAAUAAAUUUUGUGAUUUUUCGAUAUCAUUUGCCUAGUGAUCGAAAGGGCUCAAAAUCAAUAAUUUUAAUGGCCAUGGUGAGCCGUUUGCAAGUUUAACGGUGUAGAAAUAUUCAAAUCAAGUGAAAUUUUGAUAGAAAAUUCUUUAUACUAUAUAAAACAAGAUCAAUAACUUUGAUCUAAAAUUUUAAUAUCAUAUCAUCAUAUUUUGUAAGAUUUUUAUUUUCAGCCGUUGAUUUUGAACCCCUUCGAUCAUUAGGCAAAUGAUAUUGAAAAAUCACAAAAUUUAUUUUCUAGAUACUUCAAAUACUCUUGAUCAAGUCUAAUGGAGCUGAUCGUCGAUUCGAAAGUCCGAAUAUCGAAAACGACUUGAAAGCACGGAGCGCUCCGUGCUUUCAGAAGCAUACCAGACGCACUCAUAUAUAUAUAAUUAAGCUCCUAUGCUUUUGAAAGUACCAAGUCAUAGAUGCUUGUGUGUCUUCGGCCUUGAAUUAAGGGAUGUGCGGUUAGAAUAAAUAGUUGCCCUAGGAUUGAGUGGUUGGUUGUUUGAAUUGUAUAAUCUUACGGGUAGAAAUGGUCAAAAGGGUCGAUCUAAUAGCGGAAAACUUACAAGCACCAUAGAGACCAUGGAUUCUAAUAAUAAUAACUAGGUAUAAACAUUUCGGGCUAGUGAUCGAUUUGUACCCAAUGAGUUAUUAUUAUUAGCGGGUCAGAUCGUUAUAUUAGCUAUAUUUGUAAACACUUUAGGGAGUCUAGUUCAGAUAAAGAGCAAACUAAAAUCUAGGUUGAGAUCUGUAAUUAGUCCGUUCUAAACAAGCAGCGAUAUUAACGAGAUAAGAAUUAUUAUUGACAACUCAAGCGUGCUAAAUCCAACCAAUAUUCAAUCAAUCAAGUAGACUAUAUUCGCUACACCUAUUAUAAGGGUAAUUUUCACGUGCUUAAUUUGUUGGUUGAUAUUAGUGUCCUUUUCGGAAUAUAUAACCCUUGAAUGAAUAUGUGGUUCAGAACAAUCACUUCCACACAACAAUAUAAUUGAUGGAGGUAAAAUGCUAAAAGUACAUUUAAAAAAUAGGUAUAAAUUUUAACAUAACUUCGGCCAAAAUAUAGUAUUAUUUUUCUACCUGUUUUACAAUUGAAUCUUAUGAUUAAAAAAAAAUAAAAAAAUAUGAUCGUUAAGUCUAAUUUUUUAUAUACGGCAGCAAACUAAAAAUGCGCUGAACCUCAACAUGGACCACCACUUUAUUGAAUUUGUUCAGAUGUAGUGUAGAUUCGUCAAUUCUUGCAUUCGCAGCGUGAAUAGUCGUUGCUUCAAAUACAACAUGUUUGUUAGGGACAUGAUCAGAAAUAAGAAAAAUAAAAAACAAUUUAUCCUGAAACUGUCUCAAUUCACCAAAAAAUGAAGUGGGAGGUAGGUAGCCUGUUCUUCCUUUGAUCUAUCCUGAUCCGUCAAAAACUCGCUUCCACUCAGACCCAUCCCCAGUAGAAUGAUAAGUGAGAAUAAUAAAUAAAAUAAAAAUUAAUCCCUUCUAAAUCUAUCCUAAUCAACCAAGAAAACUGGGGUACGUGGGGACCAUCCCAUUGCCAGAUCAACCCCAUUUACAUCCCUAUUGUGAUAGUAGUUCACUCUAUAUUGAUUUAAGAAAGUAUAGAAUAUAGUUAAAAAGGAAUUUCAUUAACUAGUUUAUAUGCACACGCAUAACGUGGACGGGAAGGACUCGGCAUUCUUGGGCACUCCUCGGGGAGUUCUUUAAGGAGUCUUCUUAAUGGCCCUUUGGUGGAGUGAUGAUAUAUAUUCCACUUUUGAGGUGUAUUGAUAGUAUUAUUUUAUUUUUUAGAGAAAUUUUAUUUGUACAUUCCAAAAGAGAGUAUAGAUCUUACACUCUCUGUUCUAGGAUUUACAAAAAUUCAAAUAAUUUUUAGUAAAAAUUUUUUAAAAAAGUUGAUGCGUCAAAUAGAGAAUUAAUGAUUUUUGGAUGGCGUAGCUGUAAGAUGUACACCGCACUUUGGGAUUUACCGAUAGUUUUGCUCUAUUAUUUAGAAUAUAUAUUCUACGUUUAGCCCUCAAACUAAAAAUUUGGAUGACAUUUUGGUUCUUAAAUUUUAAUUUAUUAUAAUUUAUAGCUCAAAUUUUUAUAAUUAUUACAAGUAAUGAGUGUUAACGUCCAAUUUAAUUGACUAAAUGUUAACACAUUAUUUAUACGAAAUUAAUUUGUCAUCUUAAUUAUUAGCGUACAAUCAAUCACAAUACUAAUAUAUCACUUUCGUAUUAGUGAUAUAUCAAUACUUAGUAAAAAAGUGACAGAAAUUACAUCAAGUUAAACUUUGACAACCGUAGUGUCAUUCGCCUACUAGUUUGAGAACCAAACGUACAAUUAUUUCUCUAAAAAAAAAAAAAAACGUACAAUUACACCAUUAUUUAUCUUAUCUAGCUAAUGUAUUCUACCGCAGAUAUACACACGUGGUACUGUGAUUGGACGUUCCAAGAUAAUUUGUGUUAAGGUACCCUUCAUCAAACCCCGACUCAACCCUAUAAAUAUGUGCGAGUGUUACGCUUUGUAUUAGGCAUUCUUAAAAAGUUGUUUUAUUUUAUAAAACAUCAGCACUACUUUUGUGGGAUUGCGAGGAGAGUGUGGAUGGAGAAUAGUAAGUUUAAUCCCGAAAAAGUUGGGCGCAAAUCUGGAGAGUAUCACCCCUCGCUUUGGGGUGAUUAUUUCGUUACCUGCAACCCAACAUUUUCUUCACAACAGGCAUGAAUAUGUUAAAUUUUUUCUAUUAUUUUGCCUUUUUUUAAAAAAUUUUUUAUGAGAACAAGCAACAUAGCUACAAGAGAGUUACUAGCUAGCUAUAAAUUCCUCCAACUCUGGUUUAUAGAUUAACAAGAUUUAGAAUAACGAAACUAACUAAAUUCAGUUUAAGAAACUACUAUAAAUGCUAACCAGAAAAAGAAAGGGAAUUGUUAAAUAAAAAAAUAUAAAAAUACCGUUCUCUACCCGCUUAAACUUUUAGAGUAUAGCGAUUGUUUCAUUUAUUUUUUUACGGUACCGGAGCAGGAGGUUUUUGAAUUCGAAUCACGCCAGUCUCCUAGAUUAAUUGAUUUUCUCUCAUUAAUUUAAAUCCAAGUCGUGGGCCUAUCACGCCAGGCAUCUAGCAUAAUUGAUUUCCUCACAUAUAAUUUAAGUCUAAGUCACUGGCCUAUCAAAAAAUCUUAAGUCCAAGUCACAUUUAAAUAUCAUUCUCUAUCAGCUUAAAUUUUAAAGUACAGCAGUUGUUUUAUUUAUUUUUUCAGGAGAUUUAUGGUUUAAAUCUCAUAUAUACUAUAUAUCGUAGUGACUUUUUAAUUCCAUGAAUAAUACAGAAGUCAUGGAUGGAGCAGAAAGUUAAAGAAUUGAAGGCAGAAGUAAAGAAAAAACUACAUAGUACUACUGAUUUACAUGAAGGUAUGAGUUUGAUUGACGCAAUACAACAUCUCGGAAUAGACUAUCACUUUGAAGAGGAGAUCGACGAGGCAUUAGACCGCCUCUACAAUUCGGAGUUAGAAUGCUUCGAUCUUCAUGAAGUUGCUCUCCGAUUUCGGUUGCUUAGACAGCAUGGAUUUCGUGUCUCUGCAGGUAAUUUAAUUAUUAUCACACAUUUGAUUGAUAGUAGUUUUGGAUCAUCCCACUCACAAAUUAAGAUGCAUGGACCUUUUCCAUACAAAGUAAUUGACAUAAAUAUUAAAUAUGUUAGAAUAUAAUUGACUUAAAUAGUAUGUUUUCAAAUUUGAUUGUUCUCUUAUUUCACGUGCCCAUGAAACAGUUUGUAGUUAGAGCAUUAUUAUUUCUAUACACGACACUUUCUAACUUUCCGAGUACACAAUUAUAAUUUCGGACAAAAAUAUUACAUUAAUGGUUACUCAAAAGUAUUAAGAUAAAAGGACAAGUAAUAUCUAUAUAUUCUUCCUAUCUUGGACGUUUAAUGCUAUGCUAACAUUAUAAACAAAUAAGUGAGAAGAAAUUAAAGAAUGAUUGUAAUUAAGUCUAUCUCACAUGCUAUUCUAUCUUGAAAUUAAAGGGAGUAUUAUCAAUGAUCAGAAUUGAAUUGCUUGUACAGAUGAGUUUACCAAGUUCAAAGAUGACAAAGGGAAUUUCACUGAAACCUUAAGGAAUGAUCCUAGGGGCUUAUUGAGCCUAUAUAAUGCGGCUUAUCUCGGAACUCGUGGCGAGAACAUACUCGAAGAAGCCAUUUCAUUUGCGAGAAUUCACUUGGAAUCUAUAGCAAAUAACUUGAAACCUCCACUAGCGAACCAAGUAUCGCGCGCACUUGUGACGCCAUUGUCGAGGAGCGUGAAGAGGCUAGAGACGAGAUAUUACAUAUCCGACUACGAGAUGGAGGAUAAAAGGGAUGAUACUAUAUUUGAGAUUGCAAAAUUUGAUUUUAAUUUGUUGCAAUCUCUUCAUUGUGAAGAGCUCAAGAGUAUCUCUUUGUAAGUUGCAUCUAUUCUCUCUCUUGCAAGAGCCAAUGAAUUUUCGAUACAUACCGUAACUCUUUUUUGCAAUCCUUGCUCUGAUCCUCGUAAUUAUUAAAAAUCCUGUGAACGAAUUUAAGUAAAAUUUUCUUUAGUUUUAUAUUUGUAUUUUUGAUGCAGAAGGGCUUCAUAAUGCCAUAUUUUCAUUCAAGAUUAGAUGUUAAUUAAAUAUAUGCAAUCUAUAGAUGUUAAUUAAAUAUAUUCAUGAUAUUGCAGGUGGUGGAAAGAUUUAGAACUCAAAGAUAAAUUAUGUUAUGUACGGGAUAGAAUCGUCGAACUCUACUUCUGGAUUUUAGGAGUAUAUUUUGAGCCUCAUUAUUCUCGUGCACGCAUGAUAGCCACAAAGGUGGUAUCAUUUGUUUGCAUUUUAGAUGAUACUUAUGAUGUCUACGGCACUUUGGAGGAGUGUCGACUGCUCACCGAUGCAAUACAAAGGUAGUAUAUAUGACUCGAACAAUUUUUCAAGCUUUGAGUAGGUUUGAGGAAACCAUUCUUUUUUUUUCAUUUUUAUAUAUACUAUAAGUUAAACAUAUGCCUAAUUUUUUGCCUAUGGCCCAUGUAAAUAUAGGGUUAUCAAUGAGCCGAAUAAGGGCGGGCUCACGAGUUAGAUUGUCAGCUCUACUAUUAGAUGAAAAGUUGAAAAAAAAAAAUAGAUAUUAGAAUAUUAAUUAUAUAAUUAGAAUUUAAAAAAUAUAGGUCGCUUCAUUUGUGUUGGCAUAAAAUCCAAACACAAGCUAUAUCAAGUCAAACACACACGAGCUAAUCCCAAAUCAUAUUCUGCUCAUUAAGAUUUCGAGCGGAAAAAUUCUGCACAUGCUCGGCUCGUUUAUUAUAUGAGCGAUCGAUCUCAAACUCAUUUUGAGCCAAACACGAGUUAACUCAUGAACAACAAGCUGGAUCACCAACCUUGUGUGAAGAUGGUCUGAAUGAUUUUUUUUUUUUUUGAGAAAAAAGUAGCAUGCUACCCGCUUCAUUCAAUCAGGAUGUAAACUAAGCUACAUGGGUAAAGCAACACAGGCCUCGGGAGUGGUGAUAAAAAAAUAAAAUAAAAUAAAAUAAAAUAAAAAAUAAAAUAAAAUAAAAUAAAAAUAAGGCUCAAUUACAGAAAACCUUCCUGUCAAAACCCGCUUUUUUACUUUCCCCCCUUGUCAUUUAAAAACCUACACUUUGCCCCAUUGUACAAUGAAAAAUGUGUACUUCACUCCCUGCCGUUAGCGAUCCAUUAGGUUUUCGUUAUAAAAUAUUUUUUUAUGCCAAAAAUACCCCUCCGCCCUCUUCCAUGUUGGUUUGCUUCUUCCGCCUUGCCGCCUCGCCGCCGCCUCGCCCUCCUCCACUGCCUCGCUCUCGCCCACAUCUCCGUCUGCGCCCACAACCACCCCCUCGCCCGCCUCCGCCUCCUCGACUUCGCCCUUGCUGCCGUUGCCACCUCUCUAUCCACGCCCACCGCGAUUUCCUUCGUACUGUCGAGGGGUGACGAGGGUGUAGGAGGAGAAAAGGAGCAUAUGGAGAAGAAAAUGGAGAGAAAUUGCGGCCGAUCGAGGGGCGAACCGCGGCCGAUCGAGUCCGCGGAUGAGGAGGAUGAGGGAGAAGACGAAAAUGGCAAAGGGCAAAAUGGUCAUUUUUCACACCGUAACCCUCUUGUGCUCAUUUUUCAUUUUAUAAAGGGGGCAAAGUGUAGGUUUUUAAAUGACAAGUGGGGAAAGUGAAAAAGUGGACUUUGAUAGGAGGGUUUUCUGUAAUUUAGCCAAAAAAUAAAAAUAAAGAUAAAAAAAUCAAAAAUUAAAAAUACAUUAAAGUCUCUCCACAGUGCGCAGCUUCUCCCACAGACUCGUCAGUUGUUUAAUCUUAAAAAUUCCAAUGAAAGGAUCAUGCUGUGUCUUCUUGAAGAUCGCUCCGUUCCUUAUCUUCCAAAGAACCCACCAACAGGCUAUUAAUCCAUUUAGGUCAGUGUGCUUAGGUUGUGUCCCUUUCCUUCCUUUCCAUCUAUCCCAUAUCGAGUUCACAUCUGCCCCUAAAUCUUCUGAUUAUACAACCUUAUGCAAUUGGCAUACAUAUAACCCUGAAACAGAAAGAGAUACUAUAAAUUCAGUAUACUAAUAAUAUUUGUAUCAUAAGCUGUUUUCGAUGAUGGAACUUCUGAAUCGACGAUCGGCUCCAUUAGAUUUUAUCUAACGUAUUUGAAUUAUUUAGAAAAUAAGUUUUGUGCUUUUUCAGUAUUAUUUAUCUAGUGAUCGAAAGGACUCAAAAUUAACGGUUGAAAAUAAAAAUCUCACAAAAAGUUAUGUGUAGCACUAAAAUUUUCAAUCAGAAAUAUUAAUCUUGUUGUAUAUGGUAUAAAGAAUUUUCUAUCAAAAUUUAAUCCGAUUUAAAUACUACUACACCGUUAAACUUGCAAACCUUAUACACCAACCAUUAAAAAUUAUUGAUUUUGAAUCCUUUCGAUCGCUAGGUAAAUGAUGUCGAAAAAUCACAAAAUUUAUUUUCUAGAUAUUUCAAAUACGGUAGAUCAAGUCUAAUGGAGGCUAUCAUCGAUUCAAAAACUCUAUCAUUGAAAAAGGCUUAGAAGCACGGAAGUCUCCGUGCUCUUAAUAACACACAAGACCUACUCUCUCUCUCUCUCCAUAUAUAUAUAGUGCGGCUAGGAUACUUAUGGAAGCACGGAGGCCUUCGUGCUUCUACUUUGUUUUCGAUGUUCGGACUUUCGAAUCGACGAUCGGCUCCGUUAGACUUGAUCUAGAGUAUUUGAAGUAUAUAGAAAAUAAAUUUUGUGAUUUUUCGAUGUCAUUUGCCGAGUGAUCGAAGGGGCUCAAAAUCAACGGCUGAAAAUAAAAAUCUCACAAAAUAGGAUGAUAUGUCUAGAAAAUAAUUGUGGUUUUUCGAUAUCAAUGCCUAUGAUUCGAAGGGUGCUCAUAAAAUCAAUAAUUUUUAACGCGGUCUGAGCCCGGUCGGCAUGUUAACGGGUGUUAGAAAUAUAUCAAAUCACGUGAAAUUUUGACUUAAAAAUUCCUUUAUACCAUAUAAAACAAGAAUCAAUACUUUGAUCUAAAAUUUUAAUUUNNNNNNNNNNNNNNNNNNNNNNNNNNNNNNNNNNNNNNNNNNNNNNNNNNNNNNNNNNNNNNNNNNNNNNNNNNNNNNNNNNNNNNNNNNNNNNNNNNNNUAGAUUAUCACGUAGUUUCUUCCCAAAACUAUGUUUGCGAAUGUACUUGUUGUCUAAAAGUGUGAUUUAUGUUCUUGUUAAUUAGUAUGAUCUAAUUUUGAAACUAUAUUAAUUAGGUUAUCAUCAUAUAGUUCUAUCGUGAGUACCAUCAUAUAUAGAACUCUAACACCUCCCCAUCGGUGUUCUUAAAAAAAAUAAGAUAAAAUAAAAAACCAUCACUAUCUUCCUUUUCACGUCCAUAAUAAGUACUCUGACCAAAUAGUCUUAGGUGUAACAUCAACUUAUAUAUAAAAGAUUAAUUAUCCCAAUGUUUCUGUAGAAGUUAAUUUACAGAAUAGUACAAGAGCUUUAAAAUGCACAAAUCCCCUUAAUCUUAAUCACUAACUAUUGUGUGUUUAUUUUGAUAUAACUAAGAUAUCAUUUAAGCAUUGUUUUUUAUACUUUUGGUGUUUGUUUCACCGCAGUCGUCGAUAAAAUUGUAGCACCUUUUGGAAGUGAAAGAAAGUGAGGGAAAGCAAAGAAGUAUGUUUAUGAGCAAUUAACCUAAUAGUAUCAAUAGCACCAAGCUAUUGAUACUAUUAGGUUUUCGGCCGUUGGAUAAAAAAAAACGUACGGUUACGAUGAUGUGCGCUCCAUAGGGUUGAGUAAAUUAUUUGUUUUAUAGUAUAAUCUUACGGAUAAAAAUAGUCAAAUAAUUAAAUCAAACAACGGAAAACUGAAUAACACCAAGUGCUUAGUGCUAUCGAUAGUAUCCUAGCUGGACUCUCUCUCUCUCUCUCUCUCUCUCUCUCUCUCUCUCUCUCUAUAUAUAUAUAUAUAUAUAUAUAACUAGGCUGGAAUACUAUCAGUAGCACCAAGCCAUUGGUGCUAUUGAUUUUUUAGCCUUCGGAUUAUGGGGUUGAGCGAGUGGUUGGUUGAAUAGUGUAAUCUAAUGGUUAAAAUUUGGUGCUAUCGAUAGUACCCAGCGGGGCUCUAUAUAUAUAUAUAUAAAAAGAGAGAGAGAGAGAGUUGAGCUAAAAUACUAUCGAUAGCAAACCGGCAUUUUUUCCACCCAUUUGUUUUUUAUGAUGGAGCCUCCAAAUUGAUGAUCGGCACCGUUGAACAUGAUCUAUACCAUUUGAAGGAUUUAGAAAUUAAAUUUCAUACAUUUUCGAUAUUGCUCUCUUAUCCAUCGAGUGGACACAAAAAUGAACAGCUGAAAAUGAAUAUUCUUAAAAAAAUGAUGAUAGGAGUCUUGUAAUCAAGAUCAAGAGUAUAGAUCUUGUUUUAAAUAGUUUAAAAAAUUUUCUAACAAAAAUUCAAUUGAUUUGGAUAUCUUUACGCCAUUAAACGAGAAAACGCCUCAUAUCGACCAUUAAAAUUAUAAAAUUUGAAACCCUUUGAUCAUUAGGCAAAUGAUGUCGAAAAGAUUUGAAAUUUGAUUUCUAAAUAUUUCAAGUGAUAUAGAUCAUGUUCAACGGUGCCGAUCGUCGAUUUGGAGGCUCCAUCAUCGAAAANUGAGGGAAAGCAAAGAAGUAUGUUUAUGAGCAAUUAACCUCGAUGGCUCGACCAUAACCUCGUUUUAUAUCAAACUUGGCCUUUCAUCAACACAUCAUUAAGAAAAAUUCAAAGCUUUCAACUAUUUGGCCAUACUUAAAUAGACCAUGAGACUAACAUAUUUUAACCUUAACUUGUUAAUUUGUGUUAUUUUUCUAAAUUGGUUAGGUGAUUAGUUAAACUAAACAAUUUUUUGGCCGUUAGUUAAUUUAGUAAUAUUCUCAAUUAAUUUCAUUAGCUAAAGAUGUAGUCAAAAUAUUUAAAUUGAAUACACCAAAAGUUUAAGGGUAUCAAAAUAGAAAAGAAUGGUGGACCACGGAUCUAUAUAUUUAACAUUGCGCUAUAGUUGAUCAGAGGCUAGCUCCUGCGUGUAUAUUUUAAUCUUAAAUAAUUAAAAUUUUCAAUAAACUACUAAGGCUUCAUUUAGGAUAUGUAAUGGAGACGAUGCUUUACAUAUAUGCCAAGAGAGUGAAAUAGAAAAAUAUUUUAUUUAGGAAUGCUUCAAUACACUAUAAAUAUUAAAAUCUACUUUUAAAUUUUUAAAUUCUUAAUUUUUUAAUUUAAAUUUUGUAAUUUAAAUCUUAGUUUUAAAGUUUUAACAUUCAAUUUUUAUAUUUAAAAUUUUCAAAUGUUGAAUAUUAAAUUUUAAAUUUCAAAUUUAGACUUUAUAUUAAAAUUAAAAAUUUAAAUUUAGAUGUAAAAAUUUAAAUUUUAAACUUUAAAUUUUCAUAUUUUAAUUUAUAACUGAUAUUAUAAAUUAAAAUAUGAAAAUUAAAAUUUUGUGCAUUUAAAAUUUAAAAUUUUAAUUCAAAUUUAAAGUUAUAAUUUAAAUUCAAAUUUUAAUUUUUAAAAAAUAAAAUUUAGUAAAAAAUUAUUUUAUGGCAACAUCAUAAAAAUUUUGUCAAAUAAUUUUACAAAACCAUUUCAAAAAAAUCGUUUCCUAUCCAAACUCAGUCAAACACCCUUCAACUUGACCAAAAUUAAUUUUCAAAAUCAAAAUCAAUUAUAUAAAAAUUACUUUUCCACGGGCUUAUAAGAGAGAGAGAGAGAGAGAGAGAGAGAGAGAGAGAGAGUAGGUGAGUGGUCAAAAUGUGGAUUAACGAGCUCUCACAUAAACUUGUUAACCGCAAUACUUUUAACACGCAUGAGCCGCGUUUUUUUAAAUCCUUUUUUUCAUUCACAGUUUUCAUUUUCUGCGGAGUUUAGGCGGAACACGAAAAGCCCUUUUUUUCUUGCAAUAUUAUUUUACGCCAAAUCAAAUAUUUAAAAAAUUGUUUUCAGAUCGAAAAAAAAAAUGUUAACUUUUAGUGUGGAAUCAAACUCAUUCUUUGUCCAAUUAGAAAAUUUUAUAGUAUCAUUUCGAAAAAAUAAUAAUUUUUUAAUUUCCUCUCAAUUUCUCUUCUCUCUUUUAUCCUAACCACUAAUCAAAAUUAAUGAAUGGUUAGAAAAUUAAGAAUAUAAGAACUGUUAUGCUCUUAAUUAAUAGCAUAGUAGCCCUACUUUAUAUAAUUUAAUUUCUCUUGAAUUUCUUUUCUCCUUCUAAUCCUAACCAACUAUUAAAAUUGAUGGAUGAUUAGAAAAUUAGGAGCAUAUAUAAGGACUGUUGUGCUUCUAAUAAUACAGUAAUCCUACUCUUAUAUAUAUAUAUAACUAGACUGGAAUACUAUCAAUAGCACCAAGCUAUUGAUACUAUUAGGUUUUCAGCCCUUGGAUAAAAAAAUGUACGGUUACGAUGAUGUGGGCUCUAUAGGGUUUAGUAAAUUAUUUGUUUUAUAGUUUAAUCUUACGGAUAAAAAUAGUCAAAUAAUUAAAUCAAACAACGGAAAACUGAAUAACACCAAGCGCUUGGUGCUAUUGAUAGUAUCCCAGCCGGACUCUCUCUCUCUCUCUCUCUCUCUCUCUCUCUCUCUCUCUCUCUCUCUCUCUCUAUAUAUAUAUAUAUAUAUAUANNNNNNNNNNNNNNNNNNNNNNNNNUUUUACAAGUAUCACCAUCAUAGUGCUAUUAGGUUUUAAGCCAUUGAAUCUACUUUUUAAUUAUUAAUAGCCCUUGGAUUAAACACUAUUCCACAUACCACCACCUACCAUCAUCAUCUCAACCUCACAUCUCUCCAUCCAAGGGCUAAAAACACACAAGUAUCACCCCCAUCUUUACGCCGUUAAACGAGAAAACGCCUUAUAUCGACCAUUAAAAUUACAAAUUUUAAACCCUUUGAUCAUUAGGCAAAUGAU
rnacentral:lncRNA from 1 species